UAUUAAAAAGUUUAUUUUUGUGAAACGGAGAGAAUAGUAUAUUUUUUUUCCGUGAUGUAUUGUUUAUAUAACUAUGGAAGUUCUAGUAGCUAGCUUUUCCGCUAAAACAAUUUAAGAGUUUCUAUAUAGUAUUCGGGUAUUUUUUUCAAGAAUUAAAUGUUUGCAUGUAUGAUAGAUUUCCUAUCUAGAAAUAGUUCAUUUUUCAUCGUAUAGGUAAUAUAUAUUAUUUAUAAAACGUAAAGAAAAGAGAGAUUGAACCUUCAGCUCUUAGAAAACUGAGUCUAGGACGAAACCAGUAGACCAUGCAUGGAAUGGAACAUCUAAUUCAAGUAACUUGUAAGUAUAUUUGGGAUUCAAAACCAUUUAGUUAUAGUUGCAACCUUUGACGUUUCUCACUUUCUCUCCAACAUCCCCACGCAAACUCCGUUGACGCUUUCACACGAUUUUUUCAUAUCACACAUUUAUUAUUAUACGGUAACGCCUAAACUAAAUAGAAAAAAUGUAAUAUCACAAAGUGAUGGAAAUUCUUAAUAACAUGGUAAGAGAAAAAAAACGAGAGCCGCAAAAUUACUUACGAAAUCCUAAUUUGAUUUUUCUUAAUGUAGACCAUUGAUGACCAAGUCGCAACCGGAGUGCGUGUGCUUGCCUUUUUUUUGCUUGUAGGAACCUCCUAUAUAUAUAUUUUCCCUAUACUCCAACUUAAUAUUUUUCAAUAAAAUAUAUAAAAGGAAAAAUAUAUGAGGACAAGCAAUACUAAAAAAAUAUUUUAUAAAACGUUUUGAAAGCAAUCAUUUUGAAUAAAUUAAAAAUAGAUUUGCGAACAAAAUAGAUUUAUUAUUGGGAAUUUUGUCAAUUUUGAAAGGGACCAUUCAUUGAAUGUGAUUAGAAAAUUUGAGACAAAGAAGAUUUGGGAAAUCGGGAGAGAGGGAGAGAUGAUAAGUGGUUUGUUUGCAUUGCAUUUUGUGUCUCCAAGACUUCAGUCUGAUGUGGUUGGCUGUCGUUUUGGAAUCAUAUUUUUCAUAGUACCGCUCAUCACUCAUGUUUAAAUCUAUAAUGCAUGUUAUUUACAACGAACAAAAAACAUACAUGUAAAUUUAUUUCAUUAUUGAUAAACGCUUCUACGGCGACUCUGAAGCCUUUCUAAAUGGUAGAUACUUGAGACGUUGAGAUCUGUUUUGCAAAAGAAAAUUUGAACUUCAUUCGAAAAUAAUAAACGAUUCUAGAAUUGAGUUUAUAUCCAUUAUAACUAUGAUAUAAAUGAAGUUAAAAAAAGCAAUAAUAUAAAUUGCUAACCAAUACCGAUUUAUUUGAUAUACUAUCGUUUCAAAUUUAGAGAUCGGACUAUAAUAUGAGAAUCAACUGUUGAAUGAACUAAGAACAACAUAUAAAAAUAUAUUUUCAGAAAAAAACAACAUAUAAAAACAGGUGGAAAAUGCUAUGUACAUAUAAAUACCUUAUUCUCCUGAACCUCAUAUCAUAUUAGAUCGUCGAAAACCACUGGUGGUACAAAGCUAUAUAUGUUAUUUUAUUCAAGUAAAACUAAAAGAGUGGAAGUUAUCGUUUUAAGUUUUAACUAGAUUUUGACCCGUGCUUCAAAAACGCGGGUUUUUUUUCGAUUAGGGUUUUUUUCCGAUUAAGAAUAUUGUUUGAUAUGAAUUAUUAUUUUGGUUUUGAUGUUUUGAAGUAUAUUAUUAAGUUAUAAAGUGUUAUUAUAUCGAAAAAGUAAAAGAAUUUUAGUUUAAAAUUAUAUAAUUUAUCAAAUAGUUUAUUUUAGAUUUUAUAUGUGUAUUCUUAUGUUACAACGUCAUCAUUGCAUUUUGUGUGUAUUUUGUAAGAGUUAUAUUUAUUGAGUUGAGGAGACACAAAAAUUACUUGGCAGAUUUUGGACUCAUCUAAUAGUAUAUAUAUUGUAGAAUUUUUAAUAGUUUUAGCAGUGUUUUCAUACCCGAACCAAACUUACAGUCUCAGAAGUAAAUCAGGUGAUUCAUAUAAAUCUGGUCUGAAUUUUGUUAAAACCUUAUAUAUAAAAAUCUGAUAAAAGUCAGUAAAAACGUAAAAACUAUCAUUAACCCACUAUUCAAUAUUGGUUGACCCGAUAAAAUCCCAUAUAAAUUGGAUGGUAAUUUUUCAAAACUCAAUUCAAACUUUUGAAUCAAGCUUUGAAGCACGGGGUUAAUAUUUUUUCAAAAGAGAAAAAUCUUGUUUAACUUAGGUAUUCCAAACCUAGUGAAUUCAUUAACUCAUUUUUUAAAAAUACAUGUAUUACUUACCAAACUAUUUUAAUUCAAAUGACAUGUAUUAUUUAAUGGUGAUAUGCACCAUACCAUUCGUUUUAUAUAGAUAUGAAUUUAAGAAUUAAAAUAAACAUUAUAUAAUGUAUAUAUAGUCACAUACAUAAUAGAUUAGUCUAUGGACCCACGAGUUUAUAUAUUAUUGCAUCAAAAAAAUGUUGGUUAGUAAAUCGUAUAUGGAAUAUCGAUAACUAAAUGAUGAAAUUUAUAAUUAAGGAUUGAAAUUUAUAAAAUGUAAUAUAGUAGUUACCAUAAAUAUAGGAGUGACACACUUAUAAUAUCUAAAGAAAAUCAGAAAAAUUUAUGAAAAUAUAUUGUUAGGAGAAAUUUAAGUAGGACCAUGAAAUUAUUAACUCUUAGAAAAUAGUCCAAACAACCUUGUAUAAGUAGAUUUUCCAAGGCUGUUUCACUUUUAAUAGAAUAGAUAUAACAGCGACGAUGAUAUCCUUAAAACCACGAUAGUAUAUAUUAUAUUAAAAGGGAAGCAAUUUUGAUAAAUCUACUUAUAAAGAUUGUUUGGAUCUUUUUUUUUUGGUCUUUCUUAAAUAUUAUAUGUUAUUCUUAUUUAAUCUCACUUUGUUAUCAGUAAAAUAAAUAUUAUUAAUUGGGCUUUGGGCGUUUAACUUAAAAAGAUAAUUUAACUGAUACAACUCAUUCAGAAAAGAAAAUUAUAAAUCCAAUUAACUUUUGUUACAGAAAAAAAAAUUAAUCAAAUUAACUUUAGAUCCUUUUUUUACAAAAUCCCAAAUUGUGAAGACCAUUUUAUACAUAAAUACAUAUAAAUAUAACAUUAUUUAAAUUAUAUGGAUUUCUAAUAAUAAAAUAUCUGUCAUAAACUGAUUUUUUUUUUUAAAUUGAUAAUAGUUUGAUAGAAAAUAAAAAAAGGAAAAAAAAAUAAUACUUGCUUCACUAUUUUGGUAGAUUGAUAAUUUAUAUAUUUAUAAAUAAACUUAACAAUAUUUGUUAAAAGAAAUUUCUUAUACAAGUCAAAUAUAUAUUAAUAUAUCAAAAAUUUAUAAAACAAAAAAUAAAUUAUAUUUUUUCGGUGGGUUAAUAACGGUUUUUUUUAUUUUCAGAUACUUUUACUAUAUUCAUUUUAUUAUAUUAUAUUCCACUAUAUAUGAGUUACUAGAUCUUACGGUUCGACCACAAGUCUGAUUCGGAUAUGAAAACUCAAUGAAAACAUUAUACACGACUGAAAUAAUAAUAAUAAAGCAUUUUUAAAUAUUUUAAAUAUCUAAUAAUAAACAUAAAUUUAUUUAAUAUUUGAGUUUACGGUCAUAAAAAAAAUAUUAGUGUUUUUUAAGUGCGGAUUAAAAUCUAGUUCUAUUUUAAAUGUAUAUGUUUUGUUCGGCCCUGGUCUCAAUAAAGAGGUAACUUGUAGUGGCAAUAGUGAAUAUUAUUAUACCGACAAUAACGUCACGCCUUUGUUAUUUUAAAGAUAACGUAUAUUUGGACGAAAUCGAUCAUUUAACUUAUUAAAUUAUAAAGAACAAUUUCAUGUGAUCUAGCAAAACAAGAAGGUUGACAACGGGAUUGGAGGAACUUACAGCACACUGUCAGCUUCACGGACCCCUUGACAUUGAUUUUAUUUUAUUUAUCUAUAUUAAUAGGAAUUAACUUUAAUUAUUAAACCGCUUUUUUAAUAGUUAUUUUGUUGCCGGUCCUUGAUUUCUAUCUCAUGUACUUUCUACGUAUAUUAUACAUGGAUAUUGUUGUCUCACGUCUGUAUAUAUGCAGCGCAUGGUCCAUACACCAAUAAUUUAUUAAAUUGGUGUUCGAAUUUGCAUGCAUACGUGUAUAUUUUGUUCUUUCCAUUUGUAAGAAACCAUUGACUUGUCUUGGGUAUUUCAUAUGGUUAUCAAAUACUAGGAGUUCCAUAAUUUCUUCUUUUGGUGGUGGUCUGAGUUGUCAAUAUUAAAUAAUAAGAUUGAUGUCUAUCAUUUGGCCAAGCGGCAUAAAUGCUUUGCUAGUAUUCAAUUAUGUAAAACUUUUUUUAAGACUAGACAGUAUAGUUAAUAUAUUUCCAUAUACUGAUAAAUAAGCGCAACCACUUCGUAAAAAUAGACUAACUAAAUAUAUCAAAGUAAUCCAUAAUCAUUUACUAUAUUUUAUAUGCAUGAUAAUUAUAUAGAAAACUUAUAUUAUAUAUUUUGAUGGACGAGAAAGAGAAAUAGUUGUCUUAGACCACCCACAAUAGGGUUUUCAAUAGUUGAAACUCUCUUCAAUGAUGUUGUUGAUAAAUUGGAUCAAUCUAGGUGGUUUCAACAUUCGUUAUAAAGUUUUAACAGUUGAAAAAAAAAAUUGUGCGCCAACGCUACCACAUGUUGAGAAUGGACUGAUUGGCUACAGAUUGUUUUUGAUUUUUAUCAUCACUCAAUAAUUCAAACGUAUUUUUAUAUAAAUUUUUCUUUUUAAAAUAAUAAAAAAAUUAUAUCAAAAUUCAAGAUUUUUUCUUAUCUAUAAAUAGAGACCACUCUCAUUUCAUUUGGAUACAUAAAAAUGUCAUUUUUCUUUGUAUAAAAAAACUUAAUUACAUUAAAUCAGUCGUUACUGAUAAGUGAAUACAAAUCAGUCAUUACUAGCACGAUUGAUCAUCCCCUUUUUUAUUAUAGAAACAUAAAUCGAAAAUAUAGAUAAAUAUUACAUUUUGUUCAUGAAAUAUAACCAAUAUUUGUUAGCUGGCACGAUUGUAAACACGACCAUCUCGUUCGGAUAACAUAUAACCAAUAAAAACUUUUAUCUAACCCCGAAUUUGUAUAAAAAAACUGUGAUAUACGUUGCAUAAAAUAAUGUUGGUCAACUUGUACUUUGAUAUAGAAAUAGAAAAUUAUUCUAGAUUCAAACAUAUACACGUAAUAACCUUUUUUGGGUGAAAAUGCUUAGAAUAUAAUAUGGACCGUUAUUUAGUCAAAAAGUUUUUUCGUUUUUGAUAAAUUUCUUUGCUGUAAUAUGAAAGUUGUUUAUUGACAUCUAUAUUCAUUUUGAAUAAAAAAAUUAGACCAAUACGUAUGUCCAGAAAAUAGUAAUGUUUUUGUGUUGAAAACAAAUCAAUGAAAAAACUUCAGUUCUCAUAUACCGAAGAAAUAAAUGAUAACAACUUUAUAUGUGAUAUGUAUAUAUGUGAUACAAAUGUAGACAAAGCUAAGAUAAUUACAGGGACUAUACGAAUAUUUAGUUAAAUUAUAAUGUUUUGAUCAAUGGCAUGUUGUGUAAUUACUCUAGUUAACAAAAAGUUUUUAAAUAGAAUAUGUGAGAGAGUUUGUGGAGUUGCCACGUAAGAAAUGACACACUUGUAAUAAAAACAUGAAGUAAAAAAUAUUUAUUUAAAAUGUUCCCCAAAUAAUAAAAAAGGAUAUGUGAUUUACGUUACAUUGUUUGUUAUCUAGAGAAAGCAUGCCAGCGAAAAUUAUGAUUUUUCAAGGAUAUAUAUGGCAUUUUUAUCAUCAAGAUAUGACAUGUUAUAGAGUAUGUUAUAUAAUAAUGAUUGUAACUAAAAUAUUUGGAUGGAUAUUGUUGGACUUGUAUGUAACGUGUUGAACAUUGUAUAAAACAUUAUCGUAGUUCCAGAAGCCUUCAUAUACAUAUGCCCAUCCCUCCCUCCCAUUUUUCACAAAUUAUUUACAAAUUUCAUCGUAAAAUAUCAGUGGAAUCUGUUAUAAUUUAGAAUCUUAAAAGGGCUAUGUAUACGCAGGGUGCAAACGCAGAGGGCAGUCUCUGGUUGUCAGCGUGACAUAAGCUGACCUCAUCAUCGACUGGCCUGAACGGACCCGCCUUCGCAAUUAAAAACCUUCUCGGACUCUCUCAAGCCAAAAGCACGCAAAUGAGGAUGGUGUCCUUGCAGUGGCGGAUAUAAAUAAUUUCUGUAGGGGUCAUGAAAAACAAGUUUGAUACAUCAACUUAUAGUAUCUAUCCGUAGAUGGAAAAAAAAUAAGAAGGCAUUUACAAGAUUGAACACAAAUUUACUAGGGUCAAAUACUAGUUUUUAUCUUGAUUUUUCACCAAAUUUAAACUAGAAAUAAAAUAUAGACUAAUUUCACAGGGGUUACAUGACUCACGUAAGCCUUCAUUACAUCCGCCACUGUGGCCUUGGAUAGAUACAACACCAAAAAGAAUACGUCGUUUAAACCUAACCUAACAAGCAAAUUAGAGAAUUAAUGGGCGACUUAAUUUAGGUUGGUUAAUGUCUGUAGUAAAAAAUUACCACGUCCACGUUACUUUGUUUGAGUGCCUGAUUACGCUAUAAUUUCUUAAAACGAAUUAAAAAUGGAGUUGUUAUUUUAGUAAAGUAGUCCUUUUCAAUUUGCAUAUACAAUGAUUUCUAGUAAAAAAAAUAUGUUUGAAGAGUUUUCACUUUACAGAUCAAAGAUACAAAAAAGGUGAGGAGGUAGAUACCGACUAGAAAUAAUAAUAAUUGAGAGACAAGAAAAAUAUAGUAAUGAAUAUUAAAAAGAAAAUACUAUAGAUUUUAUGAAAAUGCCGUCAAAAGUAGGAAGCAGGUUGAGUAUGGUUUACGCCAAAAAUAAUAAUAAAGAAAAGGAGUUGUUCGUAUCGUCUUCUACCUUAUAAAAACACACCAUCCUUGUUUCCCUCUACCUACACCGCACUCUCUUCUUCUUCUUCCCGUCUAUCUCCUCUGUUUGUAUCCAUGGAUAAGACCAAUCUCGCUAAGAAUGGUGUUUUGAGACUGCCACCUGGUUUCAGGUUUCAUCCCACUGACGAAGAACUUGUGGUUCAGUAUCUCAAGAGAAAAGUCUUUUCUUCCCCAUUACCAGCUUCCAUCAUUCCUGAUGUCGAUGUUUGCAAAGCUGAUCCUUGGCACUUACCUGGUUGGUUUUCUGCUUUUCUGCUGUAAUUCAUUAAUUAGUUUCCAUUUAUUUUUCGAACCAGCGACCUUAGACUCAUGUAAAACAUUCACAGCCUCUAAACUUUAAAGACCUAUUAUACAUAUGUUGAGUGGUCUUCAAUUUAUCAAAAAUUUAAUUCUAAUUUUAAUUAGGAUUAACAUAAGUACAUUUACGGCUGUUGAAAUCUCAAAUACAAGCUUUAGAAUUAUGAAAUCAUCUUCUCUUUUUCUAUAUACAGGAAACUUAGAAAAGGAGAGGUACUUCUUUAGCACAAGGGAAGCCAAGUACCCAAAUGGGAACCGGUCCAAUAGGGCAACUGAGUCCGGUUAUUGGAAAGCUACUGGUAUUGAUAAACGGGUUGUGACCUCUAGAGGAAACCAAAUCGUUGGUUUAAAGAAAACUCUGGUCUUCUACAAAGGCAAACCACCUCAUGGCUCAAGAACCGAUUGGAUCAUGCACGAAUAUCGGCUCUCUUCCUCUCCUCCGGUACAAAUUUAUUUCUCUCAGUUUCCCGGUUUAGUCUCCGGUUAUCUCCACACCAUGUCGCUUCACUAAACUUAUAGAUUCCCUUUUCUCUGCAGAGUUCUAUAGGCCCCACUCAGAACUGGGUUCUUUGUCGUAUUUUCCUUAAGAAGAGAGCCGGUGACAAGAACGAAGACGAGGGAGAUAACCGGAAUCUUAGAUAUAAUAAUGACCAACUUGAAACAAUUACGACAAACCAAACCGAAGAUAAAACCAAACCAAUCUUCUUCGACUUCAUGAGAAAAGAAAGGACUACGGAUUUGAACCUUUUGCCGAGCUCUCCUUCUUCCGGUCACGCUUCAAGUGGAGUCACGACGGAGAUCUUCUCUUCUGAUGAAGAGACCAGUAGUUGCAAUAGUUUAAGAAGAAAUCUUUAAUUUAGUUUUAAUGUUGACUAUCUUAUAUAAUAAUUUUAUAUUAAUACGACUCUCCUUUGGUUUUUUCCAUGUUACUUGAAAACGAAUCUGUUUCUUGAACUAGUUGAAUUUUAUCUAAGUAACUAACCACCUUAUUCAAGAACAAUGCAUUAACUUCAUUCCCAACCAACAUUUCAAUUCUUCUCCCAGCGGUGCACUUAUUGCAAUAAAUAUAUGUUUGCAAGUCAUUGCACGUAUGCACUUUACUUGGAGAUUCUACCACAAACUGAAAAUAUAUUUUCAUUUUGGAAAUAAGGAAAAAGAAGAAGACGCGAUAGCUUAUUAAACGUUGGUUUGUUUUUUUCUUUUUUGCUCCAUGAACGACAUUCUCAUGCCUAAAAGUAAUUCAAAUAAGAAACUAUAGCAAUCUCGUUAUUAUUAAUGGAAAGUUAUUAGCGUUAGUAUUGUGAAAGUGGAAAUUAUUACGGUUGAAAUUUAUUUACUCUCUGCACGUGACCGUGAAAUUAUUAAUAUGUGUUUAGGUGUAUUUUUAUUGAUUGACGGCAUUAGGUGUAUUUAUGCAGUUGAGUCACUGAGUGUAUAUGAUUACAUAUAUGCAUGGAGGAUUACAACUAAAAAGGGUAACAAUGGCAUGGAGAGGCUGUCGAAGAGAGCUUUUUGUCAAAAGUGUCGAAACCGUAAUUAGAGUGUCAUGACUCAUGAGUAUUUAUCACUUUAAUGUCAAAAGGUCAUAAUUAUUCGGUGGAAACUACACAAUCAUAGAUUUUUACUCAUUCCAAAUUCAGAUCCUAAGUAAGAAGAAGAAAAAAGCAUUCAUUGUUAACAAUUAUGUGAUUUGAUUUCAAAUAAGGUCCCCACUAUUGAAAUUCUUUAACUUAUAGAUUUAAUCUUCUGUAACAUUAAGAUUUAAUCGUUCCUUAACUCGUAAUGAUAAGUUUCUGGGGAUUCUUUCUUGUUAUGUAUUGUACUAUGUACAAGUACAACUAGUUCAUUUAAUGUAAGGUCUAUUAAAGUUCAGUAUUAUUAUAAGUUUCAAAUUGGCGAUAAGCGAAUUACACUAUUUUGUAUAUUAGUUAAUUAUUUUUUAAUUACCAAUAUGAAUUUUUUUAAUUAACACUUUAUAUCACGUUCAAGCAUUGACAAUUAUAGAAAUAAUAUUAAUGGGAUGAUGUCGGAUAAUUAUGAUACCGUGUUAAAUUUAAAUUUAUCAAUAGUUUCGCAUUUAAAACUAAUUAACAGUAAAUUAUUUGAAAUUACUGUUUUAUAUAUUAGUCAACUUUUAUUAAGUGAUGAGGCAAGUAGGGCUAUGAAUAAUUGUGGUACAUAAUUCAUUUACCAAAUAACCUUAUUGUUUUUGGCUCCAUAACUCAAGGUACGUAUAUCGAUCAGGUGACAUUUGGCUCCACAAUUCAACAAACCGUGUGCCAAAAAACUUGGUGCAUUGUUUACGACUAACAUUCAAAAAUGUAUCCUAUGUGCUCAUUUCAUUAUGAUGCAACAUAGUCCUAUUGAAAUUUUCGAAAACUUUCACUUUAUAGAAAAUUUUCAAGUUUUGUGUGUUUUAAAAUUUUUAGAGCAUAUUGAAUCCUACUUAACUUUCAUGUUGAAUUAUGUUUUAAAUAAUUUAUUUCGAUUCAAUUAUAUAUUUAAUUCAAAAUAAAAAGUAUAGUAUUUAAAAGAUAAAUUAUAUUGAUCUUUUUGUUACAUCUUGUACUAUUUAAUAAUAUAUUUGUUUUAAAAAAAACACUGUUUUGGAAAAACCAGUAUAGAGUAAACGAGAGCAAGUUUAGUAUUUUUUUGUUAACAUUGACUAUUUUUUUUUUGUCGUCGUUAACAUCGACUAUUCAAUCUUCUUGAAAUUGUAUUACUAGGACAAAUAUAUAAAAGAUAUAAAGUCAAGAUUAUAUAUAUUUUCAAUGAUUUUUUUUUUGAGAAUACGGAGAAACAAUCCCUGUCGUCAUAGGAUUCUAACAUGGAAGGACUACAAGUAAAGUUUAUGCAGGAAUAGAUUCAAACAAAAAAGUAGAUGGAAAGUUAUAACUAAAUUUAUGAGCAAAAGGAAGAGCUUCAAAGAAUCAUGAGUGUAUAUGAUUACAUAUAUGCAUGGAGGAUUACAACUAAAAAGGGUAACAAUGGCAUGGAGAGGCUGUCGAAGAGAGCUUUUUGUCAAAAGUGUCGAAACCGUAAUUAGAGUGUCAUGACUCAUGAGUAUUUAUCACUUUAAUGUCAAAAGGUCAUAAUUAUUCGGUGGAAACUACACAAUCAUAGAUUUUUACUCAUUCCAAAUUCAGAUCCUAAGUAAGAAGAAGAAAAAAGCAUUCAUUGUUAACAAUUAUGUGAUUUGAUUUCAAAUAAGGUCCCCACUAUUGAAAUUCUUUAACUUAUAGAUUUAAUCUUCUGUAACAUUAAGAUUUAAUCGUUCCUUAACUCGUAAUGAUAAGUUUCUGGGGAUUCUUUCUUGUUAUGUAUUGUACUAUGUACAAGUACAACUAGUUCAUUUAAUGUAAGGUCUAUUAAAGUUCAGUAUUAUUAUAAGUUUCAAAUUGGCGAUAAGCGAAUUACACUAUUUUGUAUAUUAGUUAAUUAUUUUUUAAUUACCAAUAUGAAUUUUUUUAAUUAACACUUUAUAUCACGUUCAAGCAUUGACAAUUAUAGAAAUAAUAUUAAUGGGAUGAUGUCGGAUAAUUAUGAUACCGUGUUAAAUUUAAAUUUAUCAAUAGUUUCGCAUUUAAAACUAAUUAACAGUAAAUUAUUUGAAAUUACUGUUUUAUAUAUUAGUCAACUUUUAUUAAGUGAUGAGGCAAGUAGGGCUAUGAAUAAUUGUGGUACAUAAUUCAUUUACCAAAUAACCUUAUUGUUUUUGGCUCCAUAACUCAAGGUACGUAUAUCGAUCAGGUGACAUUUGGCUCCACAAUUCAACAAACCGUGUGCCAAAAAACUUGGUGCAUUGUUUACGACUAACAUUCAAAAAUGUAUCCUAUGUGCUCAUUUCAUUAUGAUGCAACAUAGUCCUAUUGAAAUUUUCGAAAACUUUCACUUUAUAGAAAAUUUUCAAGUUUUGUGUGUUUUAAAAUUUUUAGAGCAUAUUGAAUCCUACUUAACUUUCAUGUUGAAUUAUGUUUUAAAUAAUUUAUUUCGAUUCAAUUAUAUAUUUAAUUCAAAAUAAAAAGUAUAGUAUUUAAAAGAUAAAUUAUAUUGAUCUUUUUGUUACAUCUUGUACUAUUUAAUAAUAUAUUUGUUUUAAAAAAAACACUGUUUUGGAAAAACCAGUAUAGAGUAAACGAGAGCAAGUUUAGUAUUUUUUUGUUAACAUUGACUAUUUUUUUUUUGUCGUCGUUAACAUCGACUAUUCAAUCUUCUUGAAAUUGUAUUACUAGGACAAAUAUAUAAAAGAUAUAAAGUCAAGAUUAUAUAUAUUUUCAAUGAUUUUUUUUUUGAGAAUACGGAGAAACAAUCCCUGUCGUCAUAGGAUUCUAACAUGGAAGGACUACAAGUAAAGUUUAUGCAGGAAUAGAUUCAAACAAAAAAGUAGAUGGAAAGUUAUAACUAAAUUUAUGAGCAAAAGGAAGAGCUUCAAAGAAUCAAAAAAUAAGAACAAGAUUCCGCGAGGAUAAUAUAUUCGAAGAGUAUCAAAUCUCUCUCUAUCUAUCUAAGAUUCCAUUCCAAUCUUCAAACCUACUCCAAACUGAAAAAAAAACAUUCUAUGUGAGUUACUGAGUUGUGUGUUCAACAGCAUAUGUUACUUUUGUCUCCAUCCAAUUACUAUGCCUUACGUAACUAAAUUGGAAAGUUAGGUAACGGUCUGGUAAGUGUUCGACCUAGUGAGACACAAAACCUACCAAAGAAAACUGCGCAAUUUUUUUUGCAACUACGCAAUUACAUAUUCGAAUUAAUGAAACAGCGACGUAAGGAAAGAUACAUUUAUUAAGUCUUACAUUCAUCUCCACUAUUUUUAUGCCUUGGAAAACCUAACCUAUAAAUAUUGGCAAUGUUUCCAAACAAAAAUGCGAUAACUUAUUUCUUUUUUUUUUUUGUAAAAAUCAAAAAUGCGAUAUUAUAAUGUGAUACAUAACAGAACUACUCUGUUAUGAUGUCAAAAAAAAAACUACUCUGUUAUUAUUUCAUAUAAACCUAUAUUGUUUAUAAGACAUAAAUCUUUAAGGAAAUAUAUUUUUGAAAGCUUCGGUAUAGGCAUUCUGAUACGUGCCUAAAACUAGGUUUUCAAGUAAACAAACAUGGCUAGGUUACCCCGAUAAUAUCUUAAAUCUGCUAAUUCACACGACUCGCAUAUUCGAUACUAGUGGUGGUAAGCAUAUAGUUGCGAUUUCUUGUACUUGCAAGCAAUCUUAAUCAUCUUACUGACUAUCGAUUGAGUCAUAUUAAUCAACAACUUUUUUAUAAUGUUAUGAUAUUUUAAGGAUUGUUUUCAUGUACCGUAUGCCACAAGGAAAGGUAGAGAAUAUUUUUCCCGACCCGUAGAGAAAAUAUAGGUCGUACGCCAUUAUUGCUAUUCGAUAGUUGAUAGUGGAUUUGUUCAAAUAUUUUGUUCGGUUUUCCCCACAAGUUACUUCUUUGACUCGGAUUAUGCGUAGGGAUAAUAUAUAUUGGAUUUGGCCCGCAUUUUACACCGAAUUUUGCAAUAUAAUACUCUUUCAUAACAAAUAUGAUUCAACAAUUAAAUAUUGUAAAUUAAAAAGAGAAUAAGUUUCAUAAGAAAAUAAAAUAAUAAUAAGAGAUAAACAUGUGUGGUGUAACGUAUAUAUACUCUAAGUCUCUAAGUGGUAUGAAAUAUAUAUAUCUAACUUGUUGUUUUAUCAAAAUCAUAGGGUAUAAAUAGUAACGAUAAAAUCUGUCAAAAAAUAAUUAUAGUAUUUCGCUAAAGUCCUGUUUUUGUUAUAUUAGAACAACAUAUAUAGAGAGAAAAGAACGUUGUAUAAAUAAGUCUGUUAGCAAAACAAUUAUUUCUAUAGCUAACAUAAAAUUAUAUUUUCUAUGUAAAAUUCUAUUGAAUGGCUAUGAAAUAAAAAGAAAUUCUACCAUAUGGAAAAAGUGAUAUCUCUUUCUUGAAGGACAUAAUCUUCUUAGUUAACCGGUUAGUGGUUGUCUAAUUUCCAAACUUAUAUAACCAUUCAAUUCCACUAUAAUUAAGUUUGUAGUUAUCCAACCUAUAUUUUCAUGAAAAAAAUAUCCCAAUAUAGUAUUAAUUUUGAUAUCUGAUAUAUAUUAUAUAUGUGAUAUAUUUUAAAUGGUUCCGUUUUUUAACACAAAUACAGUAAGAGUGAUAUACAAAUACAAUAGUAGUCCGAUAAUGAGAGCCGACUUUCAUCUCUACUCCCCCUGUAGUUCGCAGUCACAAUGACGAUCGUGGUAGUGACAUGUAUAUAUAUACAUGUUUAUGUGCACAUAUAUUACCCAUAUAGUAUCCGAACUGCAUUUUAGUCCUUCGCGACGCAAGUUUCCCCUGUUUGAAACACAACCCCGUUCUGGUUAUAGAUUUGAGAAGUAGAAGAUUAUAACAUAAGUUAUUCAGCUUAGUGAGAAGAAUCAAAGUGCAUCUCAAAUUUACCUUUUUAGCGGUUUAAUUAGAUUAUUAAGAAUUUCAUCUUUAUCUUCAAAAAAAAAAAUUAGAUUAUUAAGAAGUAACACCCACACAAAUACAUGUGUAUAUUCAUGAAAAUAAAAAUUAAGAAAAGAAAAGAAGCAAGAGAAGGUAGAAUCUGGAAAGAGUCGUAUAAUGCUGACUUGUUUUUGUGAAAUUCAAAUUUGCAUAAAAUCCAAGUGGGCUGCGACUUAGGAGACGUGGGAGAUCCACACACUUUCACAAAUCAUCAUUGCACACACGCCCUUUUCACUCAUAUUGCAUAGUUAUGUGUCACUUCCACCAACCAAAUUCAAUAUAUGUGUAUGUAUAUUCCUUUUUUUUAAUCAUAGAUUUAAUUAAUUAAUUCAAUAUAUAUGUAUGUUAUAUUCAUAUGUAUAUUCCGCAUAGAUUUACUUACCUACUCUAGCGGUUAAUAACCAAAUUGGUAAAAACAAAUCUAUACUAUACUAAAAAGGGGAUAUAAGCCAUGGAGAGGGUGUCCACAUAGGAUAGAAAAAUCAACCAAUCAGAGAACCCGAAAUUGCCAUGUCAUCUCAUUUAUUUUUCGUAAAAAAUAAAAAAACAAUGCAAAGGUGAGAAUCAAACCCGGGUUGGUAUGAUAUAUAUAUAUAGGACAGUUACCACUAAGCCAUUGACACUUUCUUGGACACAUAUACAAGAACCAGUAAGUAUAUAAUCACAAACUUUUAUGUACAUUUACAAUAAUAUGAAUUCAACUUUCAAGACUCCGAUACUUUGUUUUGUAAAAAAAAAAAAGUAAGUGACUAAGUUAAUAUAUUCUUAGAAAGUGUGAGAACGUUGACAAAUAUGAAAAAGCAUAGAUUUUUGUUUUCGUGACAAAGUUAAGAAUUUUGUAAAAGUAAGUUUAACAUAUAAAUUUUCGUGACAAAUAUGAAAAAGCAUAGAUUUUUGUAAAAUUUUGACAAAACAACUCAAAACAUAUUUCUCUAAUGUCUUAAUAAAAUAUUAUUUAAGGGUGUAAUAAUUAAAUAUAUUAAUUCAAUAAAUUUUGUAAUUUAUAGACAAAACAAUAACACAACAAAUUUUGAAACAUUUGUUUAACCUAUCGAUUUUUUUUCAUGAGAAUCCAACUAAACAAGAUAAAAAAAAAAAUUAGAUUUACAAAUAUUUAAUUACCAUUUUAUUCAAUUUUGAUUAAUUUCAAAUUGUCAUAAUGUAUCUUUUUGAAGUUACAAAUAUGAAAAAGCAUAGAUUUUUGUACAAUUUGACAAAACAACUCAAAACAUAUUUUUCUAAUGUCUUAAUAAAAUACUAUUUAAGGAUGCAAUAAUUAAAUAUAUUAAUUCAAUAAAUUUUAUAAUUUAUAGACAAAACAAUACCACAACAAAUUUUGAAACAUUUGUUUAACCAAUCGAUUUUUUUNNNNNNNNNNNNNNNNNNNNNNNNNNNNNNNNNNNNNNNNNNNNNNNNNNNNNNNNNNNNNNNNNNNNNNNNNNNNNNNNNNNNNNNNNNNNNNNNNNNNNNNNNNNNNNNNNNNNNNNNNNNNNNNNNNNNNNNNNNNNNNNNNNNNNNNNNNNNNNNNNNNNNNNNNNNNNNNNNNNNNNNNNNNNNNNNNNNNNNNNNNNNNNNNNNNNNNNNNNNNNNNNNNNNNNNNNNNNNNNNNNNNNNNNNNNNNNNNNNNNNNNNNNNNNNNNNNNNNNNNNNNNNNNNNNNNNNNNNNNNNNNNNNNNNNNNNNNNNNNNNNNNNNNNNNNNNNNNNNNNNNNNNNNNNNNNNNNNNNNNNNNNNNNNNNNNNNNNNNNNNNNNNNNNNNNNNNNNNNNNNNNNNNNNNNNNNNNNNNNNNNNNNNNNNNNNNNNNNNNNNNNNNNNNNNNNNNNNNNNNNNNNNNNNNNNNNNNNNNNNNNNNNNNNNNNNNNNACAAGUUUGUUUAAAAAGUAAAUAAUUUUAUUUUUCUUAUAUUAUAUAAUCAAUAUAUAUUAUUUACUGAUAAUAAAAAUAUAGUUAUUCAUCUAUCACAAAUAUCUAUGCAAAUAUGUGAAUCAAGUACAACAAUCAAACAACAUAAUGAUUUCCACAAAGAAAAUUUAAAAAAUAUAUUUAUGUUAUGUAGUCAUAUUUUAUAUUCUUUAAAUAAUGUAAUACAAUAUUAUACAUUAUUUUUUUAGAAUUGAGAAAUACAUAUAUCAGUUAGACAAAUUAAUCGAUAAUUAGACAAAAUUUUGAUUUUUAUUUUGUGAGUAAAAAGUUUAUUAUUAAUUAGCAUUACUUAUUUCAAGAUGUUUAAGAAAUGAUAGACAAAAAAAUAGGAUGAACAUAAAUGAUAUAUGAACUAUAAAUAGUUUUUUGUAAAGCUGACUUAGAUAACACAUACGUACAUCCAUUUCUAAUCCUUUUUGAUGCAUAAAUUCAAUUUCUUCAGAGGAGUUAUUCCACAAAGAGAUCGUAUGAGAUAUUGUUUUGAUAUUCAGAUUUGUUUCUUGAUUGUUAAGAAGAUUGAUAAGUGUAAAAAUGUUUCAUUCGAAUAUGAUAUGUCUAUAACCGAGUCCCCAACAUGAGACAAGUUUGUUAAAAAGUAAAUAAUUUCAUUUUUCUUAUAUUAUAUAAUAAAUAUAUAUUAUUUACUGAUAAUAAAAAUAUAGUUAUUCAUCUAUCACAAAUAUCUAUGCAAAUAUGUGAAUUAAGUACAACAAUCAAACAACAUAAUAAUUUUCACAAAGAAAAUAUAAAAAAUAUAUUUAUGUUAUGUGGUCUUAUUUUAUAUUCUUUAAAUAAUAUAAUACAAUAUUAUACAUUAUUUUUUAGAAUUGAGAAAUACAUAUAAUAUCUUAUCCGCGCGUAGCGCGCUUAAAAAAUCUAGUGUGCAUAAUAACAAAUUAAAGCUGCACGCAAACAAAAAAAAUACAAAUGCAAAACGUUGAAAUUUAAUGCUAAUGCGAAUGUUUUAGCAACUAAAAUUUUUCUUUAUGCAGACAUACAUAUGCAAAAGACAAUCGCAAAGGCAACAAAAAAAAAACAACAAAAUAUACUAUCAAAAAUAAAAAAAGAAGAUAAAGACGCACUCGUAAACUUAUUCGUGAACGUUACACGCUAAAGAGAAACUACGAAAGGCAAACAAAAAUACAAAGUGAUAUUUUCUCAAGAAAAAUCACAAAUAAGAAAUGCUAAACAUAAACAUAAACAAACGAAGCAAGAACCAAACGUGAUGUAAAAGCUAUUGAGCAAUAAAUCAAAGACUUGGUUUGAUCAUUACUCUGGAGUAGCCGAAAAUUUUGAGAGAAAACAAUAGGCGAGAUUUAUUAACAAGAUUAAGAACAUUUUCACAAGAAGCACUACGAAGGUGGAGAAAGUGCAUAUCAAAAGAACUAUAUAAAUCUCUUGAAUCCAAUCCUUUUCUUUUUUUCUCCCAACCACCACACCAUAAUUAAACUACAUAAAACAAGAAGGAAACUAGUUGGGUAAACAAACUCAAAUAACACAAGAGAGUAUUUUUAUAAUUUUGUUUCAUCAAAUUUUGUUUAUUUAGUUCAAGAGCCAGAAUAUCUUUAUGGCUCUUGCCUGUUCCCAUAAGGCUUCUAACAAAGCAUUAAAAGAGGAGAAUGAGGUCAGUCAGCAAAGACAUGUUGCCUAGAGACUCUAAGCAAAACUAUAGAUGUGACACUCCCCAUAUUCAUUUCUUGAUGACAACACAAACCUAAACCCCAUAAUUAAUUACUAAACAUGUACAUAAUCAUCAUCAACCUUAUCCUGAUGUCUAUUUUGACACCCUUUACGAAAAAUAAUCUGAAGUUGGUAAUAAAACUGGUCGAAACUACUAUGGGGAAGUAUACGUGAACUAGGUCUCUAAAUUGCAUGCUCUAGUCCCCUGUCCAAAAGAUCUGGAAGUUUUUGGCAAUAUAUUAAAAUAUAGAUAAAAUACCCAAAAAAGAGUUUGAUAUUUUGUGUAUAGGUUGCGUGUGAAGAAGCAAAACCCCUUGUGAGGGAGUGACUCGAGGAUCAGCUUCAGCUUUCUGAGACAAAAUGAUAAAUAACAAAUGGUUUGAUUUUUCUUUUCUUUUUUUUGGACAACCAAAUGGGUUUGAUAUAGGAGCAGUUUUACUCGCAUCACAUGUUAUGUUUUCCUCUUGUGGUCCUCUUCUUCUCCAAACUCUAAGCAAAUCCUACACGUAUCUUGAAAAGAACUGUCAAUCAUGGACCCCAUCAAAGAUUCAGUUGUAUCUUCCUUAAUUGACCUUUAUUUGAGGCAUGAUUAGACAUUUAUAGCUAAGAACUAAUCCCAAAACUUCGUCAAAGGGAUUAAAAUUCUUGCUAUUAUUAGACAUCUAAAUGGUCCCAAAGAACCUAACCAAUUAAGCCACUUCACACUCUGAAGAGGCAACUAUGACUGUUCCCGGAUUCCAACAAAACAGAAGAGUAUAAGCUUUGAACACUGAAACCAACAGACAAGGCAUAUGCUCGGUGACAACUACAGUUGUACAUCUGUAUUGCACUAACUAAAAAUUUAUCCUCCUUUUCACCUUUACACGCAACUCCCUGUUUAUUAGUUUACCAGUCUCCAUUUUUAAAAAGAAUGAACUUAUUCAAGUUGCUAAAGGAUUAUUCACAUGACUUGAUGUUUCCCUAAUCAAAGACCUAUCAGACAAAUGUUAUGCUUUUGUAAACCCAAACAGAACAAGGAGCAAAUUAAUGUCAACAAAGAGAAGACAAAACAAAAGCAGUGGCGUAUUUUAAACCUAAGUUGCAAUUAUCUACAUGAUCUCGAUUGACUGGGAAGUAUACCAGAAUACUCACUGUCUAGGAGUUUAAGAAACACAACCAAUAGUACAAUCUUGACAUGUCUACACCACGACUAUGAAUCAUAUUUUGUUCAGUUUGGGACCAUCUUUAGAUAAAAUCUAGGAAAAUACAUAAAUACAUGAAUAGUUAUGUUUUUUAAAGAAAAAACUCUGGAAACAAUAUAGUAAUAAUAUUUAUAAACUUCAAUUGAUAAAGAUUUUUGCAUAUCAAACCCUGCUGAUUUAUCUAAUAGGUGAACUAAACAUAUUAUCACUAUUAUGAUAAUUGUGACAUUAUCAAUUUAAGCAAAUUCUGGGAUCUCCACAAAUGUUCGUGUGCCGUAUGCCGUCUACUAUAUAUUGAAGUUUUCCACUAAACUAAGUACUAUGUUUAAGCAAAAAAAAAAAGUAAGUACAUGUGAGUGAGCCAAGGAGGAGAGGGAAGAAAUGUGAUGAUUUUAGGGAGCCCAUUUCACAAACCAGAGUAGAGCUUGAAAACCUUAAAGCAGAAAAAGCCGGGAUACCGAGCAGCUUAGCUUAAAGUAUGGCGGGCUCAAACGGGUCAGAAACAGCCCAUCACACCGUCAUUACCUUUGUGUUCUUAAAGAGUGCAAAACAUCUAUACGUGAAGAGUCUUGUUUCAUAACGAAGAAGGGACAAGAGUCGAGACAUGGACUGUUCAAUUGAUGAAUCACUAGACAAUUGUAUAUACUCCGUUUAACACACAUUUUAUAGGGGUGAUUCUUAAUCUUUCAAUUUAGUUCGGUACAUGCAAGAUGCAACAGAACGACUCAACCUUUUUUUUUUUUUUUGAACUGCGGAACGACUCAACUUCACAUGCAAUAUUUAACAAGAAGAAGAAAAAAGUGCAUUUUAUCAAGCAGGGAGUGCGAAGCUUGGUUGCUUCCACUGUGGCGGAUUCAUCGCCAGACAAGGAUCUGAUUUCUCAAAGUCAGCAACCUGCAUGACAUAUCAAUCACGUGAAUGGAACUACCUUUAAUACAGAGGAAAAAACAUAGAAUCACAAGAGUUACAGGCAUGAAAAGACGACAACAUUUAAUUUAACAAAGAGAUCUACCAAUAGCGAUAAUAGAUAUAUCGUUUGAUGGAUCAGAGCACCCAACGGAUCUCCAUAGAUAGCGUUCGGCGUCACGAUUCCUUCCUGGUACAGGUUCUGUCCCGCUUAAUACGGAACUCCGAUCCCUCUUUCGACAUCCGUAUUGGUUGGUACCGUCAACGCUCAAGAUGAAGCAAAUACACAGCGAGAAGAAGUAUUAAGAAGGUGUGAAGCUUAUUCAACGCACUCUUUUUUGCUUCAGUGAGGAAGAAGACACGAUUAUAUGCCUUCUCUGUAAAACAGAUUUUUUGUUUGAAUUAAUUUAACAUUUUAAAAAAAAAAAAAAGAAAAAAAAAAGGAAAACAGGCUUUGAAUUUGAAUGCCGUCAAGAAGAUAGACUCACACUUAAUGGGCUUUAUAAAUUAAGAACGUAAAACCAAUAUUGGGCUUAAAGGUCCAAUAGUUGAUUCUUCUCUGUUGAAUUCUAGGUCUCCUUCAUAAUGUGUCCAUCCAUAACUCACUGAAACAAACAAGCAAUCGCUCCAAAACAAGAUAAGAAUUUGGAGGACGAACAAACUUUUGGGCUUACGUUUCUUUAAGCCCACCAAAAGUUAAAUACUUGGGCCACACAAAACCAUUUAGUUCCUUCUACUUUUGUAAUUUAUUUAAAUACGCAUAUUUUGUGAAAAUUGCAAGAAAAAAAUCUUUACUUGUGAAAUGGAUUUUCUUCAAAAUAAAAAAUGCUUGUAUAAUAUUGGGAUUUAGUUGAGCAUCUAAGAAAACUUUACUUACUCGAGCUUAAACGUCUCACAAUGACACAUUCCAUGUAAGUGUUGUAUUUGACAUCUUAAAAAUAUCUAGACUGAUAUUAGUAUAUUACCUCAUUUAUUUUUUUUUCUACUUCGAUUGUGUGUCUAAUUGUGAUACGUUUUUGAAUUUUAGUUCUAUUUAUUGCUCAAUAUUUGAGUAGGAAGUAGCACGUUUAAAGGUACGAAUCUUGACACUAAAACAGAAAAAAAAAAGAUAUAUAUAGAGACCAUCAAUUUAUUUCAACUUUUUAAAAUGACACAUUUAAUGUGUUGAGACAAAAAAAAAGAGUUUUUUUUUUGUUUUUACAAUUAGUUUAGAUGUGAGACUAAAGACCAAAAGAAGGGAAGUUGGUACGUGGAAGGUAGGCGAAUUGGUUAGCCUGAAAAGUAAUAUCGACAGAGAAAACGUGAGAUGCAUGAAUUAAUUAUCUUAUUCACGGAAUAUAAGAGAAGCGUAUUAACUUUAUUUAGAGGGAGAGAGGCUGGGUCAAAACAGAAUUGUUAGGAAACGAGAGAAAGCGACGAAAACCUUAAAGACUUAUGGAGAAAUGCACCUUGCCUGGUAGUGAAUAGUGAUGUCUUAACAUUAACUACAUCUCAACACGUGAAAGACAUGCAUCUCUGACUCUUUCUCUUUCAAUUUUUUUAUUCGUUAUGUUUAUUUAUUUAACUUCUUUUGCUAAAUUUUUCAUUUAUAUUUAUUUUCACAAGCCUCCGGACUGUAUAUGAUACAAGCAAGAAAAAAAGUUAAUUUUUAUAAGGUUUUUAGAAAAUACAAUAUUGUAGUAGGGAACGUACAAUGUCAGAAGCCAUGGUGAACACUACGAGAAAAGACAUUUAGUUUGGUCACCAAAGCUGUAUUGUUCAAUUUGCAGGUCUUCUGUAAUGUAAAUUCUAAAUUCAAGUACAUGUUGUACAUUACAAGCAAAUACGGAAAGAACAUUGCCAAAUAAAAGCAGUUGUGCUCCUGUUUAAUAAAUAGAAAAUUCAUAAAAGAAAAGAAAGUAAAAUAAAAAUCAAAUCCAAAAACAUGUUUUAGAAACGUUAUGGAUCUUGAAAUUACAGUAGAAAAACGUAAACCGUGCACACAUCUAAGGUACACUAUUUAUACAUGAUUAUGUCACACAAUAAUUGUUGGGAUCCAAUAGGAAUUAAAGAUAUUUUCUUUGUUAAAACGUUACCAUUUUGAUUGGACUUCUGCUAUUUUCCGGGUGAGUGAUAAACAAAUUCUAAAAAUAUUAAGCUGUUAGAGCAACUGCAACGGUGAUUUUAGAUGAGUCCUUACCGUUAAUCCUUAGCAUUAUUUCAAUAUAAUAUUAUUAUUUUGGCUUAAUUAGCUAGGGAUCAAUCCUUCAAGAGGGAUUGGAAGGACUCAAUCCUUAACACACGUGUCUCUCUCUAUCUCUCCUCCCAUGCUCUCUCUCGAUCUCUCCUUGCUCCAUCAUCUCCCACCAUGAUCUUUAUCGAAACCUUUUCGAUAAUUCCUCUUCUCCCUUUUCGUUUUUUCCCCGUAUGACUCAAUCUUUAGGACUUGAUCCUUAUCUCUCUCUCUCUCUCUUUACUUCAUCUCUCUCACUCCGGCACUGCAAAUUGCCAGUCGAGAUUUGUCACCGCCUGUUUUAUAAUUCCUCUCUCUUUACUUCAUCUCUCUUACUUGACGCCUUCCAUGCCGCUCUUAAUCGAGAUAUUGAAGGUUCCACUUCACUGCCCACGAAUCCUGGUGAACGUGAAGCUCUUUUUCUGUUUUAUCUGGAUUCUGUUAUCGGUCAAAAAUCUCAUGAAAUGAAAUUGCAUAAAUCGUAUUAGGUGUUUGAAAAAGCUUGAAUCUCUUAUGUGUUGUUCCUUGGAGUUAGAUUGUUAAAGAAUUUAGAAUUUUUGCUAAGGUUUAUUUUUUUUUAAAUGACUUGUUUGUGUCUGGCAGGGGAAGUGAAAUGGCUCUUAUCAAUUUGGAAGCUCAUGUGUUGCUGCUCAGUGGGGGAUUCGUCGUCCUCAUGUUGCAGUCAAAGCUUUUUUUUUCCAACCAGAUUGGAAUCUCACCAUGACAAGUAAGAGUCUUUAACUUUACCAUGCCUUAAUUUGUUGAGAUUGCUUCUUCCCAUUGCAUAUAAUUGCUGUAAAGUGUUUAGUCUUACUGCUUUGUAAAGUUUCAUGUAUCUGAGAGGCUAAUGAAGUUGUCUUUAUUUUGAUAUAACCUUCAGCAGUUGCAUCAGCCAAAUAAAUUGUUUGGGAGCUUCACAGUCGAGUAUGUUUUCACAUGGCUCCUUGCCCUUCUUGUCACUUGUAAUGGGACAGUCCCGUAAUUCACAUUCUCGUAGAAGAGCUCGCUUCACCGUUAGGUCUUAGGUUGAGUAAACAUUGGCUCUUUCUUUGAAAGUUAGUUUCCUAGUAAAGUUGGCUCUUUCCUUGACCAAUGAAACAUGAACUCCUCUUUUUUUUUUUUUGAACUUCAUGAAUACAAAACGCUAAGGACUCUAAUUCAAGUAACACCAUUGGACUUGAUUCUUUUGAUUAAGUCCUUAACUAUUCAAAAAAAAAAACCAAAAAAAUUUAAUGUUUUAAUAAUGCUAAGGAUUCUAAUUAGAGUAAUACCAUUGCAUAUGCUCUUAGCAUGUGUUUUGGUCAUUAAAAUAUUAGUUAAGAUGAGAGGUUGGGGCCUAAAGAAACAAUUACACUCAGGGUCACUUUCCAUCUUUUUAUAUCAUAAUAAGACAUUUAUUGCUACACACACACUUUCUUCCAACAACCUAUUGAUUCCUAACUAAAAUACACUAACUGUAACUCUAAACUUUAUUGACCUAACUAGAAAAUAAGCGGAAAUUAACCUCAGCCACACAUCUCCCCUCCUAUCCAACAGACAAAAUUAAUUCUAGUACACUUUGACAAGAUUUAUAUGUGUCUUAUUUUAUAACCAUUAGAUCUACUAUUGUAGCUUUAAUAUGAAUGGUCCAGAUUAAUCCUAUUUUUUAACACAUCAUCAUCUUCAUCAUCUGUCUUUUUUUUGUCCUGAUAAAUCCAAAAAACCAACUUUCGACCAUUAUCUCUCUAGAUUAAUCGGCGGUGAAUGGAGUUUCGGUGACUUCCGUUGGAAUUUCGCGAUAGACAGGGAAAUAAUGUUACGAAUUGUUCUCGUUUUCCCGACAUGCCCUUGCUUGAAUUACAAAACAAUGUCGUCAACGAGUUCUUCACCGUCACAGGCUGCGGCACCUCCGGUGGUAUAUCAUGUACAUGUUAAUAUUGUAUUUAGGUAUACACGUGGACAUUGUUAUCAAGUGUACACGUGAGUAUUGUUCUCACAAAGAUCCAGUCCAUUCAUCCAACCCAAAAUACUACUACGUACAACUAUCUAAUAUAAAGCAAUCAAAUUUUUGAAGUCAUAAAAAUACACAUUUAUGGCUAUAUUGCAAUCCACGAGUUCUCGAUCUCUAGUGUCCAUAUGUACACUCUUUCUCUAUUGUCCAUAUGUNNNNNNNNNNNNNNNNNNNNNNNNNNNNNNNNNNNNNNNNNNNNNNNNNACUCUUUCAAAUGUCCAUAUGUACAUAUUCCCUUGUGUACACUUAUUUCAUUCACUAUACAUGUGGUUGGUUUAAACAACAUACAUCUAAUGAAAUAUGUGAUCCAGUUUAUAAUAAUGUUUUAAAUGGUUCUCAAUGUAGAAAGUAUUCAAAAAAUAAAAACAAAAAUGAAUUUGCAAUGGAGUAGAUUGGUAUUGCUAUAUUAUCGGAAAGUAUACAUUUUUGUGUACAUGUGAAUAUCAUUACUUUGGUGUACACAUGGAUAUUGUUCAUAUGUACCGGCUCCUACACCAACAAACACAACAUAUACAUGUCAACCUAUCAACAAGAAUAUUCAUAUCUACAUUACUUAUUAUGUACAAAUACACGCGUGUACAUAUGUACAAAAUCAUGGUUGAUCAUAUGUACACACUUGUUGGUGUACAUCCGACCACAGUUUUGUCAAAACACCAAAACUAGCAACAAGUUUCGACCUUUUCCUCCAUUCACCGCACCCUCUUCAGUUUGCGCCAUCUCUGUAAAACAAACAGAAACCAGAAAGAAAACUUAGAGAACUUGGAAAUCUAGAAUCACACCCCUAAAUCGAAACUCUAAUAUACAAAUCAAAACCCUAAUUGAAGUUUUUCAUAAAUCUAUAACCGCGCCCCCAAAUCGAAACCCUAACACCUCACGCCAGGCUCUUACCAAACUCGAAAAAUUGAAACCCAUAAAUCAAAACUCUAAUCCCCAAUCCGAAAUCCAAAUCGAUGAAACUGCGAGGAAAGAAAGUAUAUAACCUUUAGCCUUGUCCUUUGAAGCUCUCCGCUUUCGAGACGACGUCGUCUUCUCCGUCCGAAAAUCUUGUUCGUCUGCUUCUCCGUUCUUACACGCGUUCUUCAUUCGUCGGCUUCUCAGUUCUCCAAUCCUGUUGGUCGUCGUCGGAAAAACGGUAUGGGAAAUGUAAAAUUAGGUUAUCAGACUCGGGAAAAGUUGAAACAUAUAGAGUUAUUUACUUUAUCACGGAGCCAAUCUCAGAUAAUUAAGCAAAACACACUACGUCUAUGGAAUCCACCAAUUAGCUUCUCUUAUUUUUAAAUUUUAAACUCCCGAACCAGAGAAAUCAGAAGAAUAUGUUAUAUUACAGAUAUGCCCACAUCUAGUUUGCCUUUUUUGAGGACAAAAAUGACUUUAACCAACAAAAAGUGUCCUGGUAGCAACAACUGCUCUUUCUUGUAAUAAAAAGUCAUAAAGUGUCUAUAUAUGAAAAUAACUCAAAAAUGAAUUUGAAUAUAGGAUAGAAAACAGAAAAUAAACAAAAAAAAAAGUGGAUGAGUAAGAGCAUCUUCAACCCAUCUCUAUAAUAGAGAUCUCUAAAAUAGAGGAAAAAAUAGAGAAGUUGUUUUUGCUCCAAUGUGUUCUUCUAUAAUAGAGGAAUGCUAUAUUUGCCUCUAUAAAUAGAAAAAUGCUAUUUUUUCCCUUAUAUUUAGAGGAAAAAAUAGCAUUCCUCUAUUUAUAGAGACAAAUAUAGCAUUUCUCUAUUAUAGAGGAAUACUUUGGAACAAAAACACUAUUUUUAUUUUUUUUUUCUAUUUUAGAGAUCUUUAUUAUAGAGUUGGGUUGGAGAUGGUGUAAGAGUUUGGCCUAUUUGUACUGAAAGGAAAGAGAAAACAUGAACCUCGUGCGUUAUACUAUCUUACAGAUACACAUCAUUUAUUAUUUUUAAAACUCACAUGAAAAAAUCUUUUUAUCAUUACUUCUUCCUCUCGCGCCUCUUCGUCUAAAAAAACAUAUCCUUCAUUUUUCUCUUUCCUCUCCAUCUCUGUUUUAGCUAGCAAGAACGAUCAGAUCAAAGAUGUCUAGAGUUACCACAGAGCUAGACUUCUUCGGUCUUGAGAAGAAGCAGACCAACAACGUUCCAAAGCCUAAGUUCAAGAAAUUUCUCGACCGUCGUCGCAGUUUCCGAGGUUCGUUUUACUUCUCUUUUCUCUUUAUUUUUUGUCACGAACCAUUUUAUCGAUUUUUAUUUGGUAUUAUUAUUUUUAUUACAGAUAUUCAAGGUGCGAUUUCUAAGAUCCAUCCGGAGAUUAUCAAAUCGUUGUUAGCUUCUGGUGCUAACCAUGCAGAUUCAUCGACUAUAUCUCCUUCGGUUCCGUCUACUCCAAAGGCAGAUCAUCCUCAGAUCCCUAUUUCUCCGGUCCAAGCGCCUCUCACCAUGUUAGUUUCUUUCAUUAUUAUUUUUGCCAUCUUGGCGCAACCAGUAAGCAAACAAAAUAAUAAUAUAAAAUUUUAAUAACUCUUUUCAGGCAAACGGAACAUAGCUCUGGAACUGUUCCUAUGACAAUAUUCUACAAUGGAACCGUCUCCGUUUACCAAGUGUCUCCUAACCAGGCUGAUGAUAUUCUGAAGGUUGUCAUGGAAACAGCACCAAAGAAAGACAAAUCGAUUGUGAAAGAUCAUUUGGUAAUUCCUCCGACCACCCUAAGGACAAAGCUCUUUGGCAAGAAUCUAGAAGGAGGUUAGUAGAAAGUAGAAACUAACAAUGAGCCACCUUUUUUUUUUUUUUUUGAAACACAACAAUGAGCCACCCGGUAGUUGAUUCUUCUAGAGUAUACUAGAUAUUAAUUGCAUGUAGAGGUUUGCAUGUAGAAGUCAGACAGAAAAAAUUGACCGGACCGAUCCAUUAACUAUUGUUCAGGAACUAAAACAAAGUGUAAAUAUUUGUUUUCUGAUAGGGAGGUGUGUUUUUGUUUUUUUUUUGUGUGUGUAGUGUUGGAACUAUUUUUUGAACAUUAUGAAUAAUGUAUUCAUAUGUCAAAAAAGAAGUUUUAUUUGAAUGAGAAAUGGAGGUCUAAUGUGUGUGAUUUGAAAAACUUGUAUAAAGUAGCAAAUACACACAUUGGAUAUUUGAAAUUGGAUUUGGGUUUUUUGAUUUGUUAGUUGGACUUCAUGUUCAUUGACUUAAUCUUAUAAACCAAAUAUAUGUUGAUCUUUUAUAUUGAUAAAAUAUAAAAAAGAAAUCCAUUUUAAAGUAUAUUAUUUUGUUUGAAUUGGUCAAAACAAUAAUAAUUUUAUUCUUUAAUUUCUUGGUCAAAAUGUGGAAUAAAUUCACAUAAUAAUGACAAGAAUUAAAAACUCCAUUAGUGCACUAUGGAGGUUUCAUUUUUGUGUUGAAAAAUGAAACUUGUGCUUCUCAUUAUAUUUCUAUAUAAAGGCUUGUGAGCCAUUUAGAAAAUACACACAUUCAUACAAUCAAGAACAUUUCUCCCACUCAGAAUAGUUAUGCUAGUAUUUUUUAUUCUUUUGAGUCUGAGAGUACAUCACAGAAAUAGGUUCGAUAGAUUCUGUUUUUCGGUGAUGGUAAACAGAAACAAUGCUGCAGUUGUAUCUUGGGAAUCUGAGCGCCAUAAAACCGUCACACUACGGGGCGUUUAAAGAUUUAAGGAAAGAGAUUAACUAUCUCGACUCUGCAAUUCUUCUUUAUUUUUAUAUUUUGGUAUUGAAAUUUUAGUUUAUGUUCUUAUUAUUCUUUACAAAUAUCAGUUGUCCUAUGGUAGUAAAAUAAGGUUCCUACACUCUUAAAUCUUUAAAUAUUGUUUAUGCUUUUGCACUAACAAUACUGAUAUUUGUUAAAAGUUAUUGUUUUUUUUUAAGAACAGGUUAAUCGACGGUCUCGAAACAAAAUCUGGAUUUGUGUUUUCUUCAACCAGCUUUUGAGAUUGUGUAAAGCUUGUGUUCUUGAGCUAACAUUAUUUUUUGCAGGAUCGGUUGAAUUAUUUAAAAUAAUUCUCCUGCACUUACGUGUUUCGGUUGUGAUUUGCAUGAUUUAUUGGUUAUUAGUUUUAUUCCUGUUCAGUCAAUAGCAGUGAUCGAUCUUGUUUUCAGCACUAAUGAUAGUAACACUGGUUUAAGUUUUAUGAAACUAGUCAACAGGUGCUGAUCGUGGGUUCUAGCAAUCGAACGGGAAGAUAAAUUGCAGGUUGUGGUGUUUGAUUAUUGAUUAUAUUAAAUUGCAAAAUUUGAUGAUUUAAAAAAAAAAUUAUGUCAGUUUUUUAUCAUUUUCAAUAUGUUUUUUGAAAAGAAAAAGAGAAAAAAAAAACUGAUGUAGAUUUUAUAUCCAACCGUUACAAAUUGCAAAGGAAAAAGGUUUAUUGCUUUUGGUCAAAGAUAUGUUUUAACUAUUGAUAUUUAAUUAGUAAAACAAUAUGUGGAAUAAAACGUUUUUCUGGAUUACUUAUUGUGGAGUUGUUGUUUAAACUUUAUUAGUCAUAUGUUUGGUAUUGAGUAGUAUAUUAAUCUGGGUUUGGUUUCUAGUGAACAAACCCAUAUGUCAAUAUAGCUAAACCAAAGUGAUUAAUAAAAUCUCGAUUUUUAAGAGAUCGAAUGAUAUAUAUAUGGAAAUGGAUUUAGUGAGUCGACGCCCCAAAUUAAGUUUGGGAGAGGUCUGCCACAUAUAAAUCAUUUGCCAUAGGAAAUAAAAUGUUUGUUGAUAUUGGUCAUAAACAUUUAUAUUUCAUCAAUGCUUAAAUGCAAGUUACAAGAAGAUUGACCAUGCAAAAACAAUGAUAAUUUUCAGACCAAUAUGAUUGAAACUGACAUGUGUAUUGUAGUUUAUAAAGUCAAUAUGGUUGAAAAUAAUCAUAUAUAAUGGUGGUUUUGAUGACACAAAUAAUAUCUUGUGUAUAUUUGUUAAAAAAGCAAAAUAUGUGUUUGGAAAAGAUCCAAAACAUACAAGUUAGAUUUAUAAAUCAACUUGAGAGAACUAUGAAAAUAGUUGUAUGUAAAAUGUGAAUUUCUAAGAAUGAAACACAUUUUUUCAAGAAAAUUGUAAUAAUUUUUGAAAUUGCUUUUAAUUCAUUUAAAUCUAAAGGAGUUGUAGAUUAUUUUCUAAACUCUUAAGAGAUGUUAAAUGUAAUUAUGCAUGUUUUGAGCUAUCUCAAGAAAUGUGGGGGGAAGCUUUGCUUACCAUAUAAAGUCGUUGGCAAGAGGCCAAAUGAACUUAGUGAUAGUUAUCACAAUAUAUUUUUUUUAUUAAAAAAAAACAAACUAGUGUCAUACACUGAGUUUUGUGUAUAAUAGUUAAUUGUAUCUUGAAUAAAAGAUGACAAAAAUCAUUAGACAAUUGAUCUCGACUAAUCUCAAGAGAUUAUGUUCACUAUGGUGACAACCUAGGAUCCUUUAAUUAAAGGUGUGUCAUGAGAUCAAAUUGUUAUAUCAUCAAAAGGAAUGGGUCGCCUGUGAAUUAAGAUGAGGUUUCGCGGUAACUCUACCUAACUGACUGGAGAUCCCAAGAAAUAGGUUCAAGGAGACAACUAAGUGAAACUAAGUCUGCCCAAAGCACUGUAAGACUUCGGUCUAUACCCAAUUCCUAUGAUGAUUAAACAGUGCUACAUGUAAGGAAUACAGGAUAAGCAUUAGCUUUUAAUGAUUUGUGUCCAUAGCUUUGAGAUAUGAAUGGAGUAGUACAUGAUACUCCUCUAAACAAAGUUAAUGGCAAAUCACCUUGUGAGUGUGAAAUGGGGCCGUUUCUAGGAGAAUGAAGGAAAGGCUAUAUUCUCCAAGUUCACUCAUGAUUAACCAAGACUGUUCACGGCCAAAAUGAACACAAUAGAGAACCUAGUUCUGUGAGAGAAUGAAGCUGUGUUAUGGCUAUUGUCUAGGUUUACACCAAAGCCCGGGAGGUUCAAGACAUCAUGGCCACCUCCUGGCCGAGUAAAUCCGAUAGCUAUUAACAAUGACUGGUUCAAGGCUGAAAAAUUGCUACCAACUCAUCAUGCAGUGGAUUUUUCGUUUGUACUCUCAAAAGUCCUUAGUUAGGUCUUGUCGAGUCUUGUCUAGGAAGUUGAGUCUUGUCUAGAAAGUCUGUCGAGUCGUCUAGUGUCUAGAGUCAUUUCUAUUCAUGUGGGGGACUGUUGGAACUAUUUUUUGAACAUUAUGAAUAAUGUAUUCAUAUGUCAAAAAAGAAGUUUUAUUUGAAUGAGAAAUGGAGGUCUAAUGUGUGUGAUUUGAAAAACUUGUAUAAAGUAGCAAAUACACACAUUGGAUAUUUGAAAUUGGAUUUGGGUUUUUUGAUUUGUUAGUUGGACUUCAUGUUCAUUGACUUAAUCUUAUAAACCAAAUAUAUGUUGAUCUUUUAUAUUGAUAAAAUAUAAAAAAGAAAUCCAUUUUAAAGUAUAUUAUUUUGUUUGAAUUGGUCAAAACAAUAAUAAUUUUAUUCUUUAAUUUCUUGGUCAAAAUGUGGAAUAAAUUCACAUAAUAAUGACAAGAAUUAAAAACUCCAUUAGUGCACUAUGGAGGUUUCAUUUUUGUGUUGAAAAAUGAAACUUGUGCUUCUCAUUAUAUUUCUAUAUAAAGGCUUGUGAGCCAUUUAGAAAACACACACAUUCAUACAAUCAAGAACAUUUCUCCCACUCAGAAUAGUUAUGCUAGUAUUUUUUAUUCUUUUGAGUCUGAGAGUACAUCACAGAAAUAGGUUCGAUAGAUUCUGUUUUUCGGUGAUGGUAAACAGAAACAAUGCUGCAGUUGUAUCUUGGGAAUCUGAGCGCCAUAAAACCGUCACACUACGGGGCGCGUUUAAAGAUUUAAGGAAAGAGAUUAACUAUCUCGACUCUGCAAUUCUUCUUUAUUUUUAUAUUUUGGUAUUGAAAUUUUAGUUUAUGUUCUUAUUAUUCUUUACAAAUAUCAGUUGUCCUAUGGUAGUAAAAUAAGGUUCCUACAUCCACUACGUUUGUUGUAUUUUUAGUAUUUUGAAAAGAAAAUUAACACCCAUCUUGACUCCUCAUGAAGCUUCCGUUUGCGUAUUAGAGAAAAUGUGCCUAUAAACACCGUCUUCGAUUAUAAAUAUAUUUGUUUGGUUUAGUUCUUGUCCCUAUAUAUGUAUUAUAAUGGAAAUAAGUUGAAGAAACACGUGAGUGUAUGUUUGUUAUUAUAAUACGAACGGUCGAGUCUUGCCGACUAAUGUGACUUAUUUGCUUAAAGUCUUUAGUCAUAGCACGAGUUUGGUGGAAUCAUAACUAGGGAAGAGAAAUAAGAGACGGAUAAAGUGGGCGUUACUUUGUGUGUGCGCCUUCGUUUUAACCCAUGGGUUUUUACCAUUACCGCUUUAAUUGAAUAGUAUCCAUCACUAUCAAUCUAGCAUUAACAAAGCACGGCUUGUCCGGAUUAAAGAAACAAUAACCCCCAGUUAAUGUCGUCUUUACAGUUGAAAUCAAAGUACCAUAUCAUCUUUUGUUAUUAGAAUUUCAGAAAGUGACAUCAUGAUCAUCUAUUGUACUUGCAUAUAUAUAUAUUGCAUAGCAAUUCAUUUAAACCAUACCACCAUUAAUUGUACAAUCAGAUGAUUUGUGCGUGUAUAUUUGAAGUGAAAUCAUGAUCAUUAUCUAAGUACGUAGUCUUUUAAUAACAUAGCAUAUUCUGCAUAUUUAAAAUGACAUAUUAAAUGAAAAUACAAACACACAUUUUUUUUUAUUUUUUUUGCUAAAUUGUAAACAUCAUUUCAGAAAUAAACUGUUGAGUUUACAAGAUAUGUUGAACAAACUGUAAAACCUUUAAAACAUACUACUAAGGCAAAAAAAGGUAAAAAAACAUGGAAGCAGACAUCAAUCGAACUUGAAACCAUUAUGCUUUGGAGCGAACAGGUCUUCAAGUAUCGAUACAAACUUGUAAUAGCCGGAUGGAAGGUUGAGCCGAGACGGCUUGAAAGGAGAGACUCGAGAAACUAGAACGCAAGGAACAGAACACUAGUAGGAAGCGGAUUCAACGGCUGCCUGCACAACUUGCUUUACUCCGAGAGACAAAAACGAUUCCGCUCAAGGACUGUCCUCUAGGUCCGGACUGGGAAAGAACUAAAUUCGGAUUCAGCAAAAGACGGGACAACACACACUACGGGUGCUUAAUAGCGCUCAAGUAACUCUACCGCAUUCGCCCUCUAUAUCGGUACAGAGAAAGGGGCAGCAUUACCACUUCCCGAGUCUUACUACCUCCUCCAACUGCAAAGUGUUACCAGGAGCUCCAAGGAAACGAAGAACUUCCACAACCCAACUCAAUUAAACCUGCAAUACCAAUCCAUGAUAACAAGAAACGCCAAUACCAACAACAAAGGAGGGGAGAGGAGCUAAGUUAAUGCAUCACUCAGUAGCUAAUCGCCAAUCUUGACUCAACGGAGUGACAGAGAUGACCCUAUCGCGUUCAGUCCGAGGUCCCGAAACCUCUAGCUCAGACGACGCGUACCCGGAUAGCCUUUGAAGGUAGCGGCAAAAAGCGACCUUUUCUUCCGGUCUUGCGAAAAGAUUUAGGUGUCGGGAGAGGAGAUUGCUUCAGUGGUGCGGAGGAUGAAGCGGCGGCACAGUCGCUAGAGGCACCGCAUCGCAAAACCUUCUCAGCUUCGACGAAUUUAACGACGUCCUCUGCGAAGACGACGACCCGAAACAGAGUCACUCACCGACAAACCUUCACGCCGAAGAUGGAUUUGGAUAUGACGGGGUCGGCAAAAGCCCUCUCGCAGCGCCGAACGCGCCGGAGAGGCGAUCGGAUCCAAGAAAAAAAGUUUUCAAAAGUUAGGAUUGAAAGAGAAAUUGGGGGCGCGUAAUUUCUAAUCGCCUUCGAUAGGAAAACCGUAUGAACAUGACAAACACACAUUAGUACACACAUUAGCUUUGUUAUUUAGAAUUUAUGGAGGUGGUUAAUUCUUCGAAGGCUAAGAUCACACAGGGACUUGAAUAUUUAAUCCCUUAAAUAAGCAUUAUUGACAUCUUUAAAAAAGUAUUAAUAAUUUCGAUAUGGUUAAACUUAUCCGGCUAAUAAUGCAACUGCAGAUCACUGUUUUGAUUUGAUCUAUGUAUCAAAGAUAACAAUCGUAAUCUGAGCUACUAAUCAAUAAUUGUCAUUACAACUCCACUACAUGACAAUCAAUAGGUGACAUACAAUAACUCAAGUCUAAUACUUCUAAACUAUUACAACUCCACUAGUUUAAAUUGGAUUCGAUAUAGAUUUAAAGCGACAAGGCAAGUAUCACCAUUCAUGAAACCGCUGAUUUGUAGCAUCAGAAUUUGUUGAUUAAACAUUUUUGGUUAAGUACACACUCUACAAUGCAGAAGUAUUCGAUAUCUAAUAUAUUUUCCCCAUCAAUCUUCUUUGUUCAAACUUAAAUUUUUUGAAGAAUCUAUAAUUCCUUUUUAAACAUUCAUGAUCUGAGUGAAAAAAUUGAUUCUAUCGUUUCAACCAAAUAAUGAAUCAUGCUCAUUAGCCAAGCUGUUCUCUCUAUUAAACUCCUUUGGAUAUGGAACGAUUUUUUUAGUAGUAUUAUAGAGCAACAGGUCAGAAUCAAUUCAAAUUACAUCUGUGUAAUACGUUCAGAUCAAAUAUAUAGGAAUUAAUAUAAAUUCAAAAACAUUUUGAUCAAAAAGCAUCAAAAUCAAUCAAGAUUUCCAAAUUCACUAGCGCCAGAUUUAAUAUAAAUCAAGUGUCAAAAUACGGAUCUGAACUAAGCAGUCAUGAUACAUCAACAGUGGUUUCCCUUUCACACUAGUUUGAGACAUACCAUUACUAAUUCUUAUGCGUUUCUUUUGUACAAGAACAGAUGGAUCACAAGAUGUUACAUUCUUAAUUGGCAUCGGUUGAAAACAAUAAAAUCUACUGAACCAAGAGAUUAAAUCCAUUAUAAAUCAAUUUAAGCAAUUAGCAAACGUUUUAAGCGGAAGUCUAUGAAAUUGCAAAAGAAGAAAAAUCUAUAGAUUGGUGAAUGGGAGCAUCAGUUUUAAAAAGCUCGAUUUAUAUAAUCCGCAUGGUUAAUCGGAAGCACCGUUGUAGUGCAUAAAAAAAAUCAUCAUCUGCUCCGAUUCAUUCAAUCGAAAUUAAAAUUUUAGAUUCCGAAAAGUCGAAAGAAAAGACAGAACAAAACACUAGCAAUAAUCCAUCCGACAUGCAAACCUUAAACAGAGACAUUUAAAACAGCAGAUAGUCAAGAGACUGAAGAUUAAAAAAAAACUAAAGAGAAGGAACUGCGAGAUAGCGUCUGAAAGAUAAGAUAGCUAAAAAAAAUUAUUUUAUAGGCCACGACUCACAGAAACCCUAGUUUGCGCCGAACAGGGCUUUUAGUUAUCGAAUUUAGUUUAGAUAUAUCGGAUCACAUAUGUUAUUCCGAUGUCAUCUUGGGCCAGCCCAAAAUGUAUGGGCCGAUGCUUAUCUAUCUAAUGGGCAACGAAGAAGAUCCUACUUAGGCUUAGCAUUUAUAUUUGAAACUCGUGUUACGGGUUUUCAAAUGGGCUUUUCUUCUUUGCACUAGUAAUUUCAGCUGAGAAGUGAGUCCAUGUUUCAGCCGAAAGCCAUCAAGGUUUUUUACACACCUAUAUUAUAUACUGUAUAUCAAUCAAUUGUAAGCUUUUAAAAUCUCAACAUUUUAUAGGGAGUAAAAUAAUGUGUACACGAAAAGCAAGAGAAUGUGCACAUUUUAAAAAUAGCAUGGAAGUGGAUCAUGAUUGCAAUCCUGGAUGGACAGUCUCUGCGUGAUAGGUUCAGUGCGAAAUAGCAAAACGAAGAAAUGUAAUUUUAGCUUAUGGUUUUGUGUGUUUAGUUCGUUUCUUGUCCUUUUUAUGUCUUCCAAAUAUUCUCACCGGUUAUAUAGAUCUAUGUAGACACUAUUCGUAAUCGUAUGAAAAAAGUGAUGCAUGUUCGAACAACAAAACACUUUAGAAAAAAAACGCAAAAGCAUCAGUUUCAAAAGCCAUCAACAAUCAAACAACAAAAUUCUGAAGACGGUGUUUUGUUUUCUUCAUUGUUGUCAAAUAACCAUGGUGAGAGUCUAAUCCUUGAAAAUUAGAAUGCUGGAAUAUAUAUAUAUAUCAGCAUUGUUCUUGCUAUUAUUAAAUCUCAUCUUCUGAACAUAAAAAUAUACGUAUAUCUUUAGUUUUACUUUUAUUUUCGUAUCUUAUCAGUGAUUUUUGUCAUUAUCUAAGGGCAUCUCCAUCCCUACUCCAUUUUUUUCUCUAAAAUGGAGUAAAAGUGAUUAUGGAGUAAAGAAUGCUCCAACCCAACCUCAUAUCUCAUUCCAUAAUGAAGUUUACUCCAUAAAUGGAGUAAUCUAUUUUUUGUUUGUUCAUCACUCCAUUAUAGAGUGGGAAAUGGAGUAGGAUUGGAGCAAUUUUACUCCAUUUUCACUUUUACUCCAUUUUGGAAGAAAAAAUGGUGUUUUACAUUGGAGAUGCUCUAACCAGUUCCCAUGACUUAUAGCCAAAUUGCUUAUUUGAAAUGUUUACUUAUUUGAAAUGUUUACUUAUCUUGCUUUGCUAUGUUUUGAUUCUCAAGUUAUUUAGGCCAACUUAUAUACACUCAGCAUAUAUAAUAACUAGAAAUAAAUGAAUAUAGCAUUUAGCUCUAACAUAUGUCAGAAACUGAAUACUUAGUUUAGUGGUGUUUAUGUAUAGGUGAAAAACAAAAAAUGAGAAUCUCGCGUGGCCUGCAACUCAAAACCAUAUGAAAAUACUUGGAAUCAGGAGAAAGAGAAGUAGGUUGACGCAGAAAUUUGAUUUUGACCAAUAAACGAGAGAAUGAUGAUAAUAUUCUAUGUAUGCACAUGUAUCGGUAUGUCUCUCUAUGUAUUAAAUUUGUAAAGGAGAAUAUUCGUUAAGACGUGAAGAGGAAGAGGUGGUUGUAGAUAAAGGGGACAUGCAAUGCAGAAAGAGAGAGAAAGUCAUGUUUCUUUUGCAACAUUGGAAUGAUAACUCUUCCACUCACUCUUCACUAUAUGCCUCAGAAUUUACUUGUCCCAAUAAGCCUGCCUAAGGGCAUCUUUCUUCCAGUAUGCAUGUCCAUGUUUAUACAUUAUACAACAAACAUUCUAAUUAAAAAUUUACCAAGUGAUACUGUUACGUGUAUGGCUGGCUAGAUAUAGUUUUUUUUUUAUAAAUGGACUACAACUCAUACACAAUUAUACAAUAAGUUAACAUUUUAAUUUUUACUUGUUCUAAUGGAAUAUGGAAUAUGAUUCUUGAGUCGAGAGAAACAAACAUUGUGUAGUGAUGAACUGAUGAUUUUAUACAAUUAUAUAUAGAGUAAUAUGUAAGCAAUAAAAUUAUGACGAAAUCAGUAUGUUAUUCCAAUCCAGUGGAAUGACAACCUAUUUCGUAUGCGGGACUAUUCCGUCACGGGACUUAUCACCUCUAUUUCGCCCGGAGAGUUCUGAACAUGAAAGACUUUCAUACUUGUACUUAUAAACCAUCUAAGAAAAAUUAGAGGAAAAACUAACCAACCAUCGUGACUAUGCUGCAAGAAAUCUUUUGAGACAAAAUGAAAAUGUAAGUUGGGCUCAACUCCAAAAGAUUUAAAAUUCACAUGCAAAGGUUUAUGGAAUGAUAGAUAGUCUGUUAUCCCAUUUAUACUAGAAAAGAAAUCGCCAAACAAGCCAUUUCAGUUAAUAAGUAUAGUGGCUAUUCGUUAGAGAAGGUUAUGUAUAUCUAUUGGAUCCUUUUGACCAAAAAAAAAUCUAUUGGAUCCUAAUAUCAAAAGUCCACUGAAAUAUACUAAGUCUGCUGAGUUAGCUAGUUAUUAUUUCUGUUGGAACUAUUUUUUGAACAUUAUGAAUAAUGUAUUCAUAUGUCAAAAAAGAAGUUUUAUUUGAAUGAGAAAUGGAGGUCUAAUGUGUGUGAUUUGAAAAACUUGUAUAAAGUAGCAAAUACACACAUUGGAUAUUUGAAAUUGGAUUUGGGUUUUUUGAUUUGUUAGUUGGACUUCAUGUUCAUUGACUUAAUCUUAUAAACCAAAUAUAUGUUGAUCUUUUAUAUUGAUAAAAUAUAAAAAAGAAAUCCAUUUUAAAGUAUAUUAUUUUGUUUGAAUUGGUCAAAACAAUAAUAAUUUUAUUCUUUAAUUUCUUGGUCAAAAUGUGGAAUAAAUUCACAUAAUAAUGACAAGAAUUAAAAACUCCAUUAGUGCACUAUGGAGGUUUCAUUUUUGUGUUGAAAAAUGAAACUUGUGCUUCUCAUUAUAUUUCUAUAUAAAGGCUUGUGAGCCAUUUAGAAAACACACACAUUCAUACAAUCAAGAACAUUUCUCCCACUCAGAAUAGUUAUGCUAGUAUUUUUUAUUCUUUUGAGUCUGAGAGUACAUCAGAGAAAUAGGUUCGAUAGAUUCUGUUUUUCGGUGAUGGUAAACAGAAACAAUGCUGCAGUUGUAUCUUGGGAAUCUGAGCGCCAUAAAACCGUCACACUACGGGGCGCGUUUAAAGAUUUAAGGAAAGAGAUUAACUAUCUCGACUCUGCAAUUCUUCUUUAUUUUUAUAUUUUGGUAUUGAAAUUUUAGUUUAUGUUCUUAUUAUUCUUUACAAAUAUCAGUUGUCCUAUGGUAGUAAAAUAAGGUUCCUACAUCCACUACGUUUGUUGUAUUUUUAGUAUUUUGAAAAGAAAAUUAACACCCAUCUUGACUCCUCAUGAAGCUUCCGUUUGCGUAUUAGAGAAAAUGUGCCUAUAAACACCGUCUUCGAUUAUAAAUAUAUUUGUUUGGUUUAGUUCUUGUCCCUAUAUAUGUAUUAUAAUGGAAAUAAGUUGAAGAAACACGUGAGUGUAUGUUUGUUAUUAUAAUACGAACGGUCGAGUCUUGCCGACUAAUGUGACUUAUUUGCUUAAAGUCUUUAGUCAUAGCACGAGUUUGGUGGAAUCAUAACUAGGGAAGAGAAAUAAGAGACGGAUAAAGUGGGCGUUACUUUGUGUGUGCGCCUUCGUUUUAACCCAUGGGUUUUUACCAUUACCGCUUUAAUUGAAUAGUAUCCAUCACUAUCAAUCUAGCAUUAACAAAGCACGGCUUGUCCGGAUUAAAGAAACAAUAACCCCCAGUUAAUGUCGUCUUUACAGUUGAAAUCAAAGUACCAUAUCAUCUUUUGUUAUUAGAAUUUCAGAAAGUGACAUCAUGAUCAUCUAUUGUACUUGCAUAUAUAUAUAUUGCAUAGCAAUUCAUUUAAACCAUACCACCAUUAAUUGUACAAUCAGAUGAUUUGUGCGUGUAUAUUUGAAGUGAAAUCAUGAUCAUUAUCUAAGUACGUAGUCUUUUAAUAACAUAGCAUAUUCUGCAUAUUUAAAAUGACAUAUUAAAUGAAAAUACAAACACACAUUUUUUUUUAUUUUUUUUGCUAAAUUGUAAACAUCAUUUCAGAAAUAAACUGUUGAGUUUACAAGAUAUGUUGAACAAACUGUAAAACCUUUAAAACAUACUACUAAGGCAAAAAAAGGUAAAAAAACAUGGAAGCAGACAUCAAUCGAACUUGAAACCAUUAUGCUUUGGAGCGAACAGGUCUUCAAGUAUCGAUACAAACUUGUAAUAGCCGGAUGGAAGGUUGAGCCGAGACGGCUUGAAAGGAGAGACUCGAGAAACUAGAACGCAAGGAACAGAACACUAGUAGGAAGCGGAUUCAACGGCUGCCUGCACAACUUGCUUUACUCCGAGAGACAAAAACGAUUCCGCUCAAGGACUGUCCUCUAGGUCCGGACUGGGAAAGAACUAAAUUCGGAUUCAGCAAAAGACGGGACAACACACACUACGGGUGCUUAAUAGCGCUCAAGUAACUCUACCGCAUUCGCCCUCUAUAUCGGUACAGAGAAAGGGGCAGCAUUACCACUUCCCGAGUCUUACUACCUCCUCCAACUGCAAAGUGUUACCAGGAGCUCCAAGGAAACGAAGAACUUCCACAACCCAACUCAAUUAAACCUGCAAUACCAAUCCAUGAUAACAAGAAACGCCAAUACCAACAACAAAGGAGGGGAGAGGAGCUAAGUUAAUGCAUCACUCAGUAGCUAAUCGCCAAUCUUGACUCAACGGAGUGACAGAGAUGACCCUAUCGCGUUCAGUCCGAGGUCCCGAAACCUCUAGCUCAGACGACGCGUACCCGGAUAGCCUUUGAAGGUAGCGGCAAAAAGCGACCUUUUCUUCCGGUCUUGCGAAAAGAUUUAGGUGUCGGGAGAGGAGAUUGCUUCAGUGGUGCGGAGGAUGAAGCGGCGGCACAGUCGCUAGAGGCACCGCAUCGCAAAACCUUCUCAGCUUCGACGAAUUUAACGACGUCCUCUGCGAAGACGACGACCCGAAACAGAGUCACUCACCGACAAACCUUCACGCCGAAGAUGGAUUUGGAUAUGACGGGGUCGGCAAAAGCCCUCUCGCAGCGCCGAACGCGCCGGAGAGGCGAUCGGAUCCAAGAAAAAAAGUUUUCAAAAGUUAGGAUUGAAAGAGAAAUUGGGGGCGCGUAAUUUCUAAUCGCCUUCGAUAGGAAAACCGUAUGAACAUGACAAACACACAUUAGUACACACAUUAGCUUUGUUAUUUAGAAUUUAUGGAGGUGGUUAAUUCUUCGAAGGCUAAGAUCACACAGGGACUUGAAUAUUUAAUCCCUUAAAUAAGCAUUAUUGACAUCUUUAAAAAAGUAUUAAUAAUUUCGAUAUGGUUAAACUUAUCCGGCUAAUAAUGCAACUGCAGAUCACUGUUUUGAUUUGAUCUAUGUAUCAAAGAUAACAAUCGUAAUCUGAGCUACUAAUCAAUAAUUGUCAUUACAACUCCACUACAUGACAAUCAAUAGGUGACAUACAAUAACUCAAGUCUAAUACUUCUAAACUAUUACAACUCCACUAGUUUAAAUUGGAUUCGAUAUAGAUUUAAAGCGACAAGGCAAGUAUCACCAUUCAUGAAACCGCUGAUUUGUAGCAUCAGAAUUUGUUGAUUAAACAUUUUUGGUUAAGUACACACUCUACAAUGCAGAAGUAUUCGAUAUCUAAUAUAUUUUCCCCAUCAAUCUUCUUUGUUCAAACUUAAAUUUUUUGAAGAAUCUAUAAUUCCUUUUUAAACAUUCAUGAUCUGAGUGAAAAAAUUGAUUCUAUCGUUUCAACCAAAUAAUGAAUCAUGCUCAUUAGCCAAGCUGUUCUCUCUAUUAAACUCCUUUGGAUAUGGAACGAUUUUUUUAGUAGUAUUAUAGAGCAACAGGUCAGAAUCAAUUCAAAUUACAUCUGUGUAAUACGUUCAGAUCAAAUAUAUAGGAAUUAAUAUAAAUUCAAAAACAUUUUGAUCAAAAAGCAUCAAAAUCAAUCAAGAUUUCCAAAUUCACUAGCGCCAGAUUUAAUAUAAAUCAAGUGUCAAAAUACGGAUCUGAACUAAGCAGUCAUGAUACAUCAACAGUGGUUUCCCUUUCACACUAGUUUGAGACAUACCAUUACUAAUUCUUAUGCGUUUCUUUUGUACAAGAACAGAUGGAUCACAAGAUGUUACAUUCUUAAUUGGCAUCGGUUGAAAACAAUAAAAUCUACUGAACCAAGAGAUUAAAUCCAUUAUAAAUCAAUUUAAGCAAUUAGCAAACGUUUUAAGCGGAAGUCUAUGAAAUUGCAAAAGAAGAAAAAUCUAUAGAUUGGUGAAUGGGAGCAUCAGUUUUAAAAAGCUCGAUUUAUAUAAUCCGCAUGGUUAAUCGGAAGCACCGUUGUAGUGCAUAAAAAAAAUCAUCAUCUGCUCCGAUUCAUUCAAUCGAAAUUAAAAUUUUAGAUUCCGAAAAGUCGAAAGAAAAGACAGAACAAAACACUAGCAAUAAUCCAUCCGACAUGCAAACCUUAAACAGAGACAUUUAAAACAGCAGAUAGUCAAGAGACUGAAGAUUAAAAAAAAACUAAAGAGAAGGAACUGCGAGAUAGCGUCUGAAAGAUAAGAUAGCUAAAAAAAAUUAUUUUAUAGGCCACGACUCACAGAAACCCUAGUUUGCGCCGAACAGGGCUUUUAGUUAUCGAAUUUAGUUUAGAUAUAUCGGAUCACAUAUGUUAUUCCGAUGUCAUCUUGGGCCAGCCCAAAAUGUAUGGGCCGAUGCUUAUCUAUCUAAUGGGCAACGAAGAAGAUCCUACUUAGGCUUAGCAUUUAUAUUUGAAACUCGUGUUACGGGUUUUCAAAUGGGCUUUUCUUCUUUGCACUAGUAAUUUCAGCUGAGAAGUGAGUCCAUGUUUCAGCCGAAAGCCAUCAAGGUUUUUUACACACCUAUAUUAUAUACUGUAUAUCAAUCAAUUGUAAGCUUUUAAAAUCUCAACAUUUUAUAGGGAGUAAAAUAAUGUGUACACGAAAAGCAAGAGAAUGUGCACAUUUUAAAAAUAGCAUGGAAGUGGAUCAUGAUUGCAAUCCUGGAUGGACAGUCUCUGCGUGAUAGGUUCAGUGCGAAAUAGCAAAACGAAGAAAUGUAAUUUUAGCUUAUGGUUUUGUGUGUUUAGUUCGUUUCUUGUCCUUUUUAUGUCUUCCAAAUAUUCUCACCGGUUAUAUAGAUCUAUGUAGACACUAUUCGUAAUCGUAUGAAAAAAGUGAUGCAUGUUCGAACAACAAAACACUUUAGAAAAAAAACGCAAAAGCAUCAGUUUCAAAAGCCAUCAACAAUCAAACAACAAAAUUCUGAAGACGGUGUUUUGUUUUCUUCAUUGUUGUCAAAUAACCAUGGUGAGAGUCUAAUCCUUGAAAAUUAGAAUGCUGGAAUAUAUAUAUAUAUCAGCAUUGUUCUUGCUAUUAUUAAAUCUCAUCUUCUGAACAUAAAAAUAUACGUAUAUCUUUAGUUUUACUUUUAUUUUCGUAUCUUAUCAGUGAUUUUUGUCAUUAUCUAAGGGCAUCUCCAUCCCUACUCCAUUUUUUUCUCUAAAAUGGAGUAAAAGUGAUUAUGGAGUAAAGAAUGCUCCAACCCAACCUCAUAUCUCAUUCCAUAAUGAAGUUUACUCCAUAAAUGGAGUAAUCUAUUUUUUGUUUGUUCAUCACUCCAUUAUAGAGUGGGAAAUGGAGUAGGAUUGGAGCAAUUUUACUCCAUUUUCACUUUUACUCCAUUUUGGAAGAAAAAAUGGUGUUUUACAUUGGAGAUGCUCUAACCAGUUCCCAUGACUUAUAGCCAAAUUGCUUAUUUGAAAUGUUUACUUAUUUGAAAUGUUUACUUAUCUUGCUUUGCUAUGUUUUGAUUCUCAAGUUAUUUAGGCCAACUUAUAUACACUCAGCAUAUAUAAUAACUAGAAAUAAAUGAAUAUAGCAUUUAGCUCUAACAUAUGUCAGAAACUGAAUACUUAGUUUAGUGGUGUUUAUGUAUAGGUGAAAAACAAAAAAUGAGAAUCUCGCGUGGCCUGCAACUCAAAACCAUAUGAAAAUACUUGGAAUCAGGAGAAAGAGAAGUAGGUUGACGCAGAAAUUUGAUUUUGACCAAUAAACGAGAGAAUGAUGAUAAUAUUCUAUGUAUGCACAUGUAUCGGUAUGUCUCUCUAUGUAUUAAAUUUGUAAAGGAGAAUAUUCGUUAAGACGUGAAGAGGAAGAGGUGGUUGUAGAUAAAGGGGACAUGCAAUGCAGAAAGAGAGAGAAAGUCAUGUUUCUUUUGCAACAUUGGAAUGAUAACUCUUCCACUCACUCUUCACUAUAUGCCUCAGAAUUUACUUGUCCCAAUAAGCCUGCCUAAGGGCAUCUUUCUUCCAGUAUGCAUGUCCAUGUUUAUACAUUAUACAACAAACAUUCUAAUUAAAAAUUUACCAAGUGAUACUGUUACGUGUAUGGCUGGCUAGAUAUAGUUUUUUUUUUAUAAAUGGACUACAACUCAUACACAAUUAUACAAUAAGUUAACAUUUUAAUUUUUACUUGUUCUAAUGGAAUAUGGAAUAUGAUUCUUGAGUCGAGAGAAACAAACAUUGUGUAGUGAUGAACUGAUGAUUUUAUACAAUUAUAUAUAGAGUAAUAUGUAAGCAAUAAAAUUAUGACGAAAUCAGUAUGUUAUUCCAAUCCAGUGGAAUGACAACCUAUUUCGUAUGCGGGACUAUUCCGUCACGGGACUUAUCACCUCUAUUUCGCCCGGAGAGUUCUGAACAUGAAAGACUUUCAUACUUGUACUUAUAAACCAUCUAAGAAAAAUUAGAGGAAAAACUAACCAACCAUCGUGACUAUGCUGCAAGAAAUCUUUUGAGACAAAAUGAAAAUGUAAGUUGGGCUCAACUCCAAAAGAUUUAAAAUUCACAUGCAAAGGUUUAUGGAAUGAUAGAUAGUCUGUUAUCCCAUUUAUACUAGAAAAGAAAUCGCCAAACAAGCCAUUUCAGUUAAUAAGUAUAGUGGCUAUUCGUUAGAGAAGGUUAUGUAUAUCUAUUGGAUCCUUUUGACCAAAAAAAAAUCUAUUGGAUCCUAAUAUCAAAAGUCCACUGAAAUAUACUAAGUCUGCUGAGUUAGCUAGUUAUUAUUUCUACCAUAUUAAAAACUAACCCCACUCCAAUAGAUGUAAAAUGCAUUUUUACGUUGACAAAAACAAAUGAACAAACCAUACAAAAGUAAAAUCGAAGCAAAAAGCCAUUGUUGGUGUACUCACCUAAGCUCAAAGAAUUUUACAUAAUUCCAUUUUUGGUUUCCUCUAUAGUUAAAAAAACUUGGACAUCAUAAAUUUGUUUCUAAAGACAAAAGGUAUAAAACUUUUUAAUGGAAAAAAAAAACUUUUUAUGGUUUGAUUCAAAGGCUAAGUCAUUUCAUGCCCCAUGCAGUCACUAGAGAGGCCACGCCUCUGGACCUUUUCACUUCCUCUUUUCCACCAAAAGCUGACUCUCUCCCUCUAUAUGCAUGGAUGUAUGUCCUCUUGAUGGAGUAUACUUUUUAUGGACCAUGCACUAAUUAAUGUUGACAUCCAAGUGUGUCUUGAACAAAAUUUUAGGAGUUGUGGUUGAACAUAACUGUGUAACAUGGUCACGGCUAAAUAGCAUGCUGAAAUAUGCAUACUGGCGAGAAUGGGAGCAUUCAAAGACGUUAACUGUCGAGGUGGAAGAGACGGUUAGUUUCCAUAUCUUACUAUUAAAUUGAAAACGUACUCACAUCAAAUUGUCGGGGAGCACAUGGUUCUUAUUAGAAGUACAAUUCGGUGAGAAACAACGUCUUGCAACGCACCACAAAGUCUGUAUGUUUUGCUGUAUGAUCUGGGGAAAUGAGCUUUUAACCGAAAACAUCAUCAUUUUCGGUGCAUGCCGAAUUCCCCUUAGCGUUUAUUUUUCGUAUUUUUAAUCACUGACUUAAAUAUUCGUAGUUUUUUCAUUUAUGAAUAAUUAAUCAUCAUUCUUGGGAUUAUUAAAACACUUCAUAUCUAAAUAAUUGAAAUUUGACAGGUCUAAUGCAAUCAUGCCUCGCACUCCACUCGUCUCAUUUUCUGGCUUUACUGAAAAUCCCAGCUUUUAUUUAACCCCAGAAUUACCAAACACAUGUUUAAAAGGGUAUAACUUCUUCAUCUAUUUUAAAGAGUAAAGACAACACAAGUAAGUAAAAAUAAAAACAAACUUACGUGAUAUGCUAAUUACAGUUUGACUCGGUCAACCCGUUGAAUAUUUUUCCUAUUUAGAAUAUUUGUAGAUGGUCACUACACAUCAUACAUGCCACCUUUUCUAUUCGUAAAGUACAGCAGUGAUUGCUAUAUCUUUUACUUAUAAGUUCAGGUAUAUACGGAUUUAAUUUUGAAUGUUCAAGCUGUAACAUUAUAACUUGUGUAGUAUUUUCAGUUUUUUUCUUUCAUUUACAAAAAAAUUACAAAUGCUGAAUUUUAACUAAAAUCAAAAAGAGUUAUAUUGUUUUGUAUAAAAUAGAAUAAGAGUAACUUAAUUAUUUAAGCUACAAUUUGUUUAUUUUCUGAUUUUUAAUCUGCAUAAAUAAAUAUAGAACUAGCGAAUUAGUGCGAUUAAAAAUUUACAGAUAUACACGUUAUGAUAUGCCAUUGAGAAAGAUGGUUUUGCAUCAGCUGAACCAUGUACGACACAGAGUUUGGCCUAAUAAUAAGAUUUUUUGGGGGACAGCCAAUUAAUAACAUAUAUAUAAGAAAUUCGUAGAUAUAAAUGGUAGCUGUCGAGUAAUGCAUGAGCAUAGAUAUGUAAUCUGUUGCAUAUACGUGUUAUAAGUUGUAUUCUGUGUCUCGCAUGAUGUGUUAGAUAAAAGGAUAUUAGUUUAUUUCACAUUUCAUCAAAAAAAAAGAAUAUUAGUUUUUUUUUUGCUAAAAGAGGAUAUUAGUUUUUUUUUUUUUGACGUCAAACGGAAAGAUAUUAGUUGUAACGACAAGAUACAUUAAAGAAUAUACAACUAUGGUUCUUCUCGUGUAGUAUUUAUAUCUUAUGUACGUUGAAUAGGUAUGCGAAAUAUCUCAAAAAUUUGUUGGCUUGAUGACGUAUGUAUAUGCUGGUUUUAUUUAAUUUUAUUAUGUUAUUGUGGAUUAAGUCCUCCAUGCAGCUAGGUUGGACCGAUAAAAAUGAAACGAUAAUAUUUGCAUAUAUAAAAAUAAAUAUUUAACACAUUUAUGGUGAUUUAAUAGUAAUUUGAGGUUUCGUCGUGUGGAUGGAAGGCAUUGUUCAAUUCAUUAUAUUAGAUUUUAAUCAUAGUUUGUCCACACUUUUUAGGUUUACAAGUCUUUAAAUUCUGAUAAUUAUCUUCCAGUUUUUGUUUGUUUAACGCUACGUAUAUGUGGUGAAGAGAAAAAGAAAAUAUGUAUGUGUAUAAUAAUUAAUAACACCAAAAUAUAUGUUUUCUUUUUGAAAAAUAAAAAUUGCCUUCAAAAUAAAAAUAUAUGUACUGAGAUUGACCUUAUAAGAAGCUUUUCAUAUUAAUGUCCAUAACUUUCUAUAAUUGCAAGAUCGACCUCUCUCUCUCUCUUUCUUUCUUUCUCUCUGCAGCAAUUUAAUUUCAAAAGAUUCCAAACAAAGAGAAUUGAUAGAAAGUGAGAUUUGCAAAAUUUUAUUAUCUUCCUCCUCUAAUCCUCUCCUAUUAUUAAGGCGCAUAUACUCAUCCAUCUAUCUCUCUCUAACUAGCUUCAUGGCUGCUUCGACCAUUCAUUGACUUCUUGAUCUCUGGUCUCCACCUAACAAGUAAGAAACCCUAAUUUAUUAUUCUCUCCUCCUUCUCCCCUCAUGUUGAGAUCAUCAGAAACGCUUCGUCUCCCUCAUCUCCUGCUGUCUUUGGCUAUUCCGGUCAUCAGAUUCUGCCAUGGUUCCUGAUGCUGAAUCCUCCACAACGCUUCUUCUUUCAUGUGGGUUUUCUAGUAGUUUCGCUUUUAUGAGGUUAUUACAAAGGGCUCAUCACUUCUCUGCCGUCUCUGAGGACGACGACAACGAAGACAUUCGCUUAGGAUCUGAUCAUCAAGUAAAAGAUAAACAUCACCAAGUUUGUAGGAGAGAUCGUAGUUUCAUGGCCGAUCAAGAAGAGCCGAGGAGUACAACUUCUAGGUUAAGCUCCAAGGAAGACGACGACAACAACAAGAAUAAUACCAUCAACAAUGAAGCGGAAGAUCAUGAGAUGAGACAAGAAGGGUGGCUCCGGUUAAGCACUGGCCACGAGGAUGAUGUUAAACUGAAUAUUGACCAUGUGCAACAACAUCAAACCGAUCCAGCGGAUAGGAGAGACUCUUUUCUAGAGCUUAAUCUUUUCUCUGGCGGUUCGAAUAGAGAAGAAGGAGUUGGUCUUACAUCAAUGUCAUCUCUCUUACAUCAUCAGCAUCAGCCAAGAGGGAUGAUGAUUAAUCCAUUGAUGUUCCCUACCAGGCCUGAUCAGGAGAUGAUUGGUUCUUGGGCGGCUGCCUUUAGAACGCCUUUUGUCCCACAAAACCUAGUGCAACCAUCAUCAUCAGCUGCUUCUUUGAUGCCCUUGCUAAGACCCUACUUUGGCCGCUCCAAUUUUCAGCAGCAGUUAAUAGGGAAUAAUAAUAAUAAUCCGGAUGUGUUGGCUGGUCCAAGCUCGAGUUUUCGAGUCAUUGAUCCUCCUAGACGACCCCAUUCCGGCGUUUGGUUCCUCCUUCAAGCUUCUCAAAACCAGUAAGUGCUAAAUGUUCACUUCCUAGACACUGUUAUGUAAGGUCCAUAAUUUCUUGAUCACACAACCAAAGUUUACUAGAUUGGAUUUUCUAGAUUCUUUCUUUUUGGUUGUAAUCAUAAGGUGUUCACAAGAUUCUAUAUUUUUAUAUUUUAAGUUCUUGGUUUUAUCUUUGGAUAAACGUUUUAGGACAAGAGAACCAUUCUUGCCUCAGAUCCCAAAGAGCUACUUGAGAAUCAAGUAAGUAUUCAUUAAUUAUUAAGAUUCUAGCACUCAUUAUUUCUUGGCUAACCAGCUAGAUAAAUUAGUAUACAAGAAUGACAGAUAAAAGGACGUGAGUUUAAUCUAAACUUUAUAUAUGGCUGAUUAAUUUUGGUGUUCUUGGAUUGCGUAGGGACGGGAAUAUGACUGUUCGACUAUUGAAAAAAUAUUUGGUGAAUAAGUUGCGAUUAGAGCACGAAUCCCAGGUAUUUUUUAUUAAUCUCAUCAACUCUUUAAUUUCUAGUAAGUAUUUCUUUAACUCUAGUGUUCUAGAUUCUAUGAACACAUUGCUUGCCGUAACUACAAUCGUCUAAGUUGUUUUCAAAAAGAAAAAAAAAUCUAAAACGUUACAUAACUACUUUUUUGAUAAAGGAAAUUUAUGUUACAUAAUUACUUUAUAAAGCAUAAAGAGGAUAUGAUAAUAGUACGACAAAACAUAAAACAUAUAGUAAAAGAAAAGAAGAAAUCGUGGAGAGGGUACAUUCAUGGGGGUUGGUGUACUGAGGAACAUGACAAUAACAUUGGAACUAGAUUGCCUCAAAAGUGUCUCCAUGUUAAUUAGGUCACAAGUAGAUGUCGUUGCUAGGUAUAAGCCGUUUUGUUAUUUCUUUGUUUUAUAUGCUUAUUAUCCAUAAAUUGAUUUUCAACCUUUUUGAGUUUGUCUUACUUGCUCCUUUUUAUAGUUUAGGGGUAAUUGAUUAACGGUCGGGCCACUAGUUAGUGCCUAGUGUGAUCAACUUAAUCGUCAUGAAGUCAAGUGCACCAACCUACUAAUUUAUACACAAAUAAUAGUUUAAUUUAGGAAACCGAUUCCUUUAUAAAAAUAUUUUGUGCUUGCGCUUUAAAAUGUUUUGAGUACAUUUUAAAACAGCAUACUUUGGAAACUAGAAACCCGAACUUCCAAAAACAAAACGUGUUUUCGGUAUAUAGUUGGAAAGAAAAAUUUGGCUCAUCCGUUUCCUAUACAUAUACCUUUUCUAGAACCAAUUGUGAAACAUUUUCAAAACACUGUUUCCUUAUAAUAUAGGAUACUGUAGGGAUAAAUCACAUCUACAAAACUUUCAUAUGUAUAAAUCAUCAGUUUAUUGUUUUCGGAUAUAUAUAUAUAUAUUAAUAUAUAUAUAUAUAUAUAUAUAUAUAUUUAGCUAGUUUGAGAGAUUAUAAACCAAAAUAAUAAUCUCCAUAGCUAGCUUAGUUUGGGUUCGAAAUGAUCUUACUAAUAUUUUUAACUAGUUUGGAAAGAUACUGAUUAUGACUCGUUAGAAAGACCAUGUAGAUAUGCAUACAACAUACCAUCAUAUAAUUACAAGAACAUGACAUAUAUACAUAAAACUUUUACUAUAGCUAUAUCGCACGCUUCUUCUAGAGCUAGUUAUUAUCUCAAAUGAUGAAUACAAUAAAGUAAGUUCUUAUCAUAUACAGACUUUUUUUUAAAGAAAGCUUCAUAUACAGACUUAUUAAAAUCUUAUGAGUCGAAUUCGUGAAACAAAGGGUGGCGUUCCGUUUAUUUUUUUGGUGAAAAUAGCUUUCUAUCCCUAAAGUUACGUACGAUGCUAUUAGUGAUGGACCUAACUCACACCCAAAAGCUAGCUCGAGAAUGGAGGUUUAUCCAUACACUUAUAUAGUGCAAAUUUUAAUCAUUGAUAUAUGUGCAUUUAUGCGCUCGAUAUUUCAUAAUACGCUAUAACUUUUAUGAUUCCUGAAUUAAUAAUUACAAUUUCUAUUGCCAACGAAUAAUUACACACGCAAAACUUGAAACUUCUUUUCUAGGCUAAGGGAUCAUUCAAUAAUUCAGUAACUAUAAUGUGCUUGAAAACGUCAUUAAUGGUGUGCUCAAACAAAAAAGAAGUACGAGAUGGGGGUAUGCAUAUCUUUGUUUUCUAAUACGCAUUAGUUAAGAUGUGUGACAUGUCCAUAUCUUGAUCAAUAAUAAAAAUUUCAUUGACAAGAUGUGUUUAUUUAUUGUCCGUUUCUCCUGAACUAUAUAAAAGGAAUUGAUAGCAUAGAAAAUCAGUUUGAGUUACAUAUUUUAUAGUAUUAAUUUUACAGUUUAUAAAAUUAGCUCAUACGGCACGUAUAAUUGUAAUUUAACCAUAAAAUAUCAUAUUAGUGCGUAUAUGAAUAAAUGCAAAAGGGAAUCAUCAGGCAACAUAUCAGUUCAGAUAGAGAUCUAAAGACUUUAUUUGAAAUUUAUUUAGGGAUUGAUUUGAAUAUUUUUAACCCGGAAAUAGGGUUACGUCCACACGGUCAUCAUGGUUUAUUCCUUUUUGGAUGAUCAUUAAUUUCUUUUGGGACAACAAGAUGAUCAUUAAUCAAAGUUGCAAUUAUAUGCAUUUCUUAUAUGUGUGCGCGCGUGUAUAUAUUUCUAUAAAUAUAAAAAUAAUAUAAUGAUGUGAAUGUGUGUAUAAUAGAUUUGAGUAGGCAAAGGUAUCAAGAGUGCAAAAUAAAUAUGAAUGUAAUGAUUAGCCAGCCAUAAUCUGACUUCGUGGAGGCAUUGUCUUCCAUUUUUGUCUCUCUCCCUCUUUUUAAGUUUCCUUUGACUUUUUAGACGUAAGAAAACAAAAAGCUUUAAAAGCAAAAAGUAUUUCAGAAAUUUCAAAUUUUCCUUUUGUCCCCGUGAUUUUUUUUUGUCAACUACUCAUCCUUCAUUCCAUAAAAUAAAUAAAUAAAUCCAGAAAUGACAAUUCCUUAUAUUUGGUAAAAAUAUUAGUUAAACCGUGUUUCUCUCCUUUUCUGAAUAAUAAAAUAACUUGAAUAUUUAUUCCCAUUUGUUAUUUUAUAAAAAAAAUUAAUCGUAGUUCACUACAAAUAUAAAAAUGUCCUGAAAAAAUAUAGAUGGUAUUUAUUUUCAUGAUGAGCCUUAGUUAAUAUUCCAUAUGUUUUAAAAUACUUGAUGUUUUAAAUGAAUGCACAAGAAUUAAAGUAACAUUAAAAAUAUAAAAUAAAACUAAUUCAGCCAAUCAUAAAAACAACUAUAAAACAUCAUUGGUGACAUAGUUUUCUGUAAAACUAAAAUUAAUAUAAAAAUAUCAAAACAUCAAGUAUUUUAAAAUAUUUUAAACUUUCCAAAACAUCAUCUAUUUUGAAACGAAGGAAAACACUUUCUUGGAUUAGAAACUUAGAAUGUUGGUUACGUUAUUUAUUUAUUUAUAUAUUUUGUAUAUAAACUAUGGUUCUACUCUUCUACCUUAGAUAUAGAAAAACAUCCCAAAACGAAAAAGCUUUUGAUGGUCAUUUAUUAUUAUAAAUUGUUUUAUUUCUUUCCUUGUUUUGUUUAUUAUUCUAAAAUGGUAUAGCAGAAGAUGCCUAUAAAUAUGACUUAAAAAUAUUUCACAGAUUAAACGCAUUUGUUCGUUCUACCACAUACAGUAAACCGUCAUGCUUAUGUUAGAAGUGGCUCAUCAACACAAACAGUAUAUUUCUCUCGCCUUGGUUUAGCUAACUAGUGUCUCGUGUAGGACCAUUUCUUUACAAAACCCCUAAUGAAUUUGGUGCUUGAAAAGCCUUUUCCAUAUCAAUCAUAUUCAUAUCCUCUUUAAGUGCUGCACUUUCUUAAUUAUUUCCUUAUCAUCCAUCCACUGCAGCCUAUCUAAAUGUUAGAUGUUUUCCUUUUGUUUCGAAUCAACACGUGUCUUUAUCAGCAAGACUUUGUUUAAUUAAAUUCUCCACUAUAUUUUUUUCUUCAAUUCAUUGGUAUUGAUCCGGCUACUUGUAAACUAAGAGCUGGAUGUAAUGAACCUCUAAAUGUUCGUAGGCUGAUGUUUGGUCCAUGAAUGCAUCACUCCAUGCGUAUUGAGAAUUUGCAUUUUGGGGGAAAACUACUUGCACAAUUUAUAUAUUUGUCAGCAUACCGUAGAAAUGUUUUUACAGUACUUUAUGUUCUUGAAUGAAUGUAUUACUAAUUAAUGGGUCAACCAUAAAUUUAUGAUAAUCUAUCUUUAAGUAUGAAAAAACUUAUAACGCUGACCUUCGUCGUAUGUAGUCCAAGAUCUCUCGGCCUAGGAUAGGAUCAGUAAACUAUUCACUUUCUCACGACUAGUUAACUAUUUUGAAAUUUACACAAUUUUCCCGACUGGUUUUACACCUCACAAAAAUCAUGUUUUUCUCACAUCACUUUUUUUUUUUUUUUCUCAAAUCACUUUCAUUUGUACUUCCAUUUUAUAACCACAUUUCUCCCGUUAUAUAUAUAUAUUUUUAAAAAGCACAUCAUCUUUGUGUUGUUUUUUUUUUUGACUGAACAUAUCAUCAUAGUUGUAUAGUGAUAAAAUCAAUUCCGUUAAAUUUAUUAAUAUUUUUACAACUAAGCACUUUAAUUUCCUUCAAGAAACUUAAUAUGCAUCAUAAAAUAUAAAGCACGUCUCGAAAAAGUCAAUUCGAACGUCCAAAAUCUUGGUACCAUACGUUGUUAAAUAUAUAGAGGCCAAGGUAUAUUCGUACGCUAGUAAAUGUUUUUAAGCUGCAAGUUGGCAUGCAACUUAUAUAUAGGCAUAUAUUGAUGAUAAAUACAUAUUUUACGUCGGUAAAAAGUAAUACAUGAAGUCGCCCUCAACAACAGAAUCAUUGUUGCUGAAAGAAAUUGCAUUUAAAAAAGAAACACUAAAGGGCAGAUAAGAAGCCAUGAACAUGAUCUCCUUUAAGUUAGUGAUGCGAUGCAUGCAAAACAUUUAAAUAUAUAUGCAUAUCCGACUACGACUUUCAUGGUCCCUAUUUUAUAUUCAAUUUUAAAUUACGUUAUUAUUUAUGCAUGUAGGUCCUUUAAUAACAAAAUAUAAAUAUUAAGAUGUUGAUAUGUGAGAUAACACCACUUUUUUUUUGUGCACAGAACACCACUUUCAUAUGCUAGUUGUUGUAUAAUACUAAACAAAGAAUAUGGUAAUUAUAAUGAAAUUAUUAUUAUAUAUAUAAAUUCACACUAAGAAAAAUAAACACAAAGUUUGUGACUUAAUAUGAUUUGUGGAUCGUAAACCUUAGUCAUCAAAACGUAAGGAGAAGACGUGCACGAGAUGAUGGUAAAGUUUUCAUGGGUUAGUUUAUAUUUUCUCGGCACAAUAUCCUUUUAUACUAUAACAUCAAUCUAUUCUGCAACUACUUUUUCCUUUUUGGAAUCUAGAUUUUUUCAUUUCACAUGUACCAAAAUAUUGUAAAAAGAAAGCUAUAUAGAUAUAUAUACUAGAGAAUGAGUUAGGAUGAUUUGGCACGGUGGAAAACAUAUUCUGGAUCCAACGAGAAAACUUAGAUUUAAUGAUUGAUUUGCUUUGUGUACAUUAGAUUAAUAACUUGAAACUCUCAGCUCAGAUUUUGACCAAAAAUACUUUUAACCAUGAGUUGAAUACUGGACAUUACGGCAUAACAUUAAAGUCUAUUUGGAAAGUCACUGAAAAUACAUUACGGGUAGAAGAAAAAAGGGUGGGCAACGAAAUGAUUAAGAUUUUGAACAUCGUGGGUGCCAUUCGAAUUUCAAAACUAUUAUCAAGUUAAUUACUUAUAUUGUGUGUAUGUGUUGCAUAUUUUCUUGAACUUAUUAUAUAUCAAAUAAGUGGUGGAGUCAUUGUUGGUGUUGCUAUUGUUUGAAAAGCAAUUUGCGUUAGAAAAUGAGGAAUCUCUUUGAAGUAAAGUAUAGAUGACAUAAUUACAGCAUUGCGUAGCCACCUUGACACUUGGCAUUUUCCAUCACUCUAUCCGUCACCCCUACGAAGUAAUGAUCUCAUUAAACCCAAUAUUUACUCUAUUUUAUCACACGUUCACAUGCCCACCAUAUACUUAUACACUAAUACUAUAUACCUAAAAACAGUAGCUUUGUUCAAUGUUUUUGCGGAUAUCACUAAUCACGUAGUUAAUUUUGAUUGUGAUAAUAAAUUAAUAAUACUAUGAUUAUUCAUACGACUAAUAGGACAUUUAUUUUGUAAAAUGGAGAGCAGGUAGAGAUAAGAUGCAGAGGGCAAGAACUGGAGCAAGUGUUGACACUACAACACGUGAGAGAUGCAAUGUGGAGAGGAAGCAGAGAAAGUUCUUCUACUAUUUCACAAAACCUUACUUUGCUUCCAAAUUCAUCUACCUCUGAUCAUCUCAUGGUCCUCCAUUAUGGUAGGAGUACUCUUUCUUAAUUAUAUGUUUCUAUUAAUACUUAUUCUCUAUUUUAUUAUAACACCUUAUUAUUCUCAAGAGAAAUAACUGCCCACCCUUUCUUUCAACUCAACAUCCCCACCUUCUUCAAUUGUUUUUCCCCUCUCUUCUUGUUUUUUGGCGGCUGCUUCGAUUAUUUAUAUCAGUGGUGAGAUUUGUGGAAUGAAAGAGUUAUCUAAUUCUUUAGGAGUAUGCAUGUCCCGGUUGGUGUUUUUAUUGUUAUAUCUUCUGGGGUUGAGUAACAUUAACGCAUGAAAAAAAUGUAUUCGUAUUUAUAUACAAUAUUUUCAUGCUAUUUUUGUUGCGUUCUAUUGUUAACAUUAUUGUUGCUGAUUUUGUGUGUUUAGAGCUUGACUGGUUUCCCCGCUACCACCCGCAAACACAGCUUUUGCGGUUGGUAGCGGUUGACAGCGUUUCGAAACAAUUAUACAAACCGCUACAAAUCGAUUCAAACCGCUCCGAACCUCUUAAAAUCAAAAGCUGGUUCCAGCUAGCGUUUGCGGUUGCGGGAGGAAUUUUUUUUUUCUUUUUUUUUAAAACUAUAUAAAUACAAAAAUAAAAAUAUUCAAUAAAUGUUUUAAAAUAGAAUUAUAAAAAUACUAAAAUAUAUCUAUUAUAUUUUAAUUAAUAUUAUAAAAUUUUAAAAUAAAAAUAUUUUCUAUAAUUUAAAAAAUUUAAAACUAUAACUUUGAAAAUAUAAUUUACAUAUUUAUUAUAAUAUUAUGAUUUUUGAUAUUUUUAUAAUUAUAUAAAAUGUAAAUAUUGUUAAUUUAUUAUUUAACCGCUGCUGUAUUUGGUAGUUAACCAGUCAUAAGUAUCCCGCAAACGCACCAAUUUCUAACCGCAGGAUUUAUAUAUUUAUUAAAAUUUUAUGAUUUUUGAUAUUUUUAUAAUUAUAUAAAAUGUAAAUAUUGUUAAUUUAUUAUUUAAACGCUGCUGUAUUUGGUAGUUAACCAGUCAUAAGUAUCCCGCAAAUGCACCAAUUUCUAACCGCAGAACCAAUCGUACAAAUCUUUUAAAACUGCUAGAAACCGCAACCACCUGCAUCCGUAAACGCCCGCAGCCGCAACCGCAACCGCUGCGUUUGAACCAGUCAGAGCCUUAGUGUUUAACGUUUUGUCGGAAAAUAUGGGCCUUAUUAAGAGCUAUCAUCGGCCCAAACUGGUAUCAAACUGGCUAAUUAUAAAUUUCAGGCCCUCUGGGAAAGCUUUAAUGCUCUAUGCAUCCACUAACAAAAACUAUGGAUGGACCAAUAUCCAAUAUGGCCACAUAUUUUGAUUAACUACAUUUUAGUCCAACCACUACUCUGAUUCUAUGCCUUUUACUAGCUUUGUGUAUCAAGUUUAGGAGCAAUCUGCAACACCCCAAUUAACUUCUCAAGCGUUUAGUAACAUGUAGAUUGUAGAAAACCAUGCAUUAGGCUAAAAGCUGUGCAGUUGUGUAAGCAUGUGGACAAGCUCAUCACUUGAAGGCCGGUCAGCUGGAAAGUCAGAAAGGCAGAUGAUGGUGAUACGUAACGCCAUUAACAUCUCAUCUUCUUCCACUUCCUCUCCGAGAAUACUCUUAUCUAAUGCUUCUCGUGCUUCCCCAGACUGCUGCAAAUGCUUCAGCCACUGUCCUACGCUGCCUCCACUUGCACCAUCUACACAAAAAGGUUGUGUCGGGUCUCUUCCGGUUAAAAGAAGACCCAAGAUCAUCCCAAAGCUGAAUAUGUCGCUUUUGUCUGUAUAUCUGUCAAAAGGAUAUUCAUACCAUAUUAACACGGCUGGUCAUAGGCAUAGCCAAGUGAAACAUUGACAUAUAAUUUCAAAAUUUUGAAGAAAAUUACUUAAACAUAAGCUUUCAAAUUUAUAUAUAUAUAAAAAGUUAAAUCAAAACUUUCACUAAAUUACUACAGCCUCCAAAAUUUCAGGCCGGUCCUGCGUGUUAGUAAAGGAGAAGAACUAGGAGUUAACUCAAAGGCAAGCAAGCACCUGUUACUUUGCGAAUACUCAGGAGCAGCGUAGCAAGACACUCCUGUGUGUGAAGCAGCCAUGAUCUUGGCCAAUCCGCAAUCAGCAAGCUUCGGCUCAAACUCAGAGUCCAACAUCACAUUUGUAGGUUUCAAUUGUAAUGAAGAACCUGAUGAUCACAGCUGAAAUGAAGAAACUGAAGCCCUUGAACAAUUCCAACAGCAACUCUUAGCCUAACUUCCCAUCCUAGCUCUAGUUCUCUAGCUCUAACCUUAGUCAUCACAUCCUCAAGACUACCAUUAGGCAUGUAGUCAUAGACCAGAGAGAACUCACUGGAUUCACGAACAUAAGCUCUUAAACUCAUAAGGUUCCUAUGUCUUAUUUCGGCCAGAAGCUCAAGUUCCUUCUGCAACCUUCUCUUAACCGACUUGCUACUAGUACUACUACUACUACCACUUGCUUCUUGUGAGCAUAGUCUCUUAACUGCAACAACUAGACCAUUAUCAAGUACAACUUUGUGGUAUUUACCGUUAGGGUCUGAGCCAAGCAAGUGAAUACCAAUACCAAGAGCUCCAUGAAGAGAUUUGGGUGUAAUCUCAGGGGAGAAAACUACAGGACCUUUGAGAAUCGGCGUUUGUUUCAUGUAUUUGACUAUGCUACGGACGAAGAAAGCUAAGACUAAUGCAGAGACCAACCCGGUUAAAACCCCUGAAAUGAUGCUGAAUACUAUAACCUUGGAGGUGAUUCUGGACUCGAGUGGUGUAGAUGAAGGUGGAGUUGUGGAUAAGUGUUUCACUGUUCUCCGCCGACAAUUUGCGCUUGUGCUUGUUCUUGAAGUGAAGACUAAGAAGAAGAAUAAGAGGAGGAGAUAGAUACUUCUUUGCUCCAUUGCUGCGUUUAGGAGCCAAAUCUGAGAAGUCCCAGAGGUUUGUUUCUACUGUAUCUAUGGUUAGAAAGAUAACACAAAGAAACAAAACAAUCUAAAACUGUUUCAGCUCCACUAAUCCAGCAACCAAACACACACUUCUCUCUCUCUAGACUCUCUUUCCAAGGCACAGUAUCUGUCUGUGACUCUUAUCUCAUGACCAAAUCCAUUAACAGCCAAAAAAGAAGGAGAAAAAUUGGGUUCCCGCCUUACAAGUGUGGGACCCCAUUUAUGUCAAAUGGUCAUGGUAAGUACGGGUCCCACCGCCACGUAUGCGGAUAAAAGGCAGCUCGUGUUGCUUUCAUGAGUGGCCGAAAGCAAGACAUCGUGUUCCGUGAAGAGGGGUUUUUACCAAAAAGGAGAGUUCAACAGUUGGUUUAGAUAAGCUAACGUGAGAUGAGAACCGUUGGAUGUGAAGGAGGCUCGGGGAUGUGCGCACUUUGUCUUAGCGUGUGAGAUUAUUACACAAAAGGUAGUUAGUUCCCUUUGUCUCUGUCUGAGUAUAAUCUGCUUUCUCCUUAUUCAAAAGCUUUUAUGUGUAGGCUUUUAUUCAAAAGUGAUUUAAGUGCGAAGUCUUGUUUUCAGAUUUGAACACAAUUAAAAUACAAAUCUUGGGACCGACGUCUCCGUAACCCUAACUGAGAAAAAUAAUUAGGGCUUAUAGCUAGUGAUCAAAAGACUCAAAAACUAGUAAUAUUGUGAAUAAGUAGGCUGUAGGGGCAGAUUCAAUCAUUUAAAAGAAAAAAACACCAAAUUAUAUAGCUAAUAAUGAAUACUUUAUGGUUAACACUUCUGCAGAAAUGAACAAUCCACAAGCUGAGGAUGCUAUAGUCUUACAUCAAAUACACACAACACAAUCCACUAUAACUUCCCAAUAAUCAGCUUAUAUCCAUCACAAAACAUCAAUACAUAAACUUAAUUUGGGGGGCUUAGCUUGCUCAGAGUCCAGUGUACAUUAGGUUCUCUUAGUGUUGAUUGGCUCUUAAAACUCUGAAAGUAAUGAUGGGGAAACGUAGCUCCCAAGAGUUCGUGAGCUUAUGUUAUCUUUAUCAUCACUGUCUGUGAUUGUAACCGUUGUCAGCUUCUGAAAGGAGAGCCAGGACUUCUGCAUCAGUAAACUUCGACUCUGCAGCAAUGUCAAGAGCUGUUUUUCCUUCUCCAUUAGCAGCUUCCGGGUCUGCUCCCCUGCAAAAUACACACACACUUUGUGUUAUUACCAAAAGGAUAUACCACAAAAAGAUGUUAUAAAGCGGUUCUUCUUAAGUCACCUCGUGAGAAGCAGUCUUGCUACUGCCGAUUUGCCUCUGAGAAUACAAUAAUGCAAUGGUGUCUGACCACUCGAAUCUUUAGCGUUUACAUUUGCACCGUACUGAAGCAAAAGCUCCACCAUCCCAAUGUCAGCCUUCUCACAAGCACAGUGAAGCAGAGAGCAACCUCCAGUUUCCUCAGGAGGAAUAAUACUCGAAGAACAGCCUGAGGAGUUUCUAUCAAGUAAUUCAUUUCUUAAUCUGAGUAGAACUUCCUCACGCGUUGGUGGCUUCUCUGGUGAUAACAUUACUCUUGAAAGUGUUAACGAAGAGGUGGAAGAUGAUUGGUGGUCAUACACUGAGUUCACAUCCGCUUCACCGUUUACAAUAAGCCUGUAGACCGCCUUCUUAUCGUUGCCACUCACUGCAUCCCACAUCUGUUGUGCAACUGAUUGUGGGAAGUCACAAUCUCUUGAUCUCCGAACAAAUAGCUUCUCAGCAUACUGAGAAAUGAUACAACAAAAAGUUUUAAUGCACUCCAACAUAAGUAUUCAAAUAAAGGGUAAGAAGCUUAAAGAACCUUAGCUUGUAUAUACUUCUCCUUGAUAGAUAUCAUAUCAGCAUAACUUGGUUUUCCAGUGACCAUGACCCUUGAUUUAUCAGACCUGACAAUUUAUGUCUAGGUGAUUUAAGGCUCUUAUAGCUUUGGAUGAGUGAGAAGGUUAAAAUUUUUAAUUUAUAAACAUAGUUUUUUACCCUGUUAAGCCUGGCUCAACGUGGAAGGCGCUUCUUGAAUGAAGCAGUUCCUCCCAGACUGUGUUUGCAAAAGUGUUUCCAAGAGCUUGGAACAAAGUUAUAACAGAUGGCUCCCAUACUUUCACGUCAAGAGUGAGUGACCUUACCUGUAUUAACGGCCAUAUUCAUGUUAACUUCUAACAAUCUGAAAAUGCUAAUGAACAUCAAGCUAAGUGUCACUUCAUGAUUCUGAUGGACUUCUUCACUUUAUAUAUGGACUACUAGUUACUAUAGAACCAACAUAUAAUUGUUUUUUUCCGUCAACAGGUCAUUCUAUUAACAAAAUAGAACAACCAACAAAGGGUUCUAUGAAAAGACAGUGCGGUUCUAGCUAAAAAAAUCUGCAGUUUCUUUCUGUCCCCGAGGAGUAUAACAUAUCCUGAAAUCUCGAAAUCAACAUAUAACUAAGGGUUCUAGUGAUUUACCUUAGAUAUAUGCACACCAAGGUUUCUGUGAACACCAGAACAUUCUAUACAGACAAGAACCCCUAGAUUUAAAGAAGCCCAGUCUGGUUCCGGAGCUCCACAAUCUGCACAUUUGUCAUUCCCAGAGACUUUUUUCAGAACGUCAAUGGGCUUCUCACCCUUUCUAAUGGACCGUUGUGGCUGGAAGUUUCUUGAUGGCCUUUCAUUGUACCCCAAAAAGCUCCUCUCACAUACAAACUCUUCAGUGUUAGGAAUGUCAUACUCAGAGCUUUCGUAUGAGCUGCUUUCACUAGCGGAGCGGUGAUGGCCACUUCCCAUGGGACUACCAGGAAGACACUGAGAUGCAACCAAAGGACAAUCAUCCAAAACUGCAUUGGUCAUGCAAAAGGGAAUAUAAUGACACUUACCCGUUCAGGGACCUGAGAGCUAAGUAGUGAUGCAAUAACUCCAGUGAUUUUUUCUAUCCAAUCCAUUUGAUCUAGUGCACUCUCAGCCUGCACUGACAAACAUAAGUAUACACUUAGUGAAAACUAUUAAAAGUUGAAGGUCUAAGGCAGUAACAAAAACUCUGAAUCAAACCUGCAAUGUGUAGUUUUUUGAAGGUGAAAUGAUCCUAAAGCAAAACCUCAGAUCUGACUGAUCAGCGUCGACUUUAAUAGUUGAAGUAAGUAAGUUCACUGUGUGACGAGCUACAGACUUCUCAUCAUGUACUCCACCAUGAUUAUUCGAAGAAAGCCACCUACUAAGAAGUCCAGACCCAAGCUCUGAGCUGUUUCUCUGUCCAGAAAGCUGGCUGCUAGCACCCUAAACAUCAAACCAACUAAGUCAGUGUCUACAAAGAAUAGUUCAAGAAGAUAAAUACAAACUUACAGAUGGUUUGCUACAUUGCUUUCUGUAAUAGUACAGCAUUCCCCGGCUGUCAAGAACAAAAAACCGUCGUUUCCAGUCUCCUCUCAGGUUUGAAGACCGUUUAGAGAGAUAACCUUGCCGUAUUGUUUGCACCUGAAGAACCAAGAAGUGUUAAUAGCACUUUUUUAAAUAUGUUCUCAUUCAUAUAUGUACAAAAGAAUUUAUCAACCUUUCCCCUUGCAGCAGAUUGCAUUACAGCGUCUAUCAUUUUGUGAGAGCUUCUACCAAUGGCUUGUAUACCAUCCCCAUUUGGGGAUCCAUUAGAACCGUUUGAACCAAACCGGCUCUCUCGAUCAACCUGUCUUUUGUACUCCUGCAUUUUUUCAUUAAGUGCUGCUUGUUCGUAGUUUGACCUUUCUCUGGACUGUUUUGCAUAGGUCAAGACCUGAAACAAAGAGUUGACGUAUAACUAUCUAAGCGUUUUCAACACAUUACACGUGAAGACACAUAUAUAAUCUUAGAAGAGAGUUACAGAAUUAAACUGACCUGAUUGAUAUAUGGUUCCAUCUGAUGAAGUAAUUCGUAACCCUGAAAGCAGACACAUUCAGAUUUUAACACAAACCUUUUAAGACUAAUUUUAAAAUUCUGAAGAAGCUAACAAACUUACCUGUUUGAAGUACCGAAGAUGUGCAUCCAUUGUUCCGCUGACUGCUUCCAAAAAUUCAAACCUUUUCUUAGCUUCAACAUUUGAAAGUGUAGUCACCUGAGGAACCAAAGAAAACAAAAGAUUACUCCAACAGUAACAUGAAUGUGAUAUAGAAUAUAAAUCAAGAUCAAAGAAAAAAAUAUUACAAGGUUGAACCGAGCUUGCUCAAACAUAGACCUCGAAGUGUGAAGUUCCUGACAAUGUCUAUGUUAGUUAUCACACAAAGGAAUAAAAAAGUACAUGGUAUGCCAAAAAAAAUUUGGAAUGCACCAUACCUGUUCUAAAGCAGCAGCAACGUCACUUCUUGUACCUUUCCUCAACGAAAGAAACUUCUCACGGGCCUAAAGCACAAUAGGAAGUUAGUCAGUUAAUCUGUCUAGGGAAGCAUGGACCGAAUUGUUAUUAUCUUCCAAGCUACAAAUUUGAUUCCUAGUAAGAGUUGGUGCUUAGAAAAGUGACAUGAACAAUUACUACCUAGGUUUUAGUCUUUCCAAAGGGAUACCUGAUCAUAGGUAAGGCUAGCCUUGUCAAAGCGCUUCCGAGCUUCCUGUGGCAAAAAAUGAUCUCUCAGGAUUGCAUAUCCAAAUAUAACAUUGUCAUGGUAGACUUCCUUGAAAAAUUGGAAUAAGGAAAUAUCUAGACUAUCCACAAUAUAGAAGCAGGCCUGAGAAACUUAACCAUAGCCUUCGCAUUCAUUGGCUUUCUAUAGUACUAAAUCACACCAGCAUACUGUACUCAAAAAAUAACUAUCCAGACAAGAAGAAAGCAAGCAGCUUGUACCUUAACCUCAUGCAAGUCCAUAUUGGCAAACUGUAGUAAUCUGUCAUUCAGUAUAUGUUCCACCUGACAAUGAGAACUCAUCAAAACAAAUAAUUGGAGUGAUAAGACUUUAUCUAAUUUAAAAACCUAUACAAUGUCUUAAGAUGAAGCAAACUAUAUAGAGGCUACAUUUGCUGAGGAAAGACAAAACUAUCCUACACUGAUACCAAAGAGGAGUUAUCUGAGAGAAGACUAGCAUACCUGUGACCGAAGAACUUCCUUAUAAGUCCCAAUCUCCCUCAACGCAAUUGUAAACUUCGUCAUUACAGGUCCUGCCACAACAAGUUAGAGUCUAUCAUGAGAAGUGAGUUGCAAAGAGUAUGUAGGCAAACAGACAAUAUGCUACUAAGAGCUUCAAUAGGCUAAGUGAAGUCAAUCAUACAUACCUCCAAAGGCCACACUAAUAGGAUCAUUAUGGCCUCCACCAAAUGUUUCAAGCGCACUAGCAAAAGCAAUGUCCCCAUCAUACGCCUCUCCUAACCCUUCCCUGAAAAAAAAAAAAGAAACACAACCUUAAUACGUUGCAAGAUAUAUUCUCAAGAAAACUCUGGAUGCACAUUUACAAUGUGAAUAGUUUAGAGCAUACGUGUAUUUCCGGCAGCCUUUGUAAAACUUGAGACUUCUUUCUCUCAAUAUUUCUGCACUCUCCUCCAUGCUUUGUAACUGUUUCAUACAAAAGGAUAAAGCACAAGACUAGAAGGAAAAGUACAUAACACAAAGAAAACAGCAAAACACAAUCCUAUGGUGGACAACGCUGUAAUUAUACUCAAGUAUUUGGAGAGAAUUUGAGAUUAAAAAAAAAAGGGAACUUCCUUUACACUUAAAGUUGCAAUCUUUUUUUACUUGUCCUCUAGAGUGUAUAUAGAGAAGAACUCUGACUAAAUCAGUGAGUAUGAGAAUUGCUAGCUAAGUGUACACCUUUCUAAUCUAGUGUUGGGGGGGGUAUAGAUGUCGGUCGGUGGACACUCAAAAUUCCGGAUAAAUCUUGCCUAAUAAAACCACCAAACUCUAACCUGAGACGCUAAAGGACUCGAGAGAUGAGGACAAAGGUGGAAAGAGACCAACAAGAUAAGUAGGAAACAAAACCUGUUUGCGGAACAUGGGAGAGUCAUCAAGCUUUGUGAAAUGCAUUUUUAGCUAAUCUUUACUCCCUCUUCUUCUUCUUGUUCCAAACAAACAUCAAAGGCAAGACCUUUAUCUCUCACACCGACUCCAUAAACGAAGUACAGACAGAGAUAAGUUAAAAAAAAAAAAAGAGAUCUUCUUUCCCCUCCACCUAAGCUUCCAGAAAGGGCUAAAAGGACUAAAGCACGAUGAUCUCUUCGCAAGUCUCGAGCCUAGCUUGUUUUUUUUUCUUACGGAACACUCGGUGAAAUCAAGAAAAAACAGUGGAGAAGUGUGUCGGGAGAAGAGAAGAGAGACAAAAGAAAAAGAAAAGACUUCACCGUAUGCUUGAAAGUUUUUUUACCGUAAAGGAAAGGAGGCGAAACUAUCUAGUUUAGUUACUGCCGGAGAUGGAUGAAGGUUGGUAGGAGACGGCGUCGUUUCAAGGAGGUUCAAGUUAAAAAGGAAGAGGACUGAGACUGUACUUUUUCUGUAAACAGUGGUCUUCUUCUGAGAAAACAAAGACUGUGGAUAUACACCCCACGCGCUUUGAGUCACGUUUUGUAAGGUAACUUGGUGCGUGUAGGAAACGCGAUGCUUAACGGGGUGGAUUAAUUUAGAACGGGUGGUGGGACCCGUACCUCUGGUUGCUUCUCCAUUACCUUUUGUUCCGGAGAGACAGAGAGGUCAGUGGGGAAUAAAUGAUUAAAAACAUUUUAUUUUAAAUAUUUUUAUUAGAAAAUAUUUCUCUUAAUACGGAAAAAAAAAUUAAAGCAAAAGUGGAAGAAUUAGGGGGAAAAUGGACACCAAGAUCUUUCACUUUUUCUUUCCGAUUUUGCAGACUUUACAGAUUCAGUAUCCCUUUUGUUUAAUCAAAUGUAUGAUCUCUUCUCCAGCUCCUAGAUAUAUUGUUUUAUUCAUUUACUUAAUAGACAAAAUCGCCUUAUAUCUCGUUAGCAACUUUGGAAUGUGUUGUUCAACUCCGUUGUAAAAGAUUGUACUCGGUUUGUAAAAGCACCGUAGCCUAGUGGUUAUGGUUUAAAGGCUUCUACACCCAGGUCUGGGGUUCAAAUCCCAGACUAUGCAAUUUCUUGCAGAUUGCACAGGAAAUCCAGGUUUCAAUUCCCGGAGCAAGCGAUUUAUUCAACAAUUAUGCGAUUACGGAAGAAAAGCUUAUAAGGAUUUCUCAACAUGGUGCAAGUAAAUCCAGUCAGGCGUGAUCUUCAUAGGACGGCUCAAAUGAUGCAGUUAGGCGUAGAUCCUCAUAAGGCAGGUAGUAUUGCCGGUUAUCGAAUCGUCUUUGUAAUCUUUCUCUAAUUGUAAUAUCUAAAUAAAUCCCCGACAAAAAAAAAAAAAAAGAUUGUACUCGGUAACAAUUAUCAAAACCAUUGUUUAUCAGUAGAGUGUGUUUCAUCAUCGUUAGGUACUUUACACUAGUAUAUCGUUUUCCAAGUAACCAACCAACAUGUUCAUAUAUUCAACAUGUCGUAAUUUAUUCUAUCUGAUUCUGGUCUUUCUAAUCAGAUUCUCGCAUCAUUAUAUAUCUCAAAUGAUUUCCGACCUAGUACUCUAAUAAAAAUGACUCCUAAGAUAACUCUUUUUUUCUUUUUAGCUGUCCCCUCUUCCAUCUCCUUUUAGACCUGAGACGGGCCUAUUUUUUAAUCCAACCUUAAAAUAUAUUAUUAUAAGUUUAUAUAACCAACCAAAACUCCCUCCGAGGAUUUUCAGAAGGCCUAAACAAGGAAGUUCCAUAAUGUCAGGCCCAAUUGGUAAAAGUCCAUUUAGAUGAAACAGAUGUCCGAUCUUUCGGUUUGCUUAGAUCUCACCCGUAUCAACUAAUUAUACAUUUAUACCUCCAUUUAAAAAUGAGUAACAUUAUUCAAUAAAAACAAAACCAAAAUCUAAAAAUUUCAGGCAUCAACCGCCACAUUCCACCAUCAACCUUCAUAUAACAUAUAAUUAUUUUAGAAGUUCAAUAAUAUCUUAAAGUAUUUUGGAUACAUAUUAAGAAUUAAGAUCAUAUUUGGUAGAAGUUCUUUUUGUGAUUUUAAAUGUUUCGGGUUCUAUCGGAUAUCCAUUUAGGUCCGGGUUCGGUUUCGGAUAAUACCCAUAAUCCAAAAUACCAAAAAACAGGAUCCAUUCGGUAUUUAUGUCGGGUUCAGAUCGGUUCCGAUUCAUUUUUAUCGGAUGUGUACAUAUCUUAAUAGCCAAAACAUAAGUAAAAUCGAUUCAAAAAUAAUAAAAAAACAUCAAACGUGAUCAUUCAAAAUCAAGCGAAAGAUAAACAUAGUUAGUGAUAGAAAGAAAACCAGAUAAAUGAAAUCACAAAACAAAAAAUAAGUUCUCAUGAAAUGAGAAACAUUAUUCAAUAAAAACAAAACCAAAAUCUAAAAAUUUCAGGCAUCAACCGCCACAUUCCACCAUCAACCUUCAUAUAACAUAUAAUUAUUUUAGAAGUUCAAUAAUAUCUUAAAGUAUUUUGGAUACAUAUUAAGAAUUAAGAUCAUAUUUGGUAGAAGUUCUUUUUGUGAUUUUAAAUGUUUCGGGUUCUAUCGGAUAUCCAUUUAGGUCCGGGUUCGGUUUCGGAUAAUACCCAUAAUCCAAAAUACCAAAAAACAGGAUCCAUUCGGUAUUUAUGUCGGGUUCAGAUCGGUUCCGAUUCAUUUUUAUCGGAUGGGAUUCGGUUCGGAUUUUCGGGUUCGGUUUAUUUGCCCAGCCCUACCUCCAUUGGAAAAUUGCAUUUGCAUGUUAGGAAUGAGAUGGAGCUACGUAGACGGUAGUACCAAGUUGGUUACACGGAUAUGAGAUUAAAGUCAAUGUAGCAUUUUAGCAGCAUAUGUAAAGACAGUUUUGAUUCCCUUACUUUGUUUUCUUCCCCCAGUGUAGAGACAACAUAGUACAGUACUACCAAACUGGAAGCAAUAAUUUGCCUUUGAGACUGGUUGAUAGAAUAUGUUUUGAGACUGUUUGGUAGAUUACGCUGAAUAGCUAUCUUGAUAAAUGGGGUUUCUUUAAAAGAUUCUAAACACAUCCAUACUCAAAUUUGCCAAACUACUACGAAAAUAGACAUAUUGAUGUUAGCAUCUUCUAAAAUUUUAGUGAGGCUGAGAGCAUUUGACAGAGAAUGAAAGAAAGAUGGUUAUACCAAAUGGUCCUAAAUAUUUUGUAAGAGUAGAAUCCCCAAGAUUUGAGGUGUUACUUACAAAAUAUAUUCGGACUCUCUCGCUGUUCAAAGAGAUGUUAUUAAAGAAAGUUCAUUUACAUUGAAAAAUAAGGUAUCCUCUUCUUACUUUCUUAGUUUCUUUUGAUUCGUGUCAACAAGUUUUUUACUCUUUUGACUACUGAUAAAUCAUACCAUGGGUACCAUUUCGUUUCUUCAAAGAUUUUAUUAAAACUCUUGUUGAGUCUUAAAAAGGCUUUUACAAGCUUUCGGUACAUAUGUGAACAUAAAUCGUAGCACAUUUAUCCUUUUGUGAAAUAUGGUUAUAGACAAAUCACAAAUCCAUGGGAAACUCUCACAAGUCAGAUAUUUUAGUCAUUUUACUCACGUUUUCUUUAGUUUAAGUUUGGUGACUUGGUUCAGGUUAUGCAUAUUAAACUAAAAAAAUAGAGACUUAUAGUAGAAGAUGGAGACGACCUAACCUGACACAAGUCACCAUACUAAACUGAAAGUCACUAAGAAAUGAUCUUUAACUCCUUGUUGCUGAUUAAGAAAUACCUUUCAACGCUGAAAUUUACCUGGAAAUUCGUUUUCUUUUUCCAGUGUGUUUCUAGGCAAUAUACCUCUACAAAAAGUCCACUAAUAUAAGGUUUUCUUUAUUAAAUGUAAAUUUAAGGUUUUAGUUGGAAGGUCAAAAUCGUUUUUGUCCUUAGGAAAAUGUAGUAUAUAAAUCCCGAAGUAGUUUUGUUGGGAAGACGUAAUUUUAAAAGUUACUAAAAUAUCUAGCUUUUUAACAAAAUUAUUAUAUGUUGAUAAAUGAUCAAAUGUUAAUUUCUAAAUAUAUUAACUUCAAACUAGUUAAUAAAUACUCCCUUCGUAUACAAAAUGUUUUAACUUUUGCUUUUAUAUUUUUCAAAAUUGGUGUUUUAACUUUAAUUAAUCUAUCUGCUUUAAAACUAAAAUAUAAAUUAAAAUCUAAAAUAUGAAUGGUAUAACUUUUUGAAAAAGAAACAAAAAUUAAAAAAAAAACUAAAAAUCAAUAGAUAAUGUGAAUUUGUUUUUUGGGAAAUUAGACCCAAUAUACAAGAAAAAAUCACAAGUUCACUAACUAACCAAAGUCACUCCCUUUCUCCUUAUUUCUCUUCCUAUCUCUCCAUACAUUCUUACUAAAAAUCUAAUUUCUCAUUAUUUUUUGGUUAAUUUCACAAAGAAUCCCUUUAUUUUUUUCGUUAAUAUGUUUGCAAUUUCUAUAAGAUCAAUUUUUCUAAUACAUAGAGAGUAUACGAUUGGUGUUCUAUAAUUCUUUUGUAUAUUUUAUUGAAAUAUUUAUUAUAAAUAAGUAUGUCAAAAAUAUAAUUUGAAUUGAGAAAAAAAAAAGAAACGGUCGUAUACAUUAGAACAAAAAGAGAAUAGACUUGGUGGAAUAGGAAAACAAGUGUUAUAUGAUUUAUAAUUAUAGAAAAUAGAGAGGAUAAUAAAGUAAGAGAGUAAAAGACAAGAAUUGUUUUCCUCUUCUGAGCUAAACACGCAUUCGUAUUAUUAGUUUAAGAUGAUUUAACCAUGUUCGAGUUGCUUAGUUAAAAAUUAAAACAUAGUACCAGUACCACUGAACUGGAUAAGACUACGAAUGGAGCUAACGCGAGAACCAUAUAAUAUCAAUAACAUUACCAAAUUGUAUCGUACUAUACUAUUGUGUUCUUGAUUUUUAUUUUUAACCUUUGUUUUGGUCUUGUGCAUUUACACUAAAUUUCCAAAACGAAAAAAAGUCCAUUGAAUCGAGUGAAUCAAAUCUGGAAACGAGAGAAGAGUCUGCUGCAGGUAAGUUUAAAAGUCUUGUGUUCAGUUGAAACUGUUCCAGUUUUAAUCCUAUAUAUGUGUUGUUCUUUAAGAUUUUUUUUCACAUUUUUUGGUCUUAAAGAACUAAUGUAUCAUCUUUCAUUUUCACUAGUGAAUAUUUACAAUUUAACAAAAAAGGUAUACUUAUCACACAAAAAAACUAUAUGGUUCCCAUUAGUUAUUACUAUACUAAAACUUCGUCUGUAAUUUCUAGUCGCCAACACUUUCGUCAUGACUCACAAGAGUCGCAACUAAAUAGUUUUUUAUCGGUUGACAAACAAAAAGGACAAGAAUUAUAUUGAACUCUCAAUGUAGAGGCUUUCUGGUCCCUGUCUCUGUCUAUGAAUAUUAUUUUCUUGAGCAAGAGUUUCAACUUAAUGUGGAAGAAUAUUUCGUGGCAGAAAUUUCAUGUUGAAUUUCCUUUUAUUUUUUCACGUUUUCCUGACUCUAUUGAUCUUCUUCAUAUUUAAUGUAAUGACAGGUGCAAAACGUUGACUGUUGAAUAAUCAGUACUAGAUAACUUGUCUAAAUUAUUUUAAAUAAUUAAAAAUAAUUUUGAAGUUCUAAACGUUUUGACACAUUGAGGAUCAGUUUAUACGAAGAGUUUAUCAGGGUAUUUCUUUUUAAUUUUAAAACAUGAAUGGUGUAAAAAAAAUGAAAUCAUAUUUCAAAAAGUGAAUGCAUGAAAAACUUAUGCACCAAAGAUGAUGAUCUACAUAUUUUUCUAUAAACUUGUAGCAUUAUUAAUUUAUUGCUCUCACAAUCAAAUCAUAUAUUUUCCAUGAUUCAGUUUAGUUUAACAAAUUCGUAUCACUAGCGUUCUCACAUACAAUUACACAAUUAUUAAGCUUAUAGAAUUGUAAAAAAAAAACAAUUAUUUCUUUCCUGAUUCCUAUUCUAUAUCAUUACAUUUCUCAUAUAUUUUACGUGUAUUAUUAUUCUACGUAGCACGGUUCACACGGUAAGGUCUGAGUCUAGUAUUCAAUCAAACAUAUAAAAUUGUGUUCCUCGCUAAGACUUUUAUAGAGUCAAAAUAUCAUCUAAACAAUCUCUGCUUUCCAAACCGAAUAUUUUAGUUAUUUUAUCGCUAUAUAUAUGACCAAGUAUUCACUCUAUAUUCUCAUCUGAAUUAGAGAGAAGCAAACAUGAAGCCAAUAUCCAACAACAACGAGAGAUGGGAGGAGAAGCUGAAAGAUUUAACUUUCAACGUGAAGGAAAUACAAGACAAACUUUUGGAAGAGAUACUCACACCUAACCUAAAAACUGAGUACCUCCAACGUUUUCACAUGGAUAGGUUUGAUAAACAGCUCUUCAAGAAGAACGUACCGGUGGUGACCUAUGAAGAUAUUAAGCCUUACAUUGAUCGUGUCGUUAAUGGAGAGUCAUCAGCUGUCAUAUCAGCCCGCCUUAUUACCGGUUUCUUGUUAAGGUACAUAAAGAUGCUCUCUCAAUUGAUUAGUUCUUAAUUUCUUAUACAAAAACCAAAAAAAAACUAAACUCUUGAUUUUGUAUUUUUGAAGUUCGGGAACUUCAGGAGGUGCACAAAAGAUGAUGCCAUGGAACCACAAGUACUUAGACAAUUUAACAUUCGCAUACGAUCUUCGUAUGCACGUUAUAACCAAGUAGGUCAAUUUAUUUAUUUAUUAUUCUUUGGAACAGUAGGUCAAUUUAUUUAUUUUCUUGUUUGGUUGGUGAUAACAAUUCUCUGUAUUGAUAUUUGGUUAUAACAAAUCUCCUCUUUGUUAUUCUUAGGCAUGUGAAAGGUUUGGAGGAAGGAAAAGGAAUGAUGUUUCUUUUCACUAAACAAGAAGCCAUUACUCCUUCUGGCUUGCCUGCUCGUGUCGCAACCAGCAGCUAUUUCAAGAGCGACUAUUUCAAGAACCGACCAUCUAACUGGUAUUACUCGUACACAAGCCCUGAUGAAGUCAUAUUAUGUUCUAACAACACACAAAGUCUCUAUUGCCAUUUGCUAUGUGGCUUGCUCCAAAGAGACGAGGUUGUGAGAAUGGGUUCCAUCUUCGCUUCAGUCAUGGUCCGAGCAAUCAAGUUUCUUGAAACUUAUUGGGAAGAGUUGUGUUCAAACAUCAGAUCAGGCCAUCUCAGCGAGUGGAUCACAGACCGCGGUUGUCGAAGUUCGGUGUCUUUAGUCCUUGAAGGGCCACGUCCAGACCUAGCAGACACAAUUGAAACAAUAUGCAACAAGAACUCUUGGGAAGGUAUAGUCAAAAGACUCUGGCCAAACACCAAGUAUAUUGAAACCGUUGUUACUGGUUCAAUGGGACAGUACGUUCCCACGUUGAACUAUUACUGCAGCGACUUGCCUCUCGUGUCAACAACGUACGGUUCUUCGGAGACCACGUUCGGGAUUAACGUAGAUCCUCUAUGCAAACCUGAAGAUGUUUCUUACGCUUUCAUGCCUAACAUGUCUUACUUUGAGUUCAUAACAAUGGAUGGAGACAAGCGCGAUGUGGUUGACCUUCAAGAUGUGAAACUUGGGUGCACUUAUGAACCAGUAGUCACCAACUUCUCCGGUGAGAUUAAUAAACAUAACAAAAUUCAAUAUAUUUUACUUAUAUGGUUUAACUAAAUAUUUUGAAUUUUUUUUUUCCAGGAUUGUAUAGAAUGAGAGUGGGAGAUGUUCUUGUGGUGACUGGUUUCUACAACAACGCGCCUCAGUUUAAGUUUGUAAGAAGAGAGAACGUGGUCUUAAGCAUCGAUAGUGAUAAAACCAACGAAGAAGAUUUGUUUAAGGCAUUGAGUCAAGCGAAGCUCGUUCUGGAGUUAUCUGAUCUCAUUCUGGUGGACUUCACCAGCUAUGCUGACACCUCAACAUUUCCGGGUCACUACGUGAUUUACUUAGAAAUAAAGGAAAAAAAGGGAGAGAACAAGAAGAAUAAUGUGGAGCUCAGUGAAGAGGUGUUCUCAAAGUGUUGUUCAGUGAUGGAGGAUUCGCUUGACAAUGUUUACAAGAGGUGUCGGUUCAAAGACGGUUCGGUUGGGCCUCUGGAGAUAAGAGUGGUGCGUCAAGGGAUGUUUGAUUCACUCAUGGACUUCUUCAUCUCACAAGGUGCUUCCAUAGGUCAGUACAAGACUCCUAGAUGCAUUAAAUCAGUAAAGGCCUUGGAAUUUAUGGAGGAGUGUGUGGUUGCCAGGUUCUUUAGUACUUGAAAUUGUUGUUUCUUUGAUUAUAGGUCCAAGAUUUGCUUAUAAAUAUGUUUGUUGGGGGAUGUAUAGAAUGGUGUUGCGGUAGUAUUGUAUUUUUUGGUUGGUGAUAACAAUUCUCUGUAUUGAUAUUUGGUUAUAACAAAUCUCCUCUUUGUUAUUCUUAGGCAUGUGAAAGGUUUGGAGGAAGGAAAAGGAAUGAUGUUUCUUUUCACUAAACAAGAAGCCAUUACUCCUUCUGGCUUGCCUGCUCGUGUCGCAACCAGCAGCUAUUUCAAGAGCGACUAUUUCAAGAACCGACCAUCUAACUGGUAUUACUCGUACACAAGCCCUGAUGAAGUCAUAUUAUGUUCUAACAACACACAAAGUCUCUAUUGCCAUUUGCUAUGUGGCUUGCUCCAAAGAGACGAGGUUGUGAGAAUGGGUUCCAUCUUCGCUUCAGUCAUGGUCCGAGCAAUCAAGUUUCUUGAAACUUAUUGGGAAGAGUUGUGUUCAAACAUCAGAUCAGGCCAUCUCAGCGAGUGGAUCACAGACCGCGGUUGUCGAAGUUCGGUGUCUUUAGUCCUUGAAGGGCCACGUCCAGACCUAGCAGACACAAUUGAAACAAUAUGCAACAAGAACUCUUGGGAAGGUAUAGUCAAAAGACUCUGGCCAAACACCAAGUAUAUUGAAACCGUUGUUACUGGUUCGAUGGGUCAGUACGUUCCAACGUUGAACUAUUACUGCAGCGACUUGCCUCUCGUUUCAACAACUUACGGUUCUUCGGAGACCACGUUUGGGAUCAACGUAGAUCCUCUAUGCAAACCUGAAGAUGUUUCUUACGCUUUCAUGCCUAACAUGUCUUACUUUGAGUUCAUAACAAUGGAUGGAGACAAGCGCGAUGUGGUUGACCUUCAAGAUGUGAAACUUGGGUGCACUUAUGAACCAGUAGUCACCAACUUCUCCGGUGAGAUUAAUAAACAUAACAAAAUUCAAUAUAUUUUACUUAUAUGGUUUAACUAAAUAUUUUGAAUUUUUUUUUUCCAGGAUUGUAUAGAAUGAGAGUGGGAGAUGUUCUUGUGGUGACUGGUUUCUACAACAACGCGCCUCAGUUUAAGUUUGUAAGAAGAGAGAACGUGGUCUUAAGCAUCGAUAGUGAUAAAACCAACGAAGAAGAUUUGUUUAAGGCAUUGAGUCAAGCGAAGCUCGUUCUGGAGUUAUCUGAUCUCAUUCUGGUGGACUUCACCAGCUAUGCUGACACCUCAACAUUUCCGGGUCACUACGUGAUUUACUUAGAAAUAAAGGAAAAAAAGGGAGAGAACAAGAAGAAUAAUGUGGAGCUCAGUGAAGAGGUGUUCUCAAAGUGUUGUUCAGUGAUGGAGGAUUCGCUUGACAAUGUUUACAAGAGGUGUCGGUUCAAAGACGGUUCGGUUGGGCCUCUGGAGAUAAGAGUGGUGCGUCAAGGGAUGUUUGAUUCACUCAUGGACUUCUUCAUCUCACAAGGUGCUUCCAUAGGUCAGUACAAGACUCCUAGAUGCAUUAAAUCAGUAAAGGCCUUGGAAUUUAUGGAGGAGUGUGUGGUUGCCAGGUUCUUUAGUACUUGAAAUUGUUGUUUCUUUGAUUAUAGGUCCAAGAUUUGCUUAUAAAUAUGUUUGUUGGGGGAUGUAUAGAAUGGUGUUGCGGUAGUAUUGUAUUUGUACAUGUGCCUAUGCUGUGUACUAGUUUGUCUGAAUGGGAAGUGUCUUGAUAAAAAGUAAAAACAAAACAAUAUCGAAGGUGGAAAUGGAUGUAUAGAAUGGUGUUGCGGUAACAGGCUUUGUACACACACAAAAAGUAUCAGGCUUUAAUAAAGCCCAAUUAGCUUUUAAAUGAAACCCAAAGCCUUCUUUAACACUUAAGUAAUCACAACCGUUGAUCAAAAAAAAAAGUAAUCACAACCAAAGAGUUUAGACUUUAGAGAACAAUCCGUUUUACAGUUUCGUUUCGGUUCAGUAUAUUUAUUUUUCAGAUUUUUAUAUGUAUUUGACGUUCUAGAGAAUCUUUAAAAAUGUUUUAACCGAAAAUAAAUAAAAUUGUUUGUAAUUUGAUUGGUUUUUGGGUUCGGCUUGAUGUUGUUACGGUUUGGUCGAUAUACUUUCUCUUUCGAAACUAAACAAUAUACAUGACAAAUACUCUAGUAACAUUUCUAUUUACAUGAUUACAUCUAUAUUUAAUAUGUAUAUUUAAGAUAAAGUUUAAUGAAAUUUAAAUUUAUUAUGAUUAGUUUAUUUUUGGGUAUAUCCGUAUAUGUUAAAUUAAUUCUACAACUGAGUUAAAUUUUUAAACUUAUAGAUAAAAUACAAAUAGAAGUGUUUUUUUAUCGGUUUGGUUUGAUUUGUCCUUAGUUAUUUUUACUCAGUUUUCUAUUUAAAAAACAUCUUAAAUAUAAUUUACGAAUCAGUACGAUAACAUGUAUUAUGAUGAUAUACACUAAACAGAUAUAAAAUUUUAAUAAAUUUGUUGAUCAAGAAAAAGUUUUGUAAAAAAAAAUGUUUUGUAGAUUUGAUUGUAUUUUUAUUGGAUGUGGCUCGGUAGUACUCGAAUGGUAUUUGGUUCAGCUUUGGUUGUUUCUUUCUAUAUUUAAAAUUUUAAAUAUUAGUUAAUAAAUAUUAAUUUGAUUUGAUUGGAUUUGACUAUUUGAGUAAUAUCGAAUUGUGUUAAUCGUGGAGAAAGAAGAAGCGGAUUUUGAGAUUUCGACUGGGACGGGUUCCAUUAUAUAUAAUUUAGUUAUUUUAUUUCAUUUUCUCUUCUGGCCAUUUUUGGAUUCACGAAUCACGCCGCUUUUGUUCCUUUUCAAAAAAAUAAAAUUGCCUUUGUUUCUCUUUUACUUUGCGUCAUCAACCUCGGAUAUGUUCUCUUUAACUUCACAAGGAAAACUACAAAUAUGCACAUAGUAAGAUCGAAAUAGAAUUCGAAUUUCAGGUGGUUUUUGUUCAUAACAUUUGACUUAUUGUGAUAUGGCUGAGCGAUAAUAUCGUGAUAUCAUUACAAAAAUCAGUGGUUUUAAUUAUGCUAUAUUUAUGAAGAAAUCAUAUACUAUCUCUAUUUCUGCAGAGCAGUCGUUUCCAUUGUGUUAUGGCACAAUGUCCUCCCCCUCGUUUUCUCUUUGUGUUUGAAAGCUGUAAUGUGUGUUUCUCUUCUUUGUGCAUUUUUGUACUCCCCUUAAAUAAUAUAGAUGAAAACCUUUAAAAAAAGAAAACAAAUCAAAUACUAUAAACAGUUACCGGUAAAACAAACAUAACAAAUCAUAUAUAUGUACCAUAUGUGAAUAUCCGCUCCAAAUAUUUUCUUAUAUACAUUUUUGUAAUAUAUUAGAUUAUACUCCCUCUGUUCUGAAAUGUAAGAUGUUUUAGGUAGUACACACUUAUUAAGAAAAUUAUUUUUUACCUAAAAAAUAUCAUUAAAAUUAUAAAGUAAAAAUUUCUCAACCAAUUACAAAAUAAAAUUAUUAAAUUUGAUAGACUACACAAUCUUAUAUAUUGGAAAAUAAAAAUUAUUCUAAACAUCUUACAUUUCAUAACAGAGAGAAUAUAUAUUAUAUCUUUUAGUUUUUGAUAGCUUAUUUAUCAAAUUAAUUAUUAAACUAUCAAAAUUCACAAAUAAAGAAUUUGAAUCUUUAACUUUAGUCUCAUUUAUAUAAUUUCCUUAAAUUUUUAUUUAUUUUCCAACUAACUUUGAAUUGAACAUGGAUAAAAACAAAUAUAAACCAAAAAAAAACCAGAAUAAUGACUAGUUCCGUUUUCAUUCCAAAUUUGUGCGUAACACUGCACCAAAACAUGCGAAGCUUAAGCUCCCAAGAAUAAAGAUUGAGAAAAAGAAAAAGAGAACUAUGAACUCAAAUGAACGGUCCCACCCCGCACCAUUCCAAAGAUUUAGUUUAUUAAUUAUUAUAUCCUCUUUUCUUGUAGAUCCUUCUCUUUAAAAACCCUCUAUUUCUUGACCUCUUCUUUCCUCAUAAUAUCAAUAGCCUAGAGGAAAGAAAACCCUUGUUUGCUUCCAACUUGUUCAUCACCAAGCCAACUCCAUGUUCUAGACUUCUAGUCGCUCCCUAGAAUACUAAGCUUACAAUCAAUUUGUUCAAACUAGUUGGUUCCUUCCAAGGUCUUGUACACAUACGUACCACAAACACGUGUUGUUCUUUCUCUGUGUGUGUGUGUGAAUUGUAAAAGUGGAUCGAAGGUAUGGAAAGGGAUUGGUUUAAGCUCCCAAGAAUAAAGAUUGAGAAAAAGAAAAAGAGAACUAUGAACUCAAAUGAACGGUCCCACCCCGCACCAUUCCAAAGAUUUAGUUUAUUAAUUAUUAUAUCCUCUUUUCUUGUAGAUCCUUCUCUUUAAAAACCCUCUAUUUCUUGACCUCUUCUUUCCUCAUAAUAUCAAUAGCCUAGAGGAAAGAAAACCCUUGUUUGCUUCCAACUUGUUCAUCACCAAGCCAACUCCAUGUUCUAGACUUCUAGUCGCUCCCUAGAAUACUAAGCUUACAAUCAAUUUGUUCAAACUAGUUGGUUCCUUCCAAGGUCUUGUACACAUACGUACCACAAACACGUGUUGUUCUUUCUCUGUGUGUGUGUGUGAAUUGUAAAAGUGGAUCGAAGGUAUGGAAAGGGAUUGGUUCCACCGGAAACGUCGGCGGCGGAGAACCCUUCUUGGAACGAGUCAGAUGUCACCGCCAUGAUCUCCUCUCUAAGUCGUGCCAUCGAGUAUCCAACAGCCGACGGACACGACCCGGUCAAAGAAGAGCUUGAUAAAUCGGAUCAACUACAACAAGACCAAGGUAAUUAAGUAGUUACAUAUUAAAUCCAUAUGUUUCUUCACCAUAUGUCUCUAAUAACAGCUUAAUCUUUUAGCUAGCUGAUGUAACUUGUUAGAAUAUGUUAAGUAACUUAACUUGCUAUUAAUAACUCUUUCGAUAGUUGCUUACUUGCUUGCUUAAUAAUAAAAUUAAUUAGGGGAAAAAAGGAAUUGGUAUGUUAGGCUCAAGUUCAGGUUCAAGUUCAAUGCAUCUGUCAUUUAAUUUACUUUCCGUAAAGAACUUUACUUCUCGUCUUUGAAUUGAACCACCGAUCUGGUUUCUACGUGUCUGUCUUUUUUUAAUACAUCUAGACUUCUUUUUUGUUUCUUUUGAAAGUACUAGUUAGAUGAUAUUUUAUCAACGUAGGCUUUAACUCGUCAAACAUAUAUAUAGUCUACAUAUGGCUUCUUACCUAACUAGAUGUGAGUAAUUUUAACCACGCACGGUUCUUUGAUUCAUUUCAAUCAAUUAGUACUAAUUGUUGUAUUUGAUCGAUUAUUCUUUUAUCAACUUUAUGUAUGUCCUUUAUUCUAUAUUUUGAUUUAUGUAAACACGAUUAACUUGUGUUUAAGGUGAGUUUAACGACCAAAAAUGUCAUACGACUCAUACUCAAAAGUAGUUAUCAAAAGUCAAGUCUUAGUUUAUAUUUUUGUUGAUUGAUAUUCACAACAUCACAUUUUGUUCUUUGAAUUCUAAAUUGUAUUUAUAGAUGUGUCAUGUCAUCCUGUAUGCACAAUAAUACAACUGAAACUAAUCAUUCAUAGAAAUAAAAACUCAUGUAUUAUUCUUUCUAGAGAAAAAUAAUUUAAGUUGAUGAUUUUUUUUAAAUGGUAGUUGAUUACUAAUAAGUUUUAUUUUGCUCAGUUUAAUUAGUUUUUUUUUUUUGUCAAUAUGCAUCUAAAUAAAAAGUUAAAAUGUUAAGAGUGUGAGGAAGAAUAGUUUUAGUAUAUUUUGGAAAGUUGUAUAAUCGACAUAUUUUAUGAAUCUGAAGUAGUUUUUGAUGCAUUCUUUCAUUAAAUCAUCUUUUGUUCCUUUCAAGCUGUUAAUGAACAUUUAAACUAAUUUUUCUCAAAUUAUUUCCUUGCUGUAAGUACAAUUAAAAUCACACGUAUACUAUCUUCUCAUGCAUGUAGUGCUCACAUGCAGUAUUAUUAUUAUUAUUAUUUCUGUGUUACAUGCAAAAAUAAUUAUUUUAUUUCAACGUUCUUCAAGAUCAACCAAGAAAAAGACACUAUAGAGGGGUAAGGCAGCGACCAUGGGGAAAAUGGGCGGCCGAGAUCCGUGACCCAAAGAAAGCAGCCCGUGUAUGGCUCGGGACUUUCGAGACAGCAGAAGACGCCGCUUUAGCCUACGACCGAGCCGCCCUCAAAUUCAAAGGCACCAAGGCUAAACUCAACUUCCCUGAACGUGUUCAAGGCCCAUCAACCACAAGCUAUGUUGCAUCUCAAUCUGGCACUGAUCAUGCCCCAAGAGGAGGUAGUGAAUUAAUGAGCUCACCUCCUCAGCUUGGUCCAUCUUCUACUACUACCACUACUACCUCGUGGCCAGUGAAUUAUAACCAGGACAUACUUCAGUACGCUCAGUUGCUUACAAGUAAUAGUGACGUUGAUUUGUCGUACUACACAUCAAGUCUCUUCAGUCAGCAGCAGCAGCCUUUCUCAACGCCAUCUUCAUCUUCUUCUUCCUCGUUAGCUUUCCAACAAACGCAGCAGCAACAACAGCAGCAGCGCGAAGACGAGAAGAGCUAUGGUUACCACUAUUAUAACUACCCAAGAGAAUAAUACAAUUAUUAUUAUUGCCUAUCGAAUAAGUUUUAUAAAUCUCUACUGUAUUUUCAUUUCGGUUUUUACUUCCGUAACCUUUGUUACUAUAUAGAGGCAAGGACGUUGCAACAAAAAUGAAUGAACGAGACGCAUGUGUAUCGUUUUUUUUUCGUUUUUCCUUAAUUGUUAGUAAGAUUUGGAUUUGUUGAAGUUCACUGUUUUGACACAUGUAAUUCCUAGAAUUUAAAUUCGGAGAAGGCAUAUACAAUGUUCAAAAUAUAUUUUAUUUUAUGGACAUAUUUUUAGAUGACCAGUUAAAGACGAUAAUCUCAGAAAAAAACGAUAUAUAGUUAGAUCUAUAGUUAUAUUAAUAUUAUAUAAGUCUAUGUCAUUAGAAUAAGAACCAAAUAUGUAAAUAAACCUCUAAAAGAAAACAAGUAUGCAUGAGAACUGAUAGUGUAUUUUUAUAUAAUGGUGUUCGAAGGAAUUAGUUUUGUCCUAGGGUGGAUUGCUAAUCUAGAGGUAAUUAGACCUGGCGUUUAGACCACGAACGUAUAACUUAGCUGAGAAACCGAGACAUUAAGGUUAAGUAUUUAGUGGUCUCUCUUUACUUGAUCGUUCAAGAAAAGAGUUUUUUUUCAGUUGCAAAAAAAAAGAGUUAGUUUUUUUUUUGAACAAAGAAAAGAGUUUGGUUCUAGCAUAUUUUUUUUAAACUAAUAGGUUUAACCUAAAAGUUUUAACAAGGUAAUCUUAAAUAUCUAGAAUCAUAAAUCUUAAUUAUUCAUAGCCCAAUAAAAAUUUCUGAUAUACCCAAAAUUUAAAUGAUAAGAUUAUAAAUUAAAUAUAAUAUGCGUAUUUAGGAAUAUGUCCACUAGAUCCAUUUUUUUUAAAAAAAUCACACAUUAAUUAAGGUUAUGACUUUUGUUAUAAUAUAUAAGAUUUCUUCUGUUUUAAUAGAAAAAAAUGUUUUAAGAAAAAUAUUUUUUUCUAUUAUACAAUAUAAGAUAUUUUUAAUCAUCUUGUUAAUUUAACCUUUAGAAAACCUAUUAUUUUAAAUUUUAUUCUAGUGAUACGUUUAAAAAUAAUUUAUUAAUUUAUAUGUAUUGAGACAAAAAAAUAAUAUAUUAUAAAAAAUAAAAAAUGUAUAGUAUAUUUCAGGUUUAUAAAAAAUAGGAGAAGUACAGUGCCUCUUUGGAUGCCUGAAUCCCUACCUGUCAAAUUGAUGCAUCAUGGAUCAGUUAUGGCAACGUCAGUGGUUUAGGAUGGAGUCUUAAGGAUCAAAUGGACUCAGAAUACUUCAGACCAAUGACGUAUUACAGGAGCCUCUCAGCUUUGUAUAUUGAAAUGGAAAGUUUACUUUAGACAUCCUCUUGUAUGAGAAACAGAAGGAUAACCUCGGUACGGUUCGAGACGACUGUUCGGACUUAGUGGAUAUGACAAAAAACCGAUGGAUUGCCAGCAUUCGCGGCAGAGAUCGAAGUUUUCUAGAAGCUACAGGAAGACUUUGAGGAUGUGAGUCUGUCUCAUAUUCCUUGGAGUCGGAAUGGUAGGGUAUAUACGUUAGCAAAGGAUGCAAAGAUCAGAGGCUACCUUUUUUCUUAUAUAUAUCAGAUCCGGACAGAUGAAAAUGUUCUUAGGAGAAUCAGUUUGUAUGUUCUCCACUUGAUCUAGAUUAGAUGGAUAGAUGACAAAAAAAAGCGUGGAAACUAUUCGAGAAUUUGAUUCAUUCAUUCUAAAGAGUCUUAUAAGAAAAAAAGAUAGGUAAGCAUUGAGUAAAUAGGGUCAAACAUUUUUUUUCUUGUUUAAGUGUGAUUAAACAAUCACAAACGAUCACAGUAGGAAUAUCGCAAUCGCUAAUCAUUUAAAAAACAAAAAACGUGUUCAACUGUGAAUAUAUUCCCAAAACCAAAAAGUGUGUAGAAUAUAGUGAGACUUAUCUUUCCACAUAUUCAUGUGUCUUCUUUAGAACGCAUUUAUGUAAAUACAUGCAUCUAUAUGUGAGUCGUCCCACUAGUUUUAAUUUUUUAUCAUUUAUACUCUUUUCACGAAAUGACGUUUAUUUGGAUUAUUGGCACAUGUGAGAGUAAGACAAGCAAACUUGGUCUCGAGAUGUACAUCGAGCUUGGCCCACCAAAGAUAGUAGUUUGAACACCGUGCAACUCUCAUUAUUGUAUUUGAUUGGUCUUUCUUCUGAUCGUCUCAGCACUUUUCAGCAUACAUUCCUCACCAGUUAUACUAUUCAUUUAAUCAAAUAUAUUAAUACACCAUAACACUUACAUUAUAAUAUCCACACAUGUUCAUCUGAAAGGUACUGGAUAUACAAAAAAAGUGAAACUUUUAUAAAUUGAGUAAAUACAUAGAUAUAUUCCCGGUAUCUUACUCCUAGAUAAUUGAUGUAUGAGAUAUUGAGAUUAGAUGCGAUGAUGUAGAACGAUAAGUGAAGAGCUUCUUGAGAGUUACGCAUGCGGAAAGGCAGAAGGAAAUGGGUCCCAUCCCACUUGGUUACGUCAAGUGGUGUUAUUUUGAGAGGGCUAUCUUCGAGAUCCUAUGACCCAGUUAUAAUCAUCUGCAAAUCCCGAUACAUAUCUUUCCAAUUCUUUAUUUGUUUAUGUAGUAUAAAAUUUCCACAGUCAAAUUUCUAACUCGAUUAUGAUACUACAGUUUCACACACAAUCUCUACUCUGCACUACGUCUAGCAGGGUGUUGUUUUAUGUGAUCAAUCUGACCAAGUGUUCUGUGAGCCAUUUUCGGUAAUUAGUUAGUUUCUAUCAGCUUCAAAAAAGAGAUUGUAUAUUUUAUACUAUUGUAAACAAACAUUGAUUAACAUGGAAAAAUAAAAAAAUUUAGAGAAAAAGACGAUUUAAAAAAAAAACUAAUUUUAGAAUUUGUAUAUUGAUAAUGUGAAUAAAUCAAUUUACAAGUCUUUACAGUUUACACAUAUAUAUACAAUCUCAAAAUUUAAUAUUUUUUCCGUUUAUGAAAAUUUCAUUAUCUACCAAAGACAGUUUUUCUAAUCGAUUAAAACAUACUGUACAACAAUUUUUUUGGAUACAUACCCCCAAAUGUUAGUCUUAUAACGAUUUAAUCCGCCUUAUGUCUAUGAUGACCAAAUCAUUUUAUUAAUAUACUCUAAGUCACUCCAUAAUCAGUAUUUACUUCUAAUUUUAACUAUUUUUAUUUCUCCCGAAAUGUUAUUUUUCAGAAAGUGAUAGGCCAUUACUAAGAAUCAAAACAAUACCCAUAAAAUGAUAACACGAGAGAAGUUGAAAGGGAUAUGAUGAAGUUCCGGAUCUAUAUAUCUUUAUCGAUCUAUAGCUAUUUUCAACAGUCUUCGGGUAUCUAUGACACACGAAGACUUUAAGCAUGCUUUCGGCUUCAAUAAAUUCAAACAUUGCGGCUGCUUUGCGAUGAUUCCAUAGAGUGGAACUUCCCCAGAUACAAUAAUGAUCUUCGCAUGCACAUGCACUCUUAUUAUUAUGUGCAUGGAUUGAUUUCAAUAUAUUGUCAGUCAUCUACGUGCAUCUUUACUGCUUUGUUCUUUUUCUUUCUCACUGGUAUUCAUACUAAACGGAAGACAGUUUUUCUAAUCGAUUAAAACAUAUCAGUUUACACAUAUAUAUACAAUCUCAAAAUUUAAUAUUUUUUCCGUUUUCUUACUACUUAACCAACAACAAAAUCUGUUUUUGAUUAUUAAAAUUUGUGUAAAACCGAUUUUUUUUCUUUUAUAUAGUGUAAAAGUAUUUCCAACCCAUCUCUACUUUCAUGUUUAUAUUUUUUUCUAAAAUAGAGAAAUUCUAUUAUAUAGACGUGGAUUUACUCCAAUAUAUGCCUCUAUAAUAGAAUUUUUCUAUUUACAGAGAAAAAUAUAGAAAUAUAUUAUUUUCACCUCUAAAUAUAAAAUAAAAAAUAAUUUUAUUUAUAUUUUUUUCUAAAAUAAAAGAAUUCUAUUAUAGAGGUCUACCACUAUAAUAGAGAUUUCUAUUUUAGAGAAAAAUAUAGAUACAUGCAAGAGUAUUUGCACUCCCUACCAAAGCUUUUUAGUGUAUUUAGUUAUAUACCCUAAAACAGAUAUAAAAUUUUAAUAAAUUUGUUGAUCAAGAAAAAGUUUUGUAAAAAAAAAUGUUUUGUAGAUUUGAUUGUAUUUUUAUUGGAUGUGGCUCGGUAGUACUCGAAUGGUAUUUGGUUCAGCUUUGGUUGUUUCUUUCUAUAUUUAAAAUUUUAAAUAUUAGUUAAUAAAUAUUAAUUUGAUUUGAUUGGAUUUGACUAUUUGAGUAAUAUCGAAUUGUGUUAAUCGUGGAGAAAGAAGAAGCGGAUUUUGAGAUUUCGACUGGGACGGGUUCCAUUAUAUAUAAUUUAGUUAUUUUAUUUCAUUUUCUCUUCUGGCCAUUUUUGGAUUCACGAAUCACGCCGCUUUUGUUCCUUUUCAAAAAAAUAAAAUUGCCUUUGUUUCUCUUUUACUUUGCGUCAUCAACCUCGGAUAUGUUCUCUUUAACUUCACAAGGAAAACUACAAAUAUGCACAUAGUAAGAUCGAAAUAGAAUUCGAAUUUCAGGUGGUUUUUGUUCAUAACAUUUGACUUAUUGUGAUAUGGCUGAGCGAUAAUAUCGUGAUAUCAUUACAAAAAUCAGUGGUUUUAAUUAUGCUAUAUUUAUGAAGAAAUCAUAUACUAUCUCUAUUUCUGCAGAGCAGUCGUUUCCAUUGUGUUAUGGCACAAUGUCCUCCCCCUCGUUUUCUCUUUGUGUUUGAAAGCUGUAAUGUGUGUUUCUCUUCUUUGUGCAUUUUUGUACUCCCCUUAAAUAAUAUAGAUGAAAACCUUUAAAAAAAGAAAACAAAUCAAAUACUAUAAACAGUUACCGGUAAAACAAACAUAACAAAUCAUAUAUAUGUACCAUAUGUGAAUAUCCGCUCCAAAUAUUUUCUUAUAUACAUUUUUGUAAUAUAUUAGAUUAUACUCCCUCUGUUCUGAAAUGUAAGAUGUUUUAGGUAGUACACACUUAUUAAGAAAAUUAUUUUUUACCUAAAAAAUAUCAUUAAAAUUAUAAAGUAAAAAUUUCUCAACCAAUUACAAAAUAAAAUUAUUAAAUUUGAUAGACUACACAAUCUUAUAUAUUGGAAAAUAAAAAUUAUUCUAAACAUCUUACAUUUCAUAACAGAGAGAAUAUAUAUUAUAUCUUUUAGUUUUUGAUAGCUUAUUUAUCAAAUUAAUUAUUAAACUAUCAAAAUUCACAAAUAAAGAAUUUGAAUCUUUAACUUUAGUCUCAUUUAUAUAAUUUCCUUAAAUUUUUAUUUAUUUUCCAACUAACUUUGAAUUGAACAUGGAUAAAAACAAAUAUAAACCAAAAAAAAACCAGAAUAAUGACUAGUUCCGUUUUCAUUCCAAAUUUGUGCGUAACACUGCACCAAAACAUGCGAAGCUUAAGCUCCCAAGAAUAAAGAUUGAGAAAAAGAAAAAGAGAACUAUGAACUCAAAUGAACGGUCCCACCCCGCACCAUUCCAAAGAUUUAGUUUAUUAAUUAUUAUAUCCUCUUUUCUUGUAGAUCCUUCUCUUUAAAAACCCUCUAUUUCUUGACCUCUUCUUUCCUCAUAAUAUCAAUAGCCUAGAGGAAAGAAAACCCUUGUUUGCUUCCAACUUGUUCAUCACCAAGCCAACUCCAUGUUCUAGACUUCUAGUCGCUCCCUAGAAUACUAAGCUUACAAUCAAUUUGUUCAAACUAGUUGGUUCCUUCCAAGGUCUUGUACACAUACGUACCACAAACACGUGUUGUUCUUUCUCUGUGUGUGUGUGUGAAUUGUAAAAGUGGAUCGAAGGUAUGGAAAGGGAUUGGUUCCACCGGAAACGUCGGCGGCGGAGAACCCUUCUUGGAACGAGUCAGAUGUCACCGCCAUGAUCUCCUCUCUAAGUCGUGCCAUCGAGUAUCCAACAGCCGACGGACACGACCCGGUCAAAGAAGAGCUUGAUAAAUCGGAUCAACUACAACAAGACCAAGGUAAUUAAGUAGUUACAUAUUAAAUCCAUAUGUUUCUUCACCAUAUGUCUCUAAUAACAGCUUAAUCUUUUAGCUAGCUGAUGUAACUUGUUAGAAUAUGUUAAGUAACUUAACUUGCUAUUAAUAACUCUUUCGAUAGUUGCUUACUUGCUUGCUUAAUAAUAAAAUUAAUUAGGGGAAAAAAGGAAUUGGUAUGUUAGGCUCAAGUUCAGGUUCAAGUUCAAUGCAUCUGUCAUUUAAUUUACUUUCCGUAAAGAACUUUACUUCUCGUCUUUGAAUUGAACCACCGAUCUGGUUUCUACGUGUCUGUCUUUUUUUAAUACAUCUAGACUUCUUUUUUGUUUCUUUUGAAAGUACUAGUUAGAUGAUAUUUUAUCAACGUAGGCUUUAACUCGUCAAACAUAUAUAUAGUCUACAUAUGGCUUCUUACCUAACUAGAUGUGAGUAAUUUUAACCACGCACGGUUCUUUGAUUCAUUUCAAUCAAUUAGUACUAAUUGUUGUAUUUGAUCGAUUAUUCUUUUAUCAACUUUAUGUAUCCUAAUUUCCCACUUCUUUAUGGGUUUUGAGCUAAUUGACUCUACAUGCAAUACAAUGGGGAUGUUCUAAGGUUGGAAAUAAGUCGCAUGUUAUAUGUACCUCUAUCCGUUUUAAAGAUUUUAAUUGGUUAAUAUCAAAAAUUAAAAGAAUGGUUUUGUAAUUUGUACACAUGUAUAUACGUUUUCUCUGUCAAGGCUUUCAUGAGAUGAUGCUACUACGUAAGGGAAAAAGCUGAUGGCUCAUGCAAAGGCUGUCAAAAUCAUUGAACACAAAUUAAAGCCUUUUUACGCACCUAAAGUCCAAGAUAAGUUUACGGGAGGAAUAAGCCCAAAAUAAGUGUAAUCUAAAUCAAAAUCUGAAAAACAGUGAAAAUUAUAAACCCAAGAAGAGAUUAGGCUUUGAUUCUUAAGUGCAACUUGGAACGCUAACUGUUUCCAUUUGAUAACUUGAUGAAUAUGGUUAUCGGCUGCGGUCUCCCUAGUACGAUGGCUGUGAGUGAGCGGUGAGCGAGAUUAGUGUCGGCGGUGAGACGGGACCUAGAUCGCGAGUGUUUCGAGCCAUUGGCAACCUAUAAUGAUUUGAUUAGUCAAUGGAUCUGGAGCUUUUUUGUUCAACAACUCAUCGGUUCAAUGUGUUUGCUUAGUCGGGCAGAUGAACCGGUACAUCAAAUUAAACCGGCUUCGUUUGCGAUACAACUGAAACUAAUCAUUCAUAGAAAUAAAAACUCAUGUAUUAUUCUUUCUAGAGAAAAAUAAUUUAAGUUGAUGAUUUUUUUUAAAUGGUAGUUGAUUACUAAUAAGUUUUAUUUUGCUCAGUUUAAUUAGUUUUUUUUUUUUGUCAAUAUGCAUCUAAAUAAAAAGUUAAAAUGUUAAGAGUGUGAGGAAGAAUAGUUUUAGUAUAUUUUGGAAAGUUGUAUAAUCGACAUAUUUUAUGAAUCUGAAGUAGUUUUUGAUGCAUUCUUUCAUUAAAUCAUCUUUUGUUCCUUUCAAGCUGUUAAUGAACAUUUAAACUAAUUUUUCUCAAAUUAUUUCCUUGCUGUAAGUACAAUUAAAAUCACACGUAUACUAUCUUCUCAUGCAUGUAGUGCUCACAUGCAGUAUUAUUAUUAUUAUUAUUUCUGUGUUACAUGCAAAAAUAAUUAUUUUAUUUCAACGUUCUUCAAGAUCAACCAAGAAAAAGACACUAUAGAGGGGUAAGGCAGCGACCAUGGGGAAAAUGGGCGGCCGAGAUCCGUGACCCAAAGAAAGCAGCCCGUGUAUGGCUCGGGACUUUCGAGACAGCAGAAGACGCCGCUUUAGCCUACGACCGAGCCGCCCUCAAAUUCAAAGGCACCAAGGCUAAACUCAACUUCCCUGAACGUGUUCAAGGCCCAUCAACCACAAGCUAUGUUGCAUCUCAAUCUGGCACUGAUCAUGCCCCAAGAGGAGGUAGUGAAUUAAUGAGCUCACCUCCUCAGCUUGGUCCAUCUUCUACUACUACCACUACUACCUCGUGGCCAGUGAAUUAUAACCAGGACAUACUUCAGUACGCUCAGUUGCUUACAAGUAAUAGUGACGUUGAUUUGUCGUACUACACAUCAAGUCUCUUCAGUCAGCAGCAGCAGCCUUUCUCAACGCCAUCUUCAUCUUCUUCUUCCUCGUUAGCUUUCCAACAAACGCAGCAGCAACAACAGCAGCAGCGCGAAGACGAGAAGAGCUAUGGUUACCACUAUUAUAACUACCCAAGAGAAUAAUACAAUUAUUAUUAUUGCCUAUCGAAUAAGUUUUAUAAAUCUCUACUGUAUUUUCAUUUCGGUUUUUACUUCCGUAACCUUUGUUACUAUAUAGAGGCAAGGACGUUGCAACAAAAAUGAAUGAACGAGACGCAUGUGUAUCGUUUUUUUUUCGUUUUUCCUUAAUUGUUAGUAAGAUUUGGAUUUGUUGAAGUUCACUGUUUUGACACAUGUAAUUCCUAGAAUUUAAAUUCGGAGAAGGCAUAUACAAUGUUCAAAAUAUAUUUUAUUUUAUGGACAUAUUUUUAGAUGACCAGUUAAAGACGAUAAUCUCAGAAAAAAACGAUAUAUAGUUAGAUCUAUAGUUAUAUUAAUAUUAUAUAAGUCUAUGUCAUUAGAAUAAGAACCAAAUAUGUAAAUAAACCUCUAAAAGAAAACAAGUAUGCAUGAGAACUGAUAGUGUAUUUUUAUAUAAUGGUGUUCGAAGGAAUUAGUUUUGUCCUAGGGUGGAUUGCUAAUCUAGAGGUAAUUAGACCUGGCGUUUAGACCACGAACGUAUAACUUAGCUGAGAAACCGAGACAUUAAGGUUAAGUAUUUAGUGGUCUCUCUUUACUUGAUCGUUCAAGAAAAGAGUUUUUUUUCAGUUGCAAAAAAAAAGAGUUAGUUUUUUUUUUGAACAAAGAAAAGAGUUUGGUUCUAGCAUAUUUUUUUUAAACUAAUAGGUUUAACCUAAAAGUUUUAACAAGGUAAUCUUAAAUAUCUAGAAUCAUAAAUCUUAAUUAUUCAUAGCCCAAUAAAAAUUUCUGAUAUACCCAAAAUUUAAAUGAUAAGAUUAUAAAUUAAAUAUAAUAUGCGUAUUUAGGAAUAUGUCCACUAGAUCCAUUUUUUUUAAAAAAAUCACACAUUAAUUAAGGUUAUGACUUUUGUUAUAAUAUAUAAGAUUUCUUCUGUUUUAAUAGAAAAAAAUGUUUUAAGAAAAAUAUUUUUUUCUAUUAUACAAUAUAAGAUAUUUUUAAUCAUCUUGUUAAUUUAACCUUUAGAAAACCUAUUAUUUUAAAUUUUAUUCUAGUGAUACGUUUAAAAAUAAUUUAUUAAUUUAUAUGUAUUGAGACAAAAAAAUAAUAUAUUAUAAAAAAUAAAAAAUGUAUAGUAUAUUUCAGGUUUAUAAAAAAUAGGAGAAGUACAGUGCCUCUUUGGAUGCCUGAAUCCCUACCUGUCAAAUUGAUGCAUCAUGGAUCAGUUAUGGCAACGUCAGUGGUUUAGGAUGGAGUCUUAAGGAUCAAAUGGACUCAGAAUACUUCAGACCAAUGACGUAUUACAGGAGCCUCUCAGCUUUGUAUAUUGAAAUGGAAAGUUUACUUUAGACAUCCUCUUGUAUGAGAAACAGAAGGAUAACCUCGGUACGGUUCGAGACGACUGUUCGGACUUAGUGGAUAUGACAAAAAACCGAUGGAUUGCCAGCAUUCGCGGCAGAGAUCGAAGUUUUCUAGAAGCUACAGGAAGACUUUGAGGAUGUGAGUCUGUCUCAUAUUCCUUGGAGUCGGAAUGGUAGGGUAUAUACGUUAGCAAAGGAUGCAAAGAUCAGAGGCUACCUUUUUUCUUAUAUAUAUCAGAUCCGGACAGAUGAAAAUGUUCUUAGGAGAAUCAGUUUGUAUGUUCUCCACUUGAUCUAGAUUAGAUGGAUAGAUGACAAAAAAAAGCGUGGAAACUAUUCGAGAAUUUGAUUCAUUCAUUCUAAAGAGUCUUAUAAGAAAAAAAGAUAGGUAAGCAUUGAGUAAAUAGGGUCAAACAUUUUUUUUCUUGUUUAAGUGUGAUUAAACAAUCACAAACGAUCACAGUAGGAAUAUCGCAAUCGCUAAUCAUUUAAAAAACAAAAAACGUGUUCAACUGUGAAUAUAUUCCCAAAACCAAAAAGUGUGUAGAAUAUAGUGAGACUUAUCUUUCCACAUAUUCAUGUGUCUUCUUUAGAACGCAUUUAUGUAAAUACAUGCAUCUAUAUGUGAGUCGUCCCACUAGUUUUAAUUUUUUAUCAUUUAUACUCUUUUCACGAAAUGACGUUUAUUUGGAUUAUUGGCACAUGUGAGAGUAAGACAAGCAAACUUGGUCUCGAGAUGUACAUCGAGCUUGGCCCACCAAAGAUAGUAGUUUGAACACCGUGCAACUCUCAUUAUUGUAUUUGAUUGGUCUUUCUUCUGAUCGUCUCAGCACUUUUCAGCAUACAUUCCUCACCAGUUAUACUAUUCAUUUAAUCAAAUAUAUUAAUACACCAUAACACUUACAUUAUAAUAUCCACACAUGUUCAUCUGAAAGGUACUGGAUAUACAAAAAAAGUGAAACUUUUAUAAAUUGAGUAAAUACAUAGAUAUAUUCCCGGUAUCUUACUCCUAGAUAAUUGAUGUAUGAGAUAUUGAGAUUAGAUGCGAUGAUGUAGAACGAUAAGUGAAGAGCUUCUUGAGAGUUACGCAUGCGGAAAGGCAGAAGGAAAUGGGUCCCAUCCCACUUGGUUACGUCAAGUGGUGUUAUUUUGAGAGGGCUAUCUUCGAGAUCCUAUGACCCAGUUAUAAUCAUCUGCAAAUCCCGAUACAUAUCUUUCCAAUUCUUUAUUUGUUUAUGUAGUAUAAAAUUUCCACAGUCAAAUUUCUAACUCGAUUAUGAUACUACAGUUUCACACACAAUCUCUACUCUGCACUACGUCUAGCAGGGUGUUGUUUUAUGUGAUCAAUCUGACCAAGUGUUCUGUGAGCCAUUUUCGGUAAUUAGUUAGUUUCUAUCAGCUUCAAAAAAGAGAUUGUAUAUUUUAUACUAUUGUAAACAAACAUUGAUUAACAUGGAAAAAUAAAAAAAUUUAGAGAAAAAGACGAUUUAAAAAAAAAACUAAUUUUAGAAUUUGUAUAUUGAUAAUGUGAAUAAAUCAAUUUACAAGUCUUUACAGUUUACACAUAUAUAUACAAUCUCAAAAUUUAAUAUUUUUUCCGUUUAUGAAAAUUUCAUUAUCUACCAAAGACAGUUUUUCUAAUCGAUUAAAACAUACUGUACAACAAUUUUUUUGGAUACAUACCCCCAAAUGUUAGUCUUAUAACGAUUUAAUCCGCCUUAAUUUCCCACUUCUUUAUGGGUUUUGAGCUAAUUGACUCUACAUGCAAUACAAUGGGGAUGUUCUAAGGUUGGAAAUAAGUCGCAUGUUAUAUGUACCUCUAUCCGUUUUAAAGAUUUUAAUUGGUUAAUAUCAAAAAUUAAAAGAAUGGUUUUGUAAUUUGUACACAUGUAUAUACGUUUUCUCUGUCAAGGCUUUCAUGAGAUGAUGCUACUACGUAAGGGAAAAAGCUGAUGGCUCAUGCAAAGGCUGUCAAAAUCAUUGAACACAAAUUAAAGCCUUUUUACGCACCUAAAGUCCAAGAUAAGUUUACGGGAGGAAUAAGCCCAAAAUAAGUGUAAUCUAAAUCAAAAUCUGAAAAACAGUGAAAAUUAUAAACCCAAGAAGAGAUUAGGCUUUGAUUCUUAAGUGCAACUUGGAACGCUAACUGUUUCCAUUUGAUAACUUGAUGAAUAUGGUUAUCGGCUGCGGUCUCCCUAGUACGAUGGCUGUGAGUGAGCGGUGAGCGAGAUUAGUGUCGGCGGUGAGACGGGACCUAGAUCGCGAGUGUUUCGAGCCAUUGGCAACCUAUAAUGAUUUGAUUAGUCAAUGGAUCUGGAGCUUUUUUGUUCAACAACUCAUCGGUUCAAUGUGUUUGCUUAGUCGGGCAGAUGAACCGGUACAUCAAAUUAAACCGGCUUCGUUUGCGGUUCAAUUCAAGCAUUUUGAUCCAAAUUAGUUUUCAAUUAAAGAUUUCUUUCCUUGAGAGAGUUUUCAGGACAAAUAAUUCUACGAAUGGCAAGAAAUCAUCUAAUCCUAACCACCACUGCAAUCUUAAAUAAAUUAAAGUGGCAAUCUGAGAUCAUAGCAUUUCUAGUAGAACUUUUGAAUACAUAUAAAAAAUAAUUGGAUUUCUCAAAUAAUUUCAACUUACAUAAAAGUUUUUUUUGGUAAUAGUUAUAUAUAUAUGCGUAUAUAUAGGACUUAAUCAUACAAAACAAAAGUUUGUUUUUGUUGUUUCAAAAGUUACGUAAUACAUUUUUAAUCAAAAACACAAAGUUACGUAAUACAUUGUUAAAAACUAGAGAAUGAAUUGAAAAAAAACUAGAGAAUGGACAAAAAAGUUGCAUUGUCGGACGAAAUUAAAGAAAGAAGAACUUAACCGUACUUCGGAUUAGGUUUGUCAACAAAAAGGCCCUGUUAUAGUGGUCGAGUCACAUAUUCUACAAAUUUUUGUACCUACAAUUUACAAAUAUCAUGACUUGCUUUUAUGAAGACGUGUUGAACCACAAAUCUUUUACCACACAAUCCAGCUAGAUAUCUAACAUUAAUGGCUAUAGAAAUGUCCUUUGUAAACACCAAAGGUCCAAAAGUAAAGUUUCAAAGCAGUUCCUGGUACAUGUACCAAUCAUGAAAUCAAAAAUGAAAUUGCUUACUACUAUUAGGCUAGAUUUUUUUACUCAAAUCCUCUUUCUUGAAAAAGAAAAGAAUAUUAUCAUUUGGGAUAUUCUGGCACAGUUCUCCACGCCACACUUUUUUGACAUGUUUUGUCUGCUUCCUCCAAGAUCUCAUCCAAAGUUAUGGGUAGAGAGACAUAUCUCAUUCACUUCUCCUGAACAGAGCUCUUCACUCUUUUGUAAGUCCACAAGUGCUAAGACUUUGCUUUAACAUAUGUAAGCGAGAAUCAGUGUUUUGCUUUCUGUUAUUACUGUUGCAGGCAAUCAUGUUGCCAAAGUUCGAUCCAACAAACUCAAAAGCGUGCCUGUCCAUUCUUGAGGAUGUGACAACCAACGCAAAGCAGGUUCAAGAUUCCGUGUUGGAAGCAAUACUUUCACGCAAUGCUCAAACUGAGUAUCUUAAAGGCUUCCUCAACGGUCAGCUCGAUAAGCAAAGCUUCAAGAACAACCUACCCGUUGUGACCUACGAAGACUAUAGACCUUAUAUUGAUCGUAUUGCCAAUGGAGAGUCCUCUGAUCUCAUCUGUGAUCAACCCAUCAUUGUUCUUUUGGUCAGGUAUACCUUUUUAAAUCUUAAAAAAACUAUGCAGAUUAGUAUAGAAUAUGUAAAGAGUGAAGGAAGCAAUCGUGUGUGUGUUUGCAGCUCAGGUACUUCAGGAGGAGUUCCAAAGUUGAUACCUAUGACAGCAGAGGAACUAGAACAGAGGAUGUUGUUUUCAUCUCUACAUAGACCUCUAAUCUCCAAGUAAUGAGUUCCAAAACUCCAUUGUAAUAUCUUUAUUUCUUAGUUGUUAUGAAAACUCAAACCCGUUCUUGGUAACGUUUUGCAAAAUGCAGGCAAAUAGAAGGGAUUAGUGAUGGAAAAUCUCUCAGCUUUUUCUUUGUGACCAGAGAAGGCAAGACAGCCUCUGGCUUGAUGGUCAGGACUAUGGUUACUUGUGUUAUAAAAAUGGCCGGCUCAGCCAACAAAGAUAUGUGGUAAACAUUUGCUCCCAUAUCACAUUCAAUGUUCUAAAAAUCAUUCAGCAGUAUCCGUCUAGGCGGCAAAUUGGUCAUAAAUCAUUUUUAGCGGAGUCUAAGCGCCCGCCUAGACAAUAAUCCUCUAUAAUCACCGCCUUACGAUUUUUUUGAACAUUACUUACGUCCAAAAAGCCACUUACAUGAUCUACAGGGAUCAAGUACAGAUAAGCCCACAUGGCCUUUAUACUUGUGACGACACUACCCAAAGCAUGUACUGCCAAUUGCUUUGUGGACUUCUACAACGAGAAAAUGUAUCUCGCCUUGGUGCACCAUUUGCUUCUUCCUUCCUUAAAGUAAUCAAGUUCUUGGAAGAUCACUGGAAGGAGUUAUGCUCCAACAUAACGACAGGUCGUGUCAGCGACUGGAUCACAGACCCUCAAUGCCUUUCAGGGGUUGGUAAGUUCCUCAGCGCUCCAAAUCCAGAACUAGCGAGCCUAAUCGAGCAAGAAUGUGGUAAAACAUCAUGGGAGGCAAUAGUGAGGAGACUAUGGCCUAAUGCAAAAUGCAUUGAAGCCGUUGUUACUGGCUCUAUGGCACAGUAUAUACCGAUGAUGGAUUUCUAUUGCGGCGGUCUUCCUUUAGUUUCAUCAUUCUAUGCCAGCUCUGAAUGUUUCCUAGGUCUUAACUUAAAUACUCUGAGAAAGCCUAGUGAUGCGGCCUACACCAUUAUUCCAAGUAUGGCAUAUUUUGAGUUCAUAGAGGUCGAGAAAGACCAUCAAGAAACUAGUCAUGAUCCCACAAAGAACAUUGUGGAUCUUGUUGAUGUUAAAGUUGGACAUGACUAUGAACCUGUUAUAACAACCUUUUCAGGUAAGUCUAUUUUUAAUUAUUUUCUUAAUGUGUGUCAAUAACAAGUGCAGUCUCUUAAGUCCCAUUAUAUUUAACGAUAUAAUAAAAUAGUUUUAAAAGAAUAACUUUCUUAUAUAUGUUUGGCUUUUUCUUUUUGAACUUAUAAGCUGUAAAUUUAGCAGUAUAUCUAAGAGUUUAAAGUCUUAGACUAUAAUUUAUGUAUAUAUAUAUUUUUAAAAAUUUUGUACUGCGAGAUUAGGAUCAUGUUCGACCGUUUAUUUAUACCUAUCAAUUAACUUAUAUUAUUUGAUUUAUAGGUCUGUAUAGAUACCGUUUGGGUGAUGUUUUACGUGUGACUGGUUUCUACAACAACGCGCCAGAGUUUCAAGUCGCGGGAAGAAAAAAAGUUGUCCUGAGCAUCGACAUGGACAAGACCUACGAAGAAGAUCUCCUCAAAGCCGUAACAAACGCAAAACUCCUCCUCGAGCCACAUGACCUAAUGCUCAUUGACUUCACUAGCCGUGUGGAUUCCUCUUCAUUUCCAGGACACUACGUGCUCUACUGGGAACUAGGGAGCAAAGUCAAAGACGCGAAGCUUGAGCCUGACGCUGAGGUUAUGGAGGAAUGCUGCUUCACCAUGGAGGAAUCUCUUGAUUCCAUUUAUAGAAAAGGACGUAAGAAUGAUAAGAACAUUGGACCGCUUGAGAUUAAGGUUGUCAAGAGUGGUGCCUUUGAUGAGCUUAUGAACUUCUUCGUGUCUCGAGGCUCUUCUGUGAGUCAGUACAAGACGCCGAGAUCAGUGACGAAUGAAGAAGCGUUGAAGGUGUUGGAGGCGAGUGUAGUUUCCAAGUUUGUUAGCAAGAAGAUUCCGUCUUGGGAGCUACAUGAGCUGCAUUCCAGUCGAUAAAACCGCUGUAACAACAAGCGUGGCACAUGAGAAAAGGGCUAAUAAUAAAUUAAGAAAAAAAUAGAACCUUGUAUUGAAUAUGUAAUCGACUACAAAUAAAAUAUGGCUGAUUCGGAUAAAUUUAAAUAUUUUGGUUACAAAUAUUUUUUGAAUAAUUCGGUUCUUUCAAGUAUUUCAAAUAGUUUUAAAUAUUUCAGAUAAAAAAAUUCUGGAUAAUUUGGUUUAUAAAUGAUAUUUUAGAAGUUCAGUAAAUUUUCAAUAAUAUAAAUUAUAUUUUAGAUAGUUACAUACCAAUUUAAUUUUCGCUUCAGUUUCGGUUUUGGAUUUCCAAGAUAUGGAAACUGUUUAAAUAAUUGUGAACAUCGGUUUGGUUUUGGAUUAGUUUUUUCAGAUUUGGUUCAGUUUUCAGCUUACUCACAAUAUGUAAAAGUUACUUAUAAAUUGAAGUAACUCCACUAAAACAUCAUAAUACAAGAACAAGUGUGAACAUGCCAUAUAACAGCUCUAGGAAACGUAGAGUUUGAAGAACAAAGCCGAAGGCUCUUCUUUUAUUCCAUUACUACAGUAAACAAAACGAAGAGCCAAGGUUCAAAUCUGUGACGUUAAGCGUUUUCUUUCUCCUCUUCAUUGGCUGGCUAGUUUGAGAGAGUUGGCCUUGUCUUGAAGUGUACCAAGCAGACUCUCGAAACUCUUCUUGAACGAGUCUACACCUUCUUCUUCCAACUGUUCUCCCACUUUGUUCCAGUCUAUUCCCAGCUUCUCUAGUGCACUGUACACCCCUUCUGCUUCUGACACAUUCGCAUCUAUCGUCCUCUUCACCGUUCCAUGGUCAAUGAACGCUUCCAGCGCUUGAUCCGGCAUGGUUGACACCUAAACCCAAACCAAAAAUAUAAACACUUGUUUUGGGAAGUGAAACAUGAGACGGCAAACACAAAAGAUGACUCACAGUGUCAGGUCCAAUGAGAGGAGCAACAUAUAAAGUGUCAGAGUAAGCUGGGUUCUUGACACUUGUCGAUGCCCAGAGAAGCCUCUGCUUCUUGGCACCUUUCUUCACCAAAGCUUCCCAUCUUGGGCCUGAGAACUUUUUCUGGUAUAGUUGGUAUGCUAAUGCAGCUUGAGCCACAGCCGCCUGCAAGAACAACACAUCAGGUGUUCACAAACUCAUAAACUCAUUCACAGCAAUGAACCGAGAUUUUACCUUGCCACGGAGGUCUAGAGCUUCUGGGGUACCAAUCUUCUCAAGCAUCUUGUCCAUGAGAGUAUCCACCCUACUCACAAAGAAGGAAGCAACACUUGUAACUCUUGAGAGGUCAUCAAGUCCAGACGCCUCGAGUCCAUCCAAAUAUGCAUCGAUCACUGCCUCAUAUCUAGCUAUUGAGAAUAUAAGCUGCAACAGAACAGAACAAGGAUGUAUCAUAUAAGAACAUAACCGUUAAUUCCUGGAAAUGUCUUUAAAUAUUUGUAUACACCAACGUUCGUUUCGGGUUUUGAGACUGCUAUAAAUAUGAGUCUAAUCAGUUGUAAAUUUAUUCAUUCACGUAAUAAUAUACAAAUUCUAAAAACGGGUAUUUGCCUCAAUAUGUUUUGCUCUUGAGUUAUUUGCUUUCUUCAAGUUUGAUUCGUGUUUGUUCACAACACACUACAAUUUUUUUAAGUAUUAUAACUCAGUUUAGGACAAGUUACUUACCGUGACAUUGACACUUAUUCCAGAAGCAAUGACAUCUCUGAUGGAAGGAAUACAUGGAGCAGUAGCAGGGAUCUUAAUAUAGACAUUACGACGGUUCACAGACUUGUGAAGAAGUUUAGCAGCUUUAACAGUGGUUUUGGUAUCAUCAGCAAGCAGAGGUGAAACUUCAACAGAAACAUAGCCAUCCUCAGCAUCAGUCUGGUCAUAGAUUGGCUCAAAAAGCUUGCAAGCAUCUUGAAUAUCCUUCACCACAAGCUCCCAGUACGCUUUUUUAAUGGCCGUUCCAGACUCCACAAGUGUCCUAAUAAAAACAAAAAGAAACUGAUUCUAAUACAGCCAAAAAAGCAUCAUAAAGAUAUGCAUCCACACUAUUACCUGAACUGAUCAUUAUAAGCAUCUGAAGUGGAUAUGGCUUUCUGGAAGAUCUACAAAGGUUUUAAUAGAGUGAAGGAGUUUUAAGACAAAAUGAAACAACCAGAGAGUAAAAUAAAGGUAAAAGGGCACAAAGAGAGAUGGUUAUUAAAAAAUUACCGCAGGGUUGCUAGUUACACCACGAACGCCACGGGCAAUGAAGGGGAUAAGAUCAGUGACAGGACGGCAUAGAUUAUCAUACCAAGGACUCUGGCCUUCCUUCUCAUAUAGAUCGUGAAGAGUGGUUCUCUUUGCAGUACUUCCAUUUCCACCAGAGGCUGAACACCUCACACUGUAAAAUCAACCAAAGGAAGAAAGAGUACAUAAAAUCAAAUUCUGCUGCAGAUAGAGAAACAUAUAGUUUGCUUUUCUUAAACCAACCUAUCAACGUGAAUUGCAAGAUCAACCUUAUAGCAAGAAAAAGACUAUAGAGAGACAAGACACAUGCAUCAGUAAAGUUGAUAUGUAUACUUACAAGAGGGAAGGUCUGGUCUGUUUGUUGUAACGAAUAGAAAGAUGGGAAGCAGAAGAAAGCUUGGCGUUAAAACUGCGGAUGUUAACGAAGGAUCUUGGUAUGACAGAGGAAGAUCUGGGGCAGGUGGAAGUUGCGGGAGUAAGGUUGGUGAGAUUGGAAAUGGACGCCAUUUUUUUCCAGCUGGGGAAGUAUGAAAAGUGUUAUUCUUGGUUUGAUCGGAUGAUAAAAACAAGAAAAGUGAGAACCAAUGGGGUUUUGCUGGAAUGGUGAGUUAGGUGGACUAGUAAAAAUGAUGGAUUGCUGCUCUAAUAGUUGUCUGAUACAGAAUAGUAACAAUAAUCCAUCGAGCUAAUGGUGUCUUAUGAUAAACAUGAGAGGUUGCUUCACGUCUUGUAAUAGCUGCUGUUAGUUUGCAAGGGGUCGUACUUUGACUAAUCGUACUUUGAAAAGGUCAAACGUUUAGAAGACAAAAUGAGUCGAGAUACGGAACUCUUUGUUGUACAUACAGCUUUUAAUUUUUGAUAGCGCCUACAAACUUAAGAGAUACCAACUGAUCUGUUUAGGCAUGCAUAUGAUAAGCAUUAAACAAUAAACACAGACUAUAAACAGUCUUUCACCAUCAUCAUCGAAAAACAGAACUUAGAGUACACGUUCAAUAAAUAUGACAAGUUUCUUAUUAUUCAGCAAAAAAACAAGACAAUCUUGCUCUAAAUUGCCUUAAUAUUAAAAGAAAAAAACAGAUGAGAAUCUUUGAGACACAGACACUGUCUGCUGUUGUGCUUUUAUUCGUCAUUAACCAAUGAGUAACUUAUUCUCUUCCAAGAAGCUGUAGGUUGGUACCUCCAGGUUGUAUGGAGCAGGACCUUUCCUAAUCCUUCCAGAGAUAUCAUAAUGCGAACCGUGACAAAUAUGGCUGAUUCGGAUAAAUUUAAAUAUUUUGGUUACAAAUAUUUUUUGAAUAAUUCGGUUCUUUCAAGUAUUUCAAAUAGUUUUAAAUAUUUCAGAUAAAAAAAUUCUGGAUAAUUUGGUUUAUAAAUGAUAUUUUAGAAGUUCAGUAAAUUUUCAAUAAUAUAAAUUAUAUUUUAGAUAGUUACAUACCAAUUUAAUUUUCGCUUCAGUUUCGGUUUUGGAUUUCCAAGAUAUGGAAACUGUUUAAAUAAUUGUGAACAUCGGUUUGGUUUUGGAUUAGUUUUUUCAGAUUUGGUUCAGUUUUCAGCUUACUCACAAUAUGUAAAAGUUACUUAUAAAUUGAAGUAACUCCACUAAAACAUCAUAAUACAAGAACAAGUGUGAACAUGCCAUAUAACAGCUCUAGGAAACGUAGAGUUUGAAGAACAAAGCCGAAGGCUCUUCUUUUAUUCCAUUACUACAGUAAACAAAACGAAGAGCCAAGGUUCAAAUCUGUGACGUUAAGCGUUUUCUUUCUCCUCUUCAUUGGCUGGCUAGUUUGAGAGAGUUGGCCUUGUCUUGAAGUGUACCAAGCAGACUCUCGAAACUCUUCUUGAACGAGUCUACACCUUCUUCUUCCAACUGUUCUCCCACUUUGUUCCAGUCUAUUCCCAGCUUCUCUAGUGCACUGUACACCCCUUCUGCUUCUGACACAUUCGCAUCUAUCGUCCUCUUCACCGUUCCAUGGUCAAUGAACGCUUCCAGCGCUUGAUCCGGCAUGGUUGACACCUAAACCCAAACCAAAAAUAUAAACACUUGUUUUGGGAAGUGAAACAUGAGACGGCAAACACAAAAGAUGACUCACAGUGUCAGGUCCAAUGAGAGGAGCAACAUAUAAAGUGUCAGAGUAAGCUGGGUUCUUGACACUUGUCGAUGCCCAGAGAAGCCUCUGCUUCUUGGCACCUUUCUUCACCAAAGCUUCCCAUCUUGGGCCUGAGAACUUUUUCUGGUAUAGUUGGUAUGCUAAUGCAGCUUGAGCCACAGCCGCCUGCAAGAACAACACAUCAGGUGUUCACAAACUCAUAAACUCAUUCACAGCAAUGAACCGAGAUUUUACCUUGCCACGGAGGUCUAGAGCUUCUGGGGUACCAAUCUUCUCAAGCAUCUUGUCCAUGAGAGUAUCCACCCUACUCACAAAGAAGGAAGCAACACUUGUAACUCUUGAGAGGUCAUCAAGUCCAGACGCCUCGAGUCCAUCCAAAUAUGCAUCGAUCACUGCCUCAUAUCUAGCUAUUGAGAAUAUAAGCUGCAACAGAACAGAACAAGGAUGUAUCAUAUAAGAACAUAACCGUUAAUUCCUGGAAAUGUCUUUAAAUAUUUGUAUACACCAACGUUCGUUUCGGGUUUUGAGACUGCUAUAAAUAUGAGUCUAAUCAGUUGUAAAUUUAUUCAUUCACGUAAUAAUAUACAAAUUCUAAAAACGGGUAUUUGCCUCAAUAUGUUUUGCUCUUGAGUUAUUUGCUUUCUUCAAGUUUGAUUCGUGUUUGUUCACAACACACUACAAUUUUUUUAAGUAUUAUAACUCAGUUUAGGACAAGUUACUUACCGUGACAUUGACACUUAUUCCAGAAGCAAUGACAUCUCUGAUGGAAGGAAUACAUGGAGCAGUAGCAGGGAUCUUAAUAUAGACAUUACGACGGUUCACAGACUUGUGAAGAAGUUUAGCAGCUUUAACAGUGGUUUUGGUAUCAUCAGCAAGCAGAGGUGAAACUUCAACAGAAACAUAGCCAUCCUCAGCAUCAGUCUGGUCAUAGAUUGGCUCAAAAAGCUUGCAAGCAUCUUGAAUAUCCUUCACCACAAGCUCCCAGUACGCUUUUUUAAUGGCCGUUCCAGACUCCACAAGUGUCCUAAUAAAAACAAAAAGAAACUGAUUCUAAUACAGCCAAAAAAGCAUCAUAAAGAUAUGCAUCCACACUAUUACCUGAACUGAUCAUUAUAAGCAUCUGAAGUGGAUAUGGCUUUCUGGAAGAUCUACAAAGGUUUUAAUAGAGUGAAGGAGUUUUAAGACAAAAUGAAACAACCAGAGAGUAAAAUAAAGGUAAAAGGGCACAAAGAGAGAUGGUUAUUAAAAAAUUACCGCAGGGUUGCUAGUUACACCACGAACGCCACGGGCAAUGAAGGGGAUAAGAUCAGUGACAGGACGGCAUAGAUUAUCAUACCAAGGACUCUGGCCUUCCUUCUCAUAUAGAUCGUGAAGAGUGGUUCUCUUUGCAGUACUUCCAUUUCCACCAGAGGCUGAACACCUCACACUGUAAAAUCAACCAAAGGAAGAAAGAGUACAUAAAAUCAAAUUCUGCUGCAGAUAGAGAAACAUAUAGUUUGCUUUUCUUAAACCAACCUAUCAACGUGAAUUGCAAGAUCAACCUUAUAGCAAGAAAAAGACUAUAGAGAGACAAGACACAUGCAUCAGUAAAGUUGAUAUGUAUACUUACAAGAGGGAAGGUCUGGUCUGUUUGUUGUAACGAAUAGAAAGAUGGGAAGCAGAAGAAAGCUUGGCGUUAAAACUGCGGAUGUUAACGAAGGAUCUUGGUAUGACAGAGGAAGAUCUGGGGCAGGUGGAAGUUGCGGGAGUAAGGUUGGUGAGAUUGGAAAUGGACGCCAUUUUUUUCCAGCUGGGGAAGUAUGAAAAGUGUUAUUCUUGGUUUGAUCGGAUGAUAAAAACAAGAAAAGUGAGAACCAAUGGGGUUUUGCUGGAAUGGUGAGUUAGGUGGACUAGUAAAAAUGAUGGAUUGCUGCUCUAAUAGUUGUCUGAUACAGAAUAGUAACAAUAAUCCAUCGAGCUAAUGGUGUCUUAUGAUAAACAUGAGAGGUUGCUUCACGUCUUGUAAUAGCUGCUGUUAGUUUGCAAGGGGUCGUACUUUGACUAAUCGUACUUUGAAAAGGUCAAACGUUUAGAAGACAAAAUGAGUCGAGAUACGGAACUCUUUGUUGUACAUACAGCUUUUAAUUUUUGAUAGCGCCUACAAACUUAAGAGAUACCAACUGAUCUGUUUAGGCAUGCAUAUGAUAAGCAUUAAACAAUAAACACAGACUAUAAACAGUCUUUCACCAUCAUCAUCGAAAAACAGAACUUAGAGUACACGUUCAAUAAAUAUGACAAGUUUCUUAUUAUUCAGCAAAAAAACAAGACAAUCUUGCUCUAAAUUGCCUUAAUAUUAAAAGAAAAAAACAGAUGAGAAUCUUUGAGACACAGACACUGUCUGCUGUUGUGCUUUUAUUCGUCAUUAACCAAUGAGUAACUUAUUCUCUUCCAAGAAGCUGUAGGUUGGUACCUCCAGGUUGUAUGGAGCAGGACCUUUCCUAAUCCUUCCAGAGAUAUCAUAAUGCGAACCGUGACAAGGGCAAAACCAGCCACCGUAGUCACCAGCAUUCGGCAAAGGGAUGCAUCCCAGGUGAGUGCAGACUCCAACCACGACUAGCCAUUCC
rnacentral:lncRNA from 1 species